CCAGGGGCCUCGAGGGCUAGAAUACAGAAGCUCGAUAAACACACGAGUUAGCGUAAGCAACAAAUAUCUGAGUCCACACAUGAAAUAUGACGAUGCCUUAGAGAAGGCUAGCACAAAAGAGAUAACGAUCGAACGAGGCGUGGCCUCCUGCCUGGGAACCUCCUAAGCUACUCCUGGUCAUCAGCGGCCUCCCCGUAGUAGCAGACACCGUCGGGGGAGCAGUCGUUGUCGGCGGGAUAUGCCAUCUCCUGGGCUCCAUCAUCUGGUCGGAGUAACGUACCAAGGGGAAAAGGGGAGCAAAGAAACGGUGAGUACUCAUUCAAAGUACUCGCAAGACUGACAUUAGAACUAUGCUAAGUUAUGCAUCGGUAUCAAAGGAAGGGGUCAUAUGUGGACUCACUGCAGCAAUACGAGAAUAGAGAGAGAGGGACUAGUCCUAUCAAAGACUAGCAUCUUCAGGGGUCUUGCAGCAAUAGACGAGAGUAGAGCAAGUAACACAGAUAUAUAGUCAUACUGUUGCAGUAAUAUUAAUUAUAGUCACGCCCGGAGAUCCUCCCUCGACUCCCUGUGAGGAAGCAAUCCUUUAGCAAACAUUCCAGUUAAGUAACAGUUGUAGUUGUAUAAGAUCAGGGUGCAACUCCAAAUCGUCCUGUAACUAUGGACACGGCUAUUCGAAUAGUUAAUUUUCUUCCCUGCAGGGGUGCACCAAGUUUCCCGCCACAAUUGAUAAACUCUGGUCGGACACACUUUCCUGGGUCAUGCCUGGCCUCGGCACAUCAACACGUCGCAACCCCACCUAAGCUCAACAGAGAGGCCAGCCUGCUGGUCUAAAUCCUAAGCGCGCAGGGGUCAUGGGCCCAUCACCCUUUGCGCUCCUGCACAAUGCAAGGGCGGGCGAUGUCAAUCUUGUCACUUCUUAUACACGAACGAUGAUUAUCCAUGCCACUCGGGCGCGCGCCGCUCCAUUGCUGAGGUCUGAAGAGCUUCGGCUGAUACCACGAUGUCGAGAACCCAUAACUCCUCACAUGUAGACGGUUAGUGCACAAAAGGUCUCCAACCAACCCAGAUCAAAUACCCAAAUCCUUAGCAUUUUAAUUAUUCAUCGACACAUCCACGCGGGUAUCCACCCGCCAAACAUCAUUCAUCAAUGUUCCCAGUAGCACGGUCAAGUAACUGUGUGGUUGUAACAUUAGAGGGAUCGGAGGUAUCACCCUCUACGGAUUCCGAAUGAUGUAACUGUCAAGGUGGGCAGGAAGGAAUCACCCAGGCUGGGCCAGGUUGAUGGGUUGUACGACAGAGUCGUUAUCAGAGGUGGUGAACGAGGAAUCACCCUCUCAGAACCACCGCCGGUUAAUUACACUACAGAGCUAACAUCAGGAGUACGUAUCGAGGUGUCAUCCUCGGUACUCGAUAGUAGCCUUACAGCGUCGUACAACUAAGGGAGGGUGUAAGUGUUGUGUCGGGUCUUGGCUCGUCGAUUAGUUGAUCGAGACUUGACGAUAAAGCGAGGGCAACUGGUCUAAGGGGUCAAAGGGGAUGAUUGUGCCACCUAUACUAAGCAGUUUAAAGUGCGGUAUUGGAAAGUAGCACUUCAUAAAAAACAGGCUAUGCAUCAGCUAUAGGAGCUAACUACAACAGUAGCAAAAUUCUAAUGCAAGCACGAGGGAGAAAGAAAUAUGCGAUAUAGGAAUGAUCAAGAGGGUUUGCUUGCCUGGGUACUCUGCAGACAAAACGGAUCCUCGACCGGGAAGUAGUCAAUCACCGGAUCAUCAUCGGUCUCGGGGUCUACCAGAAAGGAAGUAACGUAGGGGAAACACGAUAAAUAACAGAGCAAUCAAAUGCAUCACAAAGAAUGGCAUGGCUAAAGGCAGAGCUAGGCAUGAGCUAACGUGGUACUAUACGUCAUCGACGGAUCGGAAUAAUAUCCGACGAUAUUUUCCGGGUCUCUGUCUAUUACUUAUCAGGCGAAAUGGAUGGAAAAGUUCCAUGUUCGCUAUGCUAGGUACACGUGAUAGACGAACGGAUAGCGUAUCCGGGUUCGUCUCGUUUUUGUGAUCAACUUUCAUGUAUAAAUUAUUUUCAUCCGAAUUAUUAUAUUAAUUUUUAAUGUUUUAAUAAUUAUUUUAUAAAUAAACAGAUUUAACUUUGUUUUAAUAUUUUAAAUGUGACAACAGCAUGAUGGCAUGCUGUCAUCAGUAAUCAAUAGUGGGGUUGAGUGGUCAAUUUGACCAAUGGGCUCCACCUGUCAUAGUCACACUUCAAAUCUAGGCUUAACUAAUUAAUAAACAGGUUUGAUUAGGUGUAUGGGAUCCACAUGUCCUACCCUCUAUUAAAUUAACAGAAUUAAUUAAUUAGAUUAGGUUUAAUUAAUCCAAUUAAUUGCUCUAAUUAAUUUGAUAGGUUAAUUAGAGGUUAAUUAGGCUACUUAAUUAGCUUAUUAAUUAAUUACCUAAUUAAUUAACUUGGUUAAAUAAAUUUAUUAAUUUGUUAUAUUUUUAUUUACACAUUUAAUUUAUUUAUUUUCCUUUUUUAGUACACGUUUUAGGGGGAGGCCCCACAUGUCAUCUAGUGGGAAAUUGCUAACAAAGGGGGGGUUAAUUCGCCUGACCAAAUUGGGGUUGGGGGCGACGCGGUUGUGACCAAUGGGGAGAGGCCGAGCGGGGUUGGCGCCGGCGACAUGUGAGGCGCAGGAGCAUGCAGCGAGGUUGGCCGUGGAGUAGCAUCAGCAGGCGCGCGGCCAAGGCGUGGCUCACGCAGGCACGCGCGCGCGUGGCGCGUGGCAGAGGUGGGGGGCGCGACGGCAUGCGGGCGUAGGACGUGCAAUAGCUGCAGAGUAGUGAAGGUAACAUUGGACUGGCGAUGCGGCUAGUGGCAGCAGGCGGCUCGGCGUCGCGGUGGGCGGAGCUCCACGGCGAGAGCUCGCCAAAUCGGGAGGGGACACCGAAGCGACGCGGCGCCGAGUGAGGGCCGGUGCGGCCGGGCUGGUAAGGGUGCGCACGGGAGGGGAAAGGGGAAGCGGGGUGGCGCUCACAGGGGGGCGGCGAGGUAGCACCGGUGUGGUAGGGCGUCGGGGACGGCGAGCGGUGGGGCAGGGUCAGGACGGCGAGGGAGCAACGCCGGAGCAGCGUGGGGCUUGGGUUGAAGGAGGGGAGGGUGCAGGAGAGAGCGCCGGUSGCGGGGGUGGGGGCUGGGGGASGACCGGUGAGGGAGCGGUCGKYCGGGGCCGGCSACCCGGSCCGGCCGCCCSGGUGACGGUSGUCCGGGGUCGGGGUCGGCYYCCCCGUAUCCCGAGACUCGAAGGAGGGAGGGGGAGAGUNNNNNNNNNNNNNNNNNNNNNNNNNNNNNNNNNNNNNNNNNNNNNNNNNNNNNNNNNNNNNNNNNNNNNNNNNNNNNNNNNNNNNNNNNNNNNNNNNNNNGUUCAACCUCGAACCCGAAACCCUUAYCGCCACCGACGCACCUCCGUCGCCGGCGACCCAGACCACCUCCGGUCGACGUCCCGACCACGAGCAGGUAGGCGGAGGCACGAGGAACCCGUUCCCGUUCCUAGCUAGGCCUGAGGACAACGGCAUCCUCGCCGGUGUCCAUCUCCACCUCUCUGGCCAGAGGUAGGAGAAGGACCCGACAGGUGGAGCCCACCUGUCGGUGUCCUGGGGCAGCCAGCGCGCGCAGCCGCUGACGCUGACCCCAGGGGCCCGCAGGUCAGGUUUGAACCUGGCCCACGCGCGCCUGGUGGCCAGGCCUGCUGGCUGGGCCGGCUCGAUCUGUUUCCCUGGCCUUUUUCUUUUGUUUUAAUCCAGCAAACUAAAUGAUUUUUAUAAAAAGAUUUAGCCAGUAGAAAAAUAUAAUUCUUCCACCAGUAUUUUUCUAAAAAUGAGUAGUAUUUGAUUCUGUAAUAGUUGACAUUUAUCAAUAACAGAAACUAUUUUGGUAUAAUAAAAUGAUAUUAAAAAGCACUUGUUUGCUUCUGUUUGCUUUUAAAUAAAUAUGCUUAGCUAAUAAAACAGUAGGGAACAUUUUUCAAAAUAAUAACAUGGAUUUCUUCAAGCCUUGCAACAUUUUUAAAAGCACUUUGUGAACUGUUUUAGUUGAAGCUAGUAUUUAUUUAUUCCUUUCUCGACGGUAGAAUUACCGAGUGACGGAGGAUCCGGAGCGGAAGACCUCGAAGACCCCGGAUACCUAGCUGACCAAGGCAAGCAUGCCCUUUGCCAUGACCUAAGUAAAUAAAAUGAUGCAUGCUAGAAUAGCAAGUAUUUUCCAUUGCAUGUAAUCACGAUGUCGGUUCAUCAUUGAUGUGAUGGUACCGAAGGCUUCUUCGAAGCCCUUGCAUUAUAGUAGUGAUUUCACAUGGCUCCUCGGAGCACAAACAUGAUGAGCUUGAUCCUACCAUCUACGAGGAUCAUGUUACUGUCAUGUUGGCUAGUAGAGUAGAAUCACUGCAUUGAGCUUGACCCCGUGAGGGUCAUGAUACUAUCAUGUUGACAAGUAAUGUUAAGGCACAUCAAGUUGACAAGUAAUAAUAGAGCAUUUUAUCAUGAGCAUGACGAUGAGUUAAAUAAAGAGUUUAUGAAAACCCCGUCGGGUGCCACUAAUGCCCGAAGGUGAUGAUGAGUUGGUGAUCACUUUUGGUGAAGUAAUGCACCGAUGAUUUUGUUGUGAGUAUGGUUUCGGAAAUGGAUUAGAUUUAUGAUGUGUUGACCAUCCCAACCUUACCCAGUACGACCACGAUACCCCUUUAUGGGACAGGGCUUUGUUGAUUACUCUGGUCGGUGCUAGCAAAGAGCCACAUUACUAGUGGCGGGAGUGAUCGGUGUCACUCUCGUGAUGGGGUCGUGCCAGGUAGGACGACUAUGCCAUUAUUAUGAGUUCAAGGCACACAGGGGAUAGGUGCAUGGUUGAUACAGUCCAGAGUCGGUGCUCGUAAGACGUACAACAUGUGGGCUGGGUACCAAUCAAGUGGAUCUCUUUGUCUAGUAUCGUCAGGGGAAAUAUGAUGAUCGGAUACUUACCUCGGGUAUAUGUGAUAUACCGCGAAUCAUGGAUGAAACGGAAGUAUUCCGUUUCUCGUGGGUCCAGCGUACUACCUCUGUAGAGUGUAAACUAUUCGAAUAGCUGUGUCCAUGGUCAAGGAUAGUUGGGUGGUGCUGCUUAAACUACGUCCUGAGUUUCCGCAUAAACCAAGUGUGUGUGUGUGGUAGUUAAAAGKUGUUGUUAUAAUCAUGAUAAUCACAAUAAUAUGAUCAAGUUCGGUGACUUGACAUAUAGGGUAAACCCGGAUGGUUUAGCCCUCAUUAAUACCUUGAGAUUAUGACAAGUCCGAUGACUUGGCAUAUAGGGUGAACCCGGUGUGUUCAACCCUUAGCAGAGAUGAUGAUAUCUGUAACCUGUUCUUCAAAAGUAAUUCUUUAACCUGAUGCAUAUACAUGAUCAUACCACCUCAUCGCAUUCCACUAAAGAUGCAUGUUACCGCCCCUUCAUUACCAUUUAUGUCAUGGGCUGUUUGCGAGUACAUUCAAAGUACUCAUUGGCUUGCCACUGGUUAUGUUAUUGACCAGACAUGGAAGGACCGGAGUUUGGCGAUGAGUACGCCGUCGGAGACGGACCUGUGAUCUAGGACGCUUCCGAGUCAGAAUGCCUGUCGGUGUAGGCUUGAUGGUAUGGGCACCGCUUAGCCCUUACGAGUUUCCGCUACUCGAUGUAUCCCUUUAUUUGGCUUUAGGCCCUGCUCUUGAACCCGACCUUCUGGUCAUUUGAUGUAAUAAUUUGGUACUUGGAUGUAAGACUCUAUCAUUCAGUAUGUGUGUUCAGUGAACAUUGAUCCUUGGGGUUACUGGGCACGACGAACUCGACUUGCUAGUCGGGGUCCCCACAUGAUAUGGAUCAUCAUCCGCUUGCUAAUCUUUUCAAGAGUUCCAAUUAUGAUGAACCAAUUGCUAGUGAGUUGAGUGUACUUGCUUAUCUCUAUGAAGUUUUGCUUGAUAUUAGUGAAUCGGAAAAUUGUGAUGAAGUGAUACACGAUGUUUCCCUGAAUAAAAAGCAUGAUUGCAAUGAUAUUGUUAUAAAUUCAAUUAAUAUCAAUUUUGCUAAUGAUAUGCAAACCCACAAGCUUGGGGAUGCUAUAUUUGAUGAGUUUGCCAUGACCACUACUUAUUGCAAUGAUCAUGAUUGGGGUGAUAAUGCUUCUUAUGAUCUUGAUAAUUUACUUAAUACUCAUGAUGAAUAUGAUAUUGAAAGUAGGUUUGGAAGAGUGUCAACUUUAGGCAUUAUUGACUCCCACUUAUUUGGAGAGUUGUUCAGUCUUAUAGUAAAUUUUUGUAAUUAAAGGUUGGGUUGGAGAGGUCUAUAGUACUUUAGUUAAUGAUAACUCCUACUUAGUUUUGGAAGUAGUUAUACCUAACUUUGCUACUGCUAGUGUUGGAUUCAUAGAAGUAAGUNNNNNNNNNNNNNNNNNNNNNNNNNNNNNNNNNNNNNNNNNNNNNNNNNNNNNNNNNNNNNNNNNNNNNNNNNNNNNNNNNNNNNNNNNNNNNNNNNNNNGGUGGGUGGACGAAACAAGGCUACGACGGCGGCGAGGGGAGGAUGUANGUUGGCCGACAUGAGUACGUCGUCGGAGAGGUUGCGACAGGCCAAGCGCGUCGUCUCCCAGCGGCAAUGAAAUCUUGUGGGCAGCGCUAGGGUUGGGGAGCUCAAGAGGUGGCGAUGGGAAGGAAGGUAUAAAUACAACAUGCCUCAUGUAGUUUAUAAUAGUAGAGGGACAUCUGAAUUUUGUGGACUGGACUGCCCCUGACGCUUCGGGAGUAGUGGGACAUGUGACAUGUAGCGAACUCCCCUACAUUCUAUCUGUUGCGCCAGAUGCGGGAAUUUGUUUUGAUAAGUGCGGUAAAAUGGUUUUUGAAGGUUUUAAAUGUUCGGUUGAGUUUGUCUUCGACUUACAAGGACGCAAUGAAGACAAUCAACACGUGUCAAGUAGAAUGCACGUGACUGGAAUUGAACAGUGUUAGAUGAGAUAAGAAUAGAUGGGGUAUCGGGUCCGAUCACAUUUUGCCUAGAUAAAGUUUGAAGAUAUAGCAAUAGACAAAAUGAUGUAGAGGACAAAAUUUCCUAAAGUCAAAUAGGACAUGUCUCAUUUGCAAAUGUUCAAGUUCGAAGUCAUGUGACAAAGUUGAAGAUAAACUCAAAUAUCUGAAGACAUUGAUAAACAUGCAUGAUAAAGGGAAAUGUCUUUAGAUGGGGUUGGUGGCGUUGCCCACCAUAUAAGAAUAUUAGACCCAUACACGGCGCACAAUUAUCGUGGCACUCUGAAGUCAUAUGCUUCGUUAAUGUAUUCACACUUAGAGUGUAAGUCUUCAUGAGUUGAAGACAUACAUUACUUUGUGUGUUGUGCAUCAAAUUCAUCAAUAUGCAUAAGCGUUAGGAUGUAUGCCCAUUCAAAGGACAUUUGAGGAUUCUAAGAUAUUUAGUUCACACCGCAACUUGCAAAAUCUGUUUUCAUCCAAAGGCUUCGUGAAGAUAUGAGCCAAUUGAUCUUCAGCGUUUGCAUGCUUGAUGUUGAUGUCGCCCUUCAUCACGUGAUCUCAAAGAAAAUGAUGUUUUAUCUGAAUACGCUUCGUCUUUGUGUGCUGUACUGGGAUGUAGGAGAUCUUGAUUGCACUCUCGUUGUCACGGUAGAGUGGAACAGGCUUCACGUUGAUGUCGUAGUCCUUCAAUGUUUGCGUAAUCCAUAGAAGCUAUUUGCAGCAUGCACCAACAUCAAUGUAUCCGACUUCAACAAUGGAAAGUGACACACACACUUCAUCUUCUUUGAAGACCAACAUACGAGUGAUCAUCCUAGAAACUGAGAGGUGCCUGAUGUAGACUUGCGAUCAACUCUCUCGCUAGCAAAGUUAGAGUCUGAGUAGCCGAUGAGGUCCAAGUUUGAGCUAGUUGGAUACCAUAAUCCUAGAGUUGGGGUGUGAACCAGAUAUCUAAGUAUUCACUUCACAGCUAAGUGAUGCGAUUCCUUUGGUGCCGCUUGAAAUCGGGCGCACAUUCAAACGCUAAGAAUUAUAUUUGACCUAGAUGCACAUAGCUAAAAUAAAGAGCAAAUCAUGGAGCGAUAUACCUUCUGAUCGAAAUCUUUACCAUUUUUGUCAGUGCAUAGGUGACUGUUUGUUGGCAUUGCGUCUUGUAACCUUUGGCUUCGUUCAUGCCAAAUUUCUUGAGACAAUCCUUAAGGUACUUCUCCUGAGAGAUGAAUAUGCCAUUGGGUUGUUGUCGAAUCUAAAGAACUUUAGUUCUCCCAUCAUAGACAUCUGAUAUUGUUCUUGCAUCAUGAAGCCAAACUCAUCACUAUAUCGAUUGUUAGUACAGCCAAAGAUGAUGUCAUCCACAUAGAUUUGACAUACAAACAGUUCAUCAUCAUAAGAUUUUGUAAAUAGAGUGGGAUCGAGUGAACCAGGUUUGAAGCCUUUCUUCUUGAGGAAUUCCUUGAGAGUGUCAUACCAAGAUCUUGGUGCUUGCUUGAGGCCAUACAAUGCCUUGUUAAGCUGGUAGACUUUUUCAGGAUGCUUGGGAUCUUCAAACCCUGGUGGUUGAGCGACAUAUACUUCUUUCUCAAUCUUACCAUUGAGGAAUGCACUUUUGACAUCCAUUUGAUAUAAGCAUAUAUCGUGAUGGUUAACAUAAGCAAGCAAAAUACGUAUAGCUUCAAGCCUAGCAACACGUGGAAGUGUCUCAUCGAAAUCGAUACCCACAACCCGUGUGUAGCCUUGAGCCACAGGUCGACCUUUAUUUCUGAUGACUUGUCCUGAUUCAUCUUGCUUGUUGUGAAAUAUCCACUUUGUGCCAAUGAUGUUGUGCUUCCUCAGAUCAGGACGCUUGAUGAGUUCCUAGACAUUGUUGAGCUCGAACUGAUGAAGCUCUUCUUGAAGGCUUCAUCUAGCUUGGUGGGUUCGGAGAUAGACACAAAAACAAAUUGCCCACGAAAGUUAGCAAGUUGGUGAGCUCUUGAGCGAGUGAGUGGACCUGGUGUGUUUAUGCUGGCAAGCAUCUUUUCAAUUUGAACUUCAUUCUCCGCACGUGGAUGAGCAUGUCGAAGACUUUGAUUUGGCUGCUGAGCAUUGUCUUGUCAGCAACAUUGUCUUCGACAUUAGUAUUAUCUUCGCGAUGAGUAGGCAAUGUAACAAUGACUUCCUCUACUUCAGGUUCUUGAGGCACAAUUUCUCCAGUGCCCAUUGUCGGGGCGCAGAUGCUCAAGAUCACCUAUGGUACCAAGGGCCCCUCUUGGUUCGACAAGGGGGUCAUGUUGAAUGAAGAGCGGAGAACAUGAGAUGGCGCAACGGUCGGGGCACAUGCAUUUUACCCAGGUUCGGGCCGCUGCGUACAACCCUACUUUUGCUUUUUGGUGGAUUGAUGGUGGGAACAUGAAUAACACAAUGCACCUAGCCCCGGCAAGCUACCUGGGAAGAGUGAUCGCGUGAAUACAAGUGAUCGAAGGUUCGAAAUGCCAACCUUGAGCUAGGUUUCCUUGGGCCUCCUUUUAUAGCACAAGGGGUCAGCACAAUGGCAAAACAUACGUUAUCUGUUGAUUAGAUAGGCAACACUACAAACAUACUUAACUGUGGCACUUAGGACAAAAUGCCAUAAAUGCUAGCCUAGGUGGCGUGCAGGGAUGCAUUCCUGACAGGCUUCUACCACCGCUUUAGCAAACUACUGCUUCAUGUCCUGACACGCCUCUGGAUGGGUGUCAAGUGGGCGUGAUCCAUCUUCUAGCGAACCGCCACAUACUUAGCGAGAGCCCACUUAGCCACUUGAGGGCUCGGCACUGCAUUGGCAAACGACUAGCAUUGCGAUGCGGUGGAGCAGCGGCCGAUCGGCUCGCGCCUGCUGGGGAUGGCUUGCCAGGCCUUCUAGGAGGGUGCUCACUUUGGUCCUCGGCAGGUGCCGGGGAUGUGACUGGCACGACACAGUCUAGGCUUGGGGUGCUGCACUGAGCUUGCUGGAAUCUUAUCUUGGUAGCUGCUGGGCCAGCGUGGCCUUUUGUGGCUGUUGUUGCUGGGCGCUGGGUGGCUGCUUGUCCGUGCACAAAUCAGGGGAAAAGAAUACCCCUGUUUGUUUACUCCGACAGAAGCCCCCGGGCCUGAACCAGACGUUUCGCUAGGCACGUUGGGUUAGGCCCCAAACAAGCACGGACACGCGGCGAAGGGGUUCUACUUUUUCACCCACGUCCACUCUGUGGGUCAUGGGGUCGUGGACGAGGGCCGUCGGAAAAAAGGGAAGUCCAGUGAUAAACGACAGUUUUUUGAAAGAAUUGCAAAGAGCCAACCUCCGUGCAGGACCCCUUUAAAAAGGACAAAGCAGAGGGGGCGCUGAUCAUUCACACCCCCUUCCUCCGCCCUUCACUCUUCCUCCUCAACGCCAGAGAACUGCUCCGCAUCCUAUUCUUUGGUUUUUCGAGUGCCGCUAGCUCANNNNNNNNNNNNNNNNNNNNNNNNNNNNNNNNNNNNNNNNNNNNNNNNNNNNNNNNNNNNNNNNNNNNNNNNNNNNNNNNNNNNNNNNNNNNNNNNNNNNGGACUGCUGUAACCCUUCCACUGAAGCGUUCCACCUUACGCGGCCUCAGUGUUAACAYCUAUCCSSUGYGURCCUUGACAAGAGAUUAAACUUCUGCAGGUACUCCUUAACAGUCCCACUGCCCUGCCUUAAGGCUCGGAAUUCACGCUUCUUAAUGGUCAUCAGUCCAGGCGGAAUGUGAGCCGCGCGAAAUCCUUCCUUGAACAUCUCCCACGUGACGACUUGCCCUGCCCGCAUGAUCUGGAAUCCAUCCCACCAUGCCCUGACGGUGCCUCCGAGACAGUGAGAAGCAUAAAGGACCUUCUCAUGAUCAUCGGUGCACUUGACCAGCGCAAGGAGGUCUUCAAUGGUGCGAAUCCAGUCAUCGGCGUCCAGGGGUUCAGUCGACUCCGUGAAUAUGGGGGGCGUAGUCCGCAUGAACUCAGAAAGAGAAGAGCGACCACCGCCAUAUUCAUUCUGCGGCGGGUUGUCCACCAGGACUUGGGUCAGCUGCUGGAUAGCGGCAUUGCUGGCUUGACGCUCCUGUCGAAGAGCUUGAAGGAACUGAGCCAUCGUCAAGUUCUCAGGAGGAGGUGGUGGCGGAAGGUCUUAGGCUGCUCGUGGUGACCUCCAGCGUGAGCUUCUCCUUCGGUUCCCUGCGGCGUCCCUGAAGAGCCGGCGCCGGGGUUGCCGAAGGUGCUGUUGCGGGUUGCGUUCACCAUCCUGUCAUAGAAACAGACAGGUCAAAAUGCCACCUUGCUCGGGAGUACAAGGAUUUGCUCCUAGUAGGAGGGGGUCCAAUACGUGCAUGUGCCAAGUUUUUAAAACCAAAGUUUUUGACAAACUGGAAAUUGCAUUCAUGACAACUAGGUGACGUAGUCACUUACAGACUGCCCAAGGCACACAGGGGAUAGGUCAAGCACACAUACGCAAUUUAAAAACGGAUACAAGGAUACCCUAUACUCGGGUACUCCGAUUGCCUACGCAAAAAAUCUACGCGGCGGACUGCUCGGUCUCAAAGGCGGACUCAACAGGAUCCUCAUCUUCAUCAACAUCCUCUUCCUUUAUAGGAGUGGAAGAAAGAAUCCGCACGUCUCAGCGUCUCUUGGGCGAGGCGGCAAAGAUCUCAGUGUACUCUUCCGCUGUCAGGCGACGACUCUGAAGAGGGACUGCCUGGAUGGGUAACAGUACCACCCCUAGUGGCAACAGCUGCCCUCCUUCCAGGUGCGCUUGCCUUCUUUACUUUGCGGUUUUGCAUCUUCUCUGUGUGGAGCAGGCCUUUGACUAGGUGCAGCUCUUGGCGAAGCUUGACUGACUUCCUUAACCAGGAAGUGUGUCGAGGGUGUCUGACGWGAGACUGAAGUAGGUCUGAAAGCUCAGUGGCAUCCCAUCCUCCGUGGCGGGGGUGAGUGUCCAACUCCCAUCCACUCCUUCCUUAAUGAAAGGUAGAUGAUGAGUGACAGGCUCGUUAGCCAUCUCAGGGAGGAUGCUGCGGAGUUGCACGAGCGCCUCUCGUGCAGCCGUCUACACUGCCAACAUCAGCUCUCCCAUCUAUGGUCCUUCAAAGAACCAACUAGACGGGGAGUCAUUAGCCUUCACUAUCACGUCCACGUGAUAUUCCUUGGUGUCGGCGUUGACCCAAUGCUUGUGGUAGAGGAAGAUGGGCGUGCGUCGUACGUGGCACUUCUCGAGACAAUCCACCAGAAGUAGUGGAAAGCCGGUCUCCAAAAGCGUCUCAGGUACAGCAGCCAUCUACAAUGCAUAGGAGAGAAGUCGGGAGGUUGUAUGUGUAAGAGUCUUGUGCAAGGCUUGCGUCCUAACGUUCUUGGUUAACGUCCAUGCUAUCUAAGGCUUCUUAUAGUCAACCUGGCUCUGAUACCAGUUCUAUGGGGACCCCGACUAGCAAGUCGAGUUCGCCGUGCCCAGUGACCCCAAGGAUCAAUGUUCACUGAACACAGAUACUAAAUGAUAGAGUCUUACAUCCAAGUACCAAAUUAUUACAUCAAAUGACCAGAAGGUCGGGUUCAAGACAGGGCCGGGCCGGCAAAAUCCGGGGCCCUGUGCAAAACUAAAAAAUGGGCCCUCUCUCGUAGAAAAAAGAAAAGAUCUAGAAUAUAUCCAGAUGUGUGUAUAUCUAAAUUCAACGAGCAACUAUAAUAUAUAUAUAUAUCACAAAAAAAUUGUAAUAUACUCCAUUCGUAUCAAAAAUUUGUCUUAGAUUUGUCUAAAUAUGAAUGUAUCUAGUCAUAUUUUAGUGCUAGAUACAUAUUUUGAUAAAUAUUAUGCAAGAAUUUUGGGACGAAGGUAGAAAUACAUCAUUAAAAAGAUAGGAAUUAGAAAUAGGAACCGUAAAAAGGGACUUGAUAAGCACCUGGAGACGAGUCAUUCACUGAUUAAUCUGCGAUGGACAAAUCUGAAAUUUGGAAGACCAUGAAGGCAAUUAGGAAAUGACCAGAUCGCACGACCGAGGGACGAGGGCGAGAUAUGGCAACAGGGCGAACGAUGAGACAUCUCAUGCCCUCUUUCGUGGAGCCCAUGCGAGAGUUUCCUGUGGGCCGGCGGCGGCGACUGCUUUUCCAUGCGAGAGAACCACGAUCUCGAUCCUGUAGGGACGAAGCGACCAAGUAGGACGAGGCGAUGAGCAGGUUUUGUUUGCAAGACAAAGGCGACGUCGUGACGAGCAGUUAUGGGGAUCGAAAAGAUCCCGAUCACGAUCACAAUUCAGCAUUCUGGGUCGACGGCCUGGUUGCCUCGAGGCCAGCCCACUCCAGUGUCCGCGGCCCACUAAGUAAUGCUUAGUUUUCCCUUUUAAUACUAGGCUUAUAUAUAUAACUUGGGCCCCUUCAAAUUUUGGGCCCUGUGCGGGCUGCACAUCUGGCACCACUGUAGGCCCGGCCCUGGUUCAAGAGCAGGUCCUAAAGCCAAAUAAAGGGAUACAUCGAGUAGCGGAAACUCGUAAGGGCUAAGCGGUGCCCAUGCCAUCAAGCCUACACCGACAGGCAUUCUGACUCGGAAGCGUCCUAGAUUGCAGGUCCGUCUCCGACGGCGUACUCAUCGCCAAACUCCGGUCCUUCCAUGUCUGGUCAAUAACAUAACCAGUGGCAAGCCAAUGAGUACUUUGAAUGUACUCGCAAACAGCCCAUGACAUAAAUGCUAAUGCAGGGCAGUAACAUGCAUCUUUAGUGGAAUGCGAUGAGGUGGUAUGAUCAUGUAUAUGCAUCAAGGUUAAAGAAUUACUUUUGAAGAACAGGUUACAGAUAUCAUCAUCUCUGCUAAGGGUUGAACACACCGGGUUCGACCCUACUAUGCCAAGUCAUCGGACUUGUCAUAAUNNNNNNNNNNNNNNNNNNNNNNNNNNNNNNNNNNNNNNNNNNNNNNNNNNNNNNNNNNNNNNNNNNNNNNNNNNNNNNNNNNNNNNNNNNNNNNNNNNNNAGUACUACUAUGCGCCAAGCAUCAGAGUGAGGCUUGAUGGUUUAUUCGCGGUGGCGGAAGCGGUGAAAUAAUAUAGCGGCACACUCCAGGACCGCAAGACUGUCUAGGACUCCUCUAGACAUCGGACUCGCUAUCAAACUCUUCAUCCAUGAGGUCUCCUUCAUCCAUAUCUGGCCACAUCAACAAGCCAGUGAGUACUUCGAAAAGUACUCGCAAACAGUUUGCACAAAAGAUGAGAUGCAUGCAGUCAGUUAUUAAUAUGCAUGGUUCAGAUCAUAAUUUAUCAAAAUGAAUGUGUUAGAAAUAAAUUAAGAUAGUGGAUAAAUCGUGCGGUAAUCCUCCCGAGAUAUCCUAAUAGAAAGGUAAAUGCACCGAUCAGGUGUCUAGAGCGACGCCUCGAAAGGUUAACAAGGGUUAGUAAACCACCGUCGGGCGUCUGAGUGACACCACAUACAGGGCAUAAAAUAAAUAGCAAGCCACAAACGGGCGUCUUAGUGACACCACAGAAAGGGCAAUAAAAAUAAAUAGCCACCGCAGUCGGGCAUCUUAGCGACACCGCAGAAAGGGCAUAUAAAUAAAUAACAAGUACACAGUCGGGCGUCUUAGCGACACCACAAGAAAGGGCAAUAAAAAUAAAUUAACAAGACCGACAAAUCGGGCGUAAUACUUAACGACGAACACUAACAGAAAUCGGGACAAGUAAUAAAAUAAAAUUAACAAAGGUACCACAAGUUCGGGGUAGUUACUAGNNNNNNNNNNNNNNNNNNNNNNNNNNNNNNNNNNNNNNNNNNNNNNNNNNNNNNNNNNNNNNNNNNNNNNNNNNNNNNNNNNNNNNNNNNNNNNNNNNNNUUCUAGCCUCCCCAAGUUGCUUUCCACCCAAUCAAUCUCUUCUACCCAAGCCAAAUUUGUGAAAGAGUGAUUGAGUGUUGAGGAGACUACCUUUUWGUMGCACUACGUGGAGUUUCUAGCUACAUUGAUGCAUGCAAUUAAGCUACAGUAAACCAUGUGGUUAAGAUAAUGCUUUUGCUAAACCCUAUUUGAUCACAUUGGAAUCAUAUCUCAUUUCAAAUUCCUUUUGAAAUUCAAGCUCCUUUUAAUUUGUGGUUUAAAUAUUUUUUCAAAACUGAAAACUACAAUCAUGUUUGGGUUGCAAAUAAUCCCCUCAUGUUUAUAAAAUUGAAACCAACAUUUUAUAAAGUACUUUGGUGCCUCAAAACAAUUAUAAAAGAGGCCAAAACAUUUAAAUAAAUGUCUUUUAAAUUAUGUAAAUUUCCAAAGUUUCCAAAAGGGCCCCAAACGUUUUGUGGCACUACCAAAUAUUGCAUUUCAAAUAUUGGACCAUAUCCCAUAUUUUUCUCAUAAUUAAUUUAGUGCUAAACCUAAAUCAAAACAUAAGAUUUUAAAUAAAAUUUGAAAUAAAUUAAAAUAUAAAAUAAAAGCCCACCCCCAUUGGGCCCAAGCCCCCCAACCGGCCCACGUAUCCCUCCCCCAUCCCUAACCUCCGGCUAUAGUGGCCAGGGGGAGGGGAUGCCCGUCAUGCCUCCCCUCGACCACGCGCGGGCCAUCCAGUGGCCACCCCCGCCCUGUGAGGAGACAACGAGCCCUCCCCCGCUAACCCUAGCUCGCCCCCCAAUGAGGACAUCAACACCAUUGUUACACCCACAGCCCCAACUGCUAUACAUACUCGACCAGUUACUAGAGCUCACUCACGCCAAUCGAAUUACCACGUACUUUCGUUUCUUGAAAAUCUUUCUAAUGUUGAUGAACAUGUGAUGCUGCCUAAGUUAGAUAUUUUUGUUGUACUUAUGAAUGAAGGAACUAGCAUGGACAAGAAGGAUAUCUGAUGGAGCAGGAUCAAGCAUGGAGAAGAAGGUGCACGCGGGGAAAGAACAAUGGAGCUUCCACUCAUGAUUUUCACAUAUUGAAGCCACCAUAAGGAGAGCAUGAAGGCUUGGAAAAAAUAUUCAAGAUGCCACUUUAUAAAUUUCGGCCAUAGGAUAUUAUAGGUGUUGCGCCACCUUAUUUUUGGGCCAGGCACAUGGUAAUUUCGAAAUACCAUAUUAUAGGCUAUUUUUAGAUUCCGUAUGUGUGGGGAAACUAAGUUAGCGUCGGUUUCUUACCCCUCCUCCAAGGGGUCACGAAAUUCCUCCUCUAUCCCCCCAUAUAUACACCCCUUAGAGCGCUGUUUAGAAUUGGGUUUUGUUUAGAUUACAAGUUUUCCAUAGUUGCAACUUCGCGUUCUUCGUUUGUGUUCCAUGACCAGGCAAAGGCGUCACAAAACCCCACUUUCAUCAAUAAAGCUCGCCUCUUAUAUUUUCAAUAUCCAGAUUGCAAUCUUAGUUUCAUGCUUGGUCUUUGUUUGCGUGCAGGAAAUAGACCCUCGUGGUCAAGUUGAUCGUGCUCCAGCAUGGUCAAUAACCUCUUGGAGUUGGUUUAGCGAUUGCUAAGGCGCGAUGUCCUCACACGUUCAUAGUCGGAUCGUCAAAGUCUACUCCACCAAAACGAUAACCACCAUCUCAUCGAAAGACAUGGACAACUUUGCCUCUAUCAAGUGGUAUCAAAUUUCCAGGUUGCUCGGUGAGAUUUUACCAGUUUUUCGUAGUUAGAUCGCAUCUGUUCUUCAUACCAAUAGUCCACAGAAAAGACCACAAAAAAUUAGGAUUAGAUCAUCAUAUCCAAACCAAUCCGAGUCUUUGAAUAGUCUUUUUAGUAUUUUUCUUCGUUGUAUUUGCGGUUACAUCAUCGUGUUGAGUUACUGGUCUUAGUGUCCAGUCCUUUAGAGUUUCGAGUUCUGUUCACAGGUAGUCACACCGCCACCACGCCAUCUUUCACCGCUGCCAUAUACCACCACCACGCUUCCAUCAUCACUGCUGCCAUAUACCACCACCACGCCACCAUCAUCCUUGCUGCCAUAUAUCACUGAUACGUCUCAAAUGUAUCUAUAAUUUCUGCUUGUUCCAUGAUCUUUUGGGUGACAUUGUUAUAUGUUUUGCUACACUUUUAUAUAUUUUUACACAUAUUUGGACUAACCUACUAACUCAGUGCACCCAGUGCCUGUUUCUGUCUGUUGAUGUCUUUUUUGCACGGGCUUUUACCCAAUUUUCUGGAGCCCCAAAAAUCCUGAGAAAAAUAUAUAAAAAUUAGCGUAACAGAAGCUACCAGAUCACCGAAGAUGGGCCAGAGGGAAGCCAAGGGCUGCCCAGGCGACCACCCGACGCGGCCUGGCCCCUAGCCGCGCCCAUAGACCGCCUGGGUGGGCCCCACCUCUUCUGACACCCUCCUUUGGCCUAUAUUUACUCCUACGAGAGGAAACCCUUCCAACACAUCCAGAAUCGCGAAUUUCUCCAUUGUUGCUCCGCCACAGCGCUCCUGAGAUCGGGAGCGUCAAGAGACCUCUUCCCGGCACCCUGCCGGAGGGAGGAUUGACCUCCGGGAGCUUCUCCACUGCCAUGGACGCUUUCCGGACGUGCCGUGAGUAGUCCUCCUUGGACCAGGAGUCCAUGACUAGUAGCUAGGUGAUGUCUUCUCUCCAAUCUUGUGCUCCCAUGAUUAACCCUUGUGAGCUGCCCUACAUGAUCAAGGCAUCUUUGUAUUUUUUCCUGCUAUAUCUAUGCUCGGUUUGUUGGGAUCCAAUGGAUUAUGAGCUUAUGUUCAAAUUUUUAUGAGUUAUAUAUUUGAUUAUCCUUUUAUAUUAUGUUCUUUAGUGAUUCAUGCAUGUUCUUCGUUGCUUUGUAUUGCUUUGGCCGAGUAGUAGAUUGUAACUCCAAGAGGGAGCGUUAUGCAUGAUUGUGGGUUCAUGCCCCCUGAUGUCUAGCUUGAGUGAUGUAAACAUGAGACUAGGGGAUGUGUUGUUGCCACUAGGAAGAAAACAACGGUGCUUGUGACCACGGUUGGAAGGAUUGCUUACCUUACACAUAGUUCAUUAAUGCAGUUGUCCGUUGCUUUGAGUUUACACUUUGGUUGGGGCUCGCAACUUAAUACCAGCGAGAUGUUCUGGAUAAAUAUCUCAAGGUGGAUGAUUAGUGAGUAGAUGUUGAUGAAUAAAUGGUCUACUUGUCUGGGCGUACUGCCCAUUACUAUUGAGCCUCUAACUUUCAAGUAGCAUAAUUAGCAUUGCGGUGCGUUUAUAAUUCUGUCAAUUGCCCGGCUGUAAUUUGUUUACCCAAGCAUAGUUGUUUAUCGUCUUUUGGGAGAGAGACAUCAUUAGUGAACAUCAUGUGACUCCGGUCCAUAUCACCACCAUUGCUUACACCUCCAUCAUUUACUGCUUUCAUUUAUUUUCCGUUGCAAUCACUAUCACUAUUCCCGCUUGUGUUUUGAUCCUUUGCAAACUAGAAGGCCGACGAGAUUCACAACCUCUCCGUACUCGUUGGGAGCAAAGUUAUUUGUGUGUGUGUGCAGGUUCACGUUCUUUUGCUUGCGCGAGGGCAGAGGACACCUACUUGUUGAUCCUUGGAGUCCUCCUGGUUCGAUUAACCUUACAUUCUCUGUGUAAUGGAAAACUUGCUGCUGACUACAUCUCCACCUUCCUCUUGGGGUAACCAACGGAGGGUCGAGAAGUAUAUUCAUCAACUCGUCAUCAAGCAAGUUUUCUAGCACCGUUGCCGGGGACUCCAGUCUUCAAGAUAGGGGAGUUGUACGCUAUCCUUUACCUUCCGAUUUUUAGUCUUGUUAGUUUGCCUUUUAGUUUAUACCAAAAACCACAAAAAAAUUAGUUGCUUUGUUCUUGCUUGUUGUUGCUGCUAUGGUCCACUGAGACACACCGUUGUGUGACUUCACUAGUCANNNNNNNNNNNNNNNNNNNNNNNNNNNNNNNNNNNNNNNNNNNNNNNNNNNNNNNNNNNNNNNNNNNNNNNNNNNNNNNNNNNNNNNNNNNNNNNNNNNNAUAUACUGAGAAUACUUGCGACUCACUCAUCCUUUCGUUCUCACACAUCUUGAGUCUGAGGUGCCCUGAACACCUAAUCAGAUCUGAAUCGUUGGGCAGAUAUGUAGUGGUUGGUAACUUUCCAAUAAUCAUAACUUUGGUCUUUAUGUAAACCGGUACGGUGCUGUCUUGUCUAGCACACCGGGCCGAAGGACCUAUUGUUAUAAUAACUUGUUCAACAAGAUUCUCCAUUAUUUUGUGAGAAAAUUGUAAGACUUGUGUUAUAAGUUGUUCCUCAUGUAUCCCUUGUGUAGCCAAAGUCCGACCUUUAUUUGACGACCAUGUCGAUGCUACCUCAAAGCACGGAUGCGGUACUUCGAAUUUCAACAUGAACAUUGGAAGCGCAAUGCUAAAUUGUUCUUGAUCAAUUAUCUAAACCGUAUGGUAUGGAUAAACAUCAUGAUUCUCCUUGCUCCUUUAUCAAAAUGGUUAUGUACUUGAUGACCUAUCAUGUAUACCAUACUCUAUUUUCCUCGGGAAUGGUAUACUCUAAUACUUGUGUGUGUGAACACAUUUUCCUUUCUAUUGGUUUGUUUAAACCUUCUUAUAAGCUAAUUUAUCUGAGCAUCGACAAUUCCUUGCUUAGGUAAAAAACCUUGGUGAACAACUCUGUCAGUAAGACCCUGUUACUAUUGUGGAUAACAUUACGGUAGCCAUUGGUGGACGAGAACCUUGCCUAUUGGUUCGCCUCGUUUCAGCGGGCAGGAACAUGGUUCUAUUCGUCCCCUACCCUUGGUACCGAUCUUGUUGCCAACAUAACAGACAUGUUAUCCUCCAACAUGUCUUGCUAUCAAUACCGUAUAGAAUGUCACCGCUUUGCCUACUCUUAACCCACAUGGUGGACCCAUAACCCAAAUUCCACAGGAUAUAAACCUGACUCUCCUGUACAUCUUUGACUUCAGAGUAUCCUUUGAACUUGGCUUCGUAUGAAAUUCCCGAGCCACCGUCCAAUGGGACGAUCUAUUCAGUAUCAUAAGCAAUAUUUAUAUUCGUUGCUCUAAACCCCCUCCCAUCUCUAUUUAGGCAUUAAACGAUUGCCUAGCCGUUUGAAACCUUGGUACCCUCGCAUGUUACUCUCAACGAAUUUCGCGACUUACAACUUGAGUAAUAGUUGAUGUCCUUUUCCUUGAGUUCGUCGGCACAUGCCCAACUUUGUGUAGCUACGUUCUUCCAAAGUUUUCCCUAUUAUCGCAUUCGUAGGAUGAUGAAGACCCCGAAGGAAGGAUGACAAAUUCAUCAGGAUGACCUAAGUAAGAUAAUUAAAGACUUCAACGAAACGCAUAAAAUUCUUUGGAAAGGACAAAAAAGACCGAGAAGACCCGUUAGAAAUUCGUAACCAAACGUUUCCCCCUUACCUCUACCUCUUAAUUCUCGAGACGAGAAUUUCUUUUACUGGUGGAGAGUUGUGACAUCCCCGGGCUAUGCUACACUAACCCCUGUAAUCAAGCUACAGUAAUCACACGCUAAUGGUGCCAUGUCAUCAAGAUUAACUAAGCCAAAUUGCCCCUUGAUAAAAAAAACCAAAACUAAAUUCAAAUUUAAAAUAAAGUAAAAUAAAUUAUUUCUUCCAACUAUAAAAUAAAAAUCAUGAAUAGGUUGUAAAUAAUCCCUUGGUAAAUAUAAAUUGUAACCAACUUUUUGUAAGUAAUUAAAGGCUUUGAAACCAUUAAAACAGAGGCCAAACAAUAAUUUGAAUGCCCUAUUUAAAUCCUAUAAAUUUCCAAACCACUUUAAAUAAAUGUCAAACUUUUUGUGACAGUUUCUAAAAAUGUAAUAUAGAUAAUGGACCGAGUGCCAUUUUUUUACAAAAGAUUGUUGUUACAAGAAUAAUUAGAACUGAAACAGAUAAAAGAAAAAGCAAAAUGAAAAAGAAAAAGAAAUAACUAAAACCCCCCUUCCCCCCCGGGCCACCGGCCCAUGUCGCCCCAUCCAGCGAGCCGAGCCUGGCCUCCCCGCCGUCGGCCCAACCAGUGGUACCUAACCCCCCCCCCCCCCCCCGAGCGCCCCCCGGCAACCCUNNNNNNNNNNNNNNNNNNNNNNNNNNNNNNNNNNNNNNNNNNNNNNNNNNNNNNNNNNNNNNNNNNNNNNNNNNNNNNNNNNNNNNNNNNNNNNNNNNNNGUCAAGGCCCAAACCUUAGUGGGUUAGUAGCACCACGAACAACCCUCGAAGCACCCCAGUCACCAGCCCUCCCCAAUUCCAAGCACAGGUGACAAGAACUCCAAUUUGUAGCUGCAGGACAGUACUGGCAACACUAGUGUCCUUGCNCCCUUGACCAGCUCGAGCUCCCACUAAACCACAACGUCUAGGCACACUCCCAGCGACACUCAGGACAUGAAGGACACGUCCCAAGCGCCCCAGAGCGAGCCAGCAUGCCGUGGCAUGCCAAAACUGCGCUCUGGCGCACUGCAGAGAGCCACCCGCAAGGGGCCGACGCUCCGGCCGGUCCCAGCUUCCCCAGUAGUGUCCAAGCACUCCCCUGACAGCCCCUCAGUGCAAAGCUACCCCAGGGACCCUCUCCCCCUCGCGCAAGAGCUCAGGCGACGCGUGCCCGUGCGCCCCCGACGCGGCCGAGCAUGCACGGUCGCUGCAGCUCGUCCCCACUCACUUUCCCUCUGCGGCCGUUGCAUCAGGAGGCCCUAAACCACGUCCCGAACCCGUGGUUUCGCGGCCAGCACCUCACUGUKCUUGCACGCGUGCCACGGUGAGUCACCGGCGUGCCCGAGUCGGGUCACCGUCGUUGGCCUAUAAAUAGACCCCCCCCGGCCACUCCAGCACCCUCCAAGCAGCUUCARCACAACCAGUAGACACUCCCUAGCCGCCCAAUCGAGGUCGCAGAGCCCCGGUGCUCGAGAUCGACCGAGGCCCCUCCGCCUCGGAGCUCCGGUCGAUCUCCGGCWACACGUCGGCUCCUGCGCUGCCCGACCUCUCAUUACACUCCCCUCGCACCAGGAACAUUUCCCCUAACUCUCCCGAGCAAAUCCAUACCUCUAGCCCCUAGUUCAACUUGAACCCGAAACCCUUCCGCCACGAGCACCUCGUUGCCGGCGACCCAGACCACCUCUGGUGACGUACCGACCACGAGCAGGUAGGCGGAGGCACGAGGAACCGUUCCCGUUCCUAGCUAGGCCUGAGGACAACGGCAGCCUCGCCGGCGGCCAUCUCCACCUCUCUGGCCAGAGGUAGGAGAAGGACCCGACAGGUGGAGCCCACCUGGCGGUGUCCUGGGGCAGCCAGCGCGCGCAGCCGCUGACGCUGACCCCAGGGGCCCGCAGGUCAGGUUUGAACCUGGCCCACGCGCGCCUGGUGGCCAGGCCUGCUGGCUGGGCCGGCUGGAUCUGUUUCCCUGGCCUUUUUCUUUUGUUUAAUCCAGCAAACUAAAUGAUUUUUAUAAAARGAUUUAGCUAGUAGAAAAAUAUAAUUCUUCCACCAGUAUUUUUCUAAAAAUGAGUAGUAUUUGAUUCUGUAAUAGUUGACAUUUAUCAAUAACAGAAACUAUUUUGGUAUAAUAAAACGAUAUUAAAAAGCACUUGUUUGCUUCUGUUUGCUUUUAAAUAAAUAUGCUUAGCUAAUAAAACAGUAGGGAACAUUUUUCAAAAUAAUAACCUGGAUUUAUUCAAGCCUUGCAACAUUUUUAAAAGCACUUUGUGAACUGUUUUAGUAAAAGCUAGUAUUUAUUUAUUCCUUUCUCGACGGUAGAAUUACCGAGUGAUGGAGGAUCCGGAGCGGAAGACCUCGAAGACCCCGGAUACCUAGCUGACCAAGGCACACAGGGGAUAGGCCAUGACCUAAGUAAAUAAAAUGAUGCAUGCUAGAAUAGCAAGUAUUUUCCAUUGCAUGUAAUCACGAUGUCGGUUCAUCAUUGAUGUGAUGGUACUGAAGGCUUCUUCGAAGCCCUUGCAUUAUAGAAGUGAUUUCACAUGGCUCCUCGGAGCACAAACAUGAUGAGCUUGAUCCUACCAUCUACGAGGAUCAUGCUACUGUCAUGUUGGCUAGUAGAGUAGAAUCACUGCAUUGAGCUUGACCCCGUGAGGGUCAUGAUACUAUCAUGUUGACAAGUAAUGUUAAGGCACAUCAAGUUGACAAGUAAUAAUAGAGCAUUUUAUCAUGAGCAUGAUGAUGAGUUAAAUAAAGAGUUUAUGAAAACCCCGUCGGGUGCCACUAAUGCCCGAAGGUGAUGAUGAGUUGGUGAUCACUUUUGGUGAAGUGAUGCACUGGUGAUUUUGGUGUGAGUAUGGUUUCGGAAAUGGAUUAGAUUUAUGAUGUUUCGACCGUCCCAACCUUACCCAGUACGACCACGAUACCCCUUUAUGGGACGGGGCUUUGUUGAUUACUCUGGUCAGUGCUAGCAAAGAGCCACAUUACUAGUGGCGGGAGUGAUCGGUGUCACUCUCGUGAUGGGGUCGUGCCAGGUAGGACGACUAUGCCAUUAUUAUGAGUUCCAGGCACACCGUUGGUCCCUGCAUGGUUGAUACAGUCCAGAGUCGGUGCUCGUAAGACGUACAACAUGUGGGCUGGGUACCAAUCGAGUGGAUCUCUUUGUCUAGUAUCGUCAGGGGAAAGAUGAUGAUCGGAUACUUACCUCGGGUAUAUGUGAUAUACCGCGAGUCGUGGAUGACACGGAAGUAUUCCGUUUCUCGUGGGUCCAGCGUACUACCUCUGCAGAGUGUAAACUAUUCGAAUAGCCGUGUCCAUGGUCAAGGACAGUUGGGUGGUGCUGCUUAAACUACGUCCUGAGUUUCCGCAUAAACCAAGUGUGUGUGUGUGGUGUUAAAAAGGUGUCGUUAUAAUCAUGAUAAUCACAAUAAUAUGAUCAAGUUCGGUCGUACGUUAGACWWGUAGGKUAAACCGGGUAAACCGGUAGUUUAGGUUUACCGUCCCUACUAAUUUAAACUUACCGUUAGUAGUAAUUUAGUAGAACGUAACGUACCGUAGUANNNNNNNNNNNNNNNNNNNNNNNNNNNNNNNNNNNNNNNNNNNNNNNNNNNNNNNNNNNNNNNNNNNNNNNNNNNNNNNNNNNNNNNNNNNNNNNNNNNNUCUCUUGAAGCGCGUGCGGCGGCGCCACUGCCGGCUCGGAGGAGAGAAGCCGAGAUCUCCUCGACGCGGCCCGCUCCCUGGCGUGCUUCCAAAGCAUGUGCCGCAUUGGGAUGUGGCCAAGGUCAAGCACCCAAGCCCACACCAUGAAGGUCUUUGUGUCGGCGUGCUCGAAUCUGUCUAGUCGGUCGAUGAUCACCUUGUCCCCGAGCGCAUCGGUGAUGCCCUCCAUCGUCCAGAGCAUCAUGGGCAGCUUCUUGAUGAUGAGGCGCAUGUGUGUCCUCCCGCUAAGGCUCCAACGGGAAGGUGACGCUGUCCACCUCCAGCGUGCUGCGGCGCACGAGAAGCUCCUUGUGCGCCGGCAGGUUGAAGUGGAUGAAGAAAUCCUCGGGGUCGUGGUUGGUGAUGCGAAGGUGGUGCGCAUGAUCUAGAACUCCCUCUCGACGGCCUUGCCGAUGGAGUAGGGGUUGGUCGCGUGGUUCUUGCUGGCCGCAGUCACCACUAUGGCGUGCUGCUGCAGGAGGAAGAGUUGCUGCUCCAUCGCCGAUGUGGAGGCGAUGACCUUAUGGCUGUGGAGCGGCCGGCGCCCGUGGUCGAUGCAGGGGGCGUCCGCCGCGGCCAUGGCCUCCUGGCUGGGGAACACGAGCUGGUCUGUCACCGGACGACGCGCGCCCAACCUCUCCUUCACGUCCCUCCCCCACGACGAUUUCUUGGGUUUUUUGGGUACUCCCUACCAAAAUGCCCUGACUGCUUGCAGAUGAUGCAGUGCAGCGGGUCUCUACAGUCCUUUCGGCGGUGGCGAGGGCUAAGGCACCGAAAACAGAGACCUCUGAACUAGCUUAAAAAGGCCUCGCGACCAUGGACGGAGGUGCUUCUGCCGUUGGAUCCCCGUGCUGGACAUCGGAUCUUUACUUGGCCGCCGCUUCUUGCGGGAUUGGUAGGUAGUCCAUCCGUCCUCAUCAAUAGCGUCGGGGGACUGAUUUGGUGAUAGAGGAGGGGCAACUACGAUGGAUCGAAGGCAGGGCUGCUCGAAAGGGGGGGGUACCUAGAUCCGCCUGUCCGUGUGGAGAGCCAUCCUCAAGAACCUCGACCCAAGGCACACAGGGGAUAGGCACACCAGAGCGAUCCAUGGAGGGGAGCGCGGGGCUGGGUGCCUCGGAUGGAUCGGCGGACAGGUUGAGGCCUGGCGACGCAGGGCAUUGAAUGCCGACCGGUGGAGAGGCGGGAUCUUGGGGGUCUCAGCAGGGCGGCAUGGGCCGGCGCGGGUGCCCGGGUGGGCGGCGCAUGGGUAGUGGUGGUCGCCGCGGCCGGAGUGGCCAGCGGCACGAGAGGAAGAGGUGAGCUAGCUCAGCCGCCACACCAUAUUGUUGCUUUGACUUUCUCCCUAGUCCGUGGUGARGGGCCUUGGGGGAGCCAGGAACUGUGACUUUGCUGCUGGCCAUGUAGCAACUCUCUUACCUAAAAAGGAAAAAUACAAUGGAACCAUUGCUAGAAAUAAGGAAUACCAUCAGCAAAGUUGUGCUGUAGUAUGUGCUCCAUCUUUUAUCUCUUCUUGGCACACGCAUCGAUAAUGUAUUUCUAGGGACGGGUUUGCAGCAAACCUAUGAGAUGCCGGAUGGUUGCGCUUCCAGUCUCAAGAAAAAAGAAAUGUGUUAUUUAAUUUUGAUGUUGGCCAAGUAGCAACUCUCUUGCCCCUCAAAACAAGACAAUGAAACCAUCGCUGAAAAUAGCCAAUAACAUCAACACAGAGGUGUAACUAGUUUCACCCCUUAGCCCUGGGUAAUCGAUUUCAACUAGUUCUGCACAGUUCAACUAGAAUGUGACUGGUUUUGCGCGGUAUGCUAUUACCGGUCUGGAAUUUUGAUUAGGCUCUCGAACUUAUGGGAAGAAUUGAGUCAGUAGAUUGGAAACCGUUUCUGUUUGUUUCUUUCUUAUUCAUCCUCGGCAUUCUUUUCUGACGAUCAAAACAGGAGUUAUGCCAAUUUUAUUAUGAUAGAAAAGGAAAUAGAGAGUGACCCCGGUUUAUAAGGGAAACUGGGCCGAAAACCCCAAUGCCUGACUGAGCGAAAACCAAUGAACAAAAGGAAAACUCAAAAAACAGAAGGAAAAAAAAACACUAGAGCUUGGGGAUGUGGACUACAAGAAUGCAAAAGCAAAAGGAAGGCUGGAGCAGAUAAUUCAGGACNNNNNNNNNNNNNNNNNNNNNNNNNNNNNNNNNNNNNNNNNNNNNNNNNNNNNNNNNNNNNNNNNNNNNNNNNNNNNNNNNNNNNNNNNNNNNNNNNNNNGAAUAAAGGUGUGACCGAAUGCAUGGAAAAAGCUAAUUUAGAUGAUGAAAUAAUUCACUGGGAAAAUAAGCUAAAGCAUAUAGAUUGGGAAUAUAAAAAUUCUAUGACAAAAGAUUGGCCUAAGAUAAGAGAAAGAGAAUUGUUUAUAAUUAGAGAAAUUGCAAGGUUAAAAAAACUAAAAAAUGAGAAAUAGUUGGUAACUAGUGGUUCAAUUAUGCCAAAUACAUCAUCAAUUGAAAGGGGAGAACAUGCUGGUAGUAAUAAUGAUGCUAUCACUAAUAGAGAUAAGAAUAUUGCUCAGGAAGAAGAAGUUGUUAGUGAAGAAGAGCAAUGGGAUAUAAAUAAUAAGUUAUUACUAGAAAGUUAUGAAGAGGAAGAGGAAUUAGUAAAGAUAUGUGGUUAGAAGAUAGAAAUWAUAAUAGAUUGGGAGCAGAUAGUGUAUUUUAUUAACUCACUAGAUGAUGUGGGACUAMMAAAUUUAAGACAAAUAGCAAUAGGAAGGACUAUGGAAGGUAAGAAAGUAAGUUAAAUAAAAGUAAAGAAAAGGGAAGUAAUAGGCGGAGGUACUUACGGUAAAAGGUAAAGGAAAGGAAGGAAGGAAGGNNNNNNNNNNNNNNNNNNNNNNNNNNNNNNNNNNNNNNNNNNNNNNNNNNNNNNNNNNNNNNNNNNNNNNNNNNNNNNNNNNNNNNNNNNNNNNNNNNNNGAAUAGAAACCCAACUAAAGUAAAAACCGAACAUAAAAAAGUAAAAGAAAUACCUAAUAGGAAACCGGUAGAAAAAGAAAACGAAAUAGAAUAAAGAAAACCGAAAAAAAACUAAGAAAUAGAAAACAAAAGUAAAAUAAAACUAAAAGAAAACCAAAUAYGAAAAGAAAAGGAAAAAUAUAAAAAAUAGUGAAAACCGAGAAUAAACAAACAAAAAAGAAAAAAAGAAAAAAAACAAAGAAAACAAAAGUUAAUAUGAAUAAAGAAAAACCAAAGACAAAAAAAAGAAUGAAACAAAAAAUAAAAUAAAAUAAAAAGACACGAGCGAGCAUACAACAAGACAAGAAUGCCCACCUAAACCCGAACGAACGAAGAGAAAAACUAAUUAAGGGGUAUACUUGCAGAAGCCAGGUAAGGGUCAUUUUGAUGGGUUGAGAGUGUAUCAAGUGAUGCAUCUAAUCGCUGCCACGUGUUGCAUGUUGGGUCACGCAUGAUUUUAUUUGUUUUAUUUCUGUAUGCAUUUUAAGGUUUAGAUGGAUUUCUUGUUUUCGCCUUGUUUUUUUAGGUCUGUAAGUUUUUAAUGCAUGAWUUUUGCUUCUGGUGGUAGCACAUUAUUUGUUUACUUAAAAAGGACUAUGUUUGCUUUACAACGAAAAGCAACAACUUAUGCAUCUACAAAAAAGAAAANNNNNNNNNNNNNNNNNNNNNNNNNNNNNNNNNNNNNNNNNNNNNNNNNNNNNNNNNNNNNNNNNNNNNNNNNNNNNNNNNNNNNNNNNNNNNNNNNNNNCGUAAUUUUUCUAAUUCUAAUUUAAAAACUAACGUAUUUAAGUGUAAUUUAAAAUAAUUUAUUUUUCUUAUUUUAUUAUCUUAUUAGUCUACUUUAUUAAGGCCGUAGUAAUAGUAUAUUUCCACAAGGUAAAUUAUUUCCUGCCUUAGUAAAUUCUGNGUAAAUUCAUGGAAGCUCAGAAGGACAUAUAUUUUCCAUACAUAAGAUUUUCAACCCUAUUUUAUAUUAAUAUUAUUUGAGUAAAACCCUGAAAACCCAUUUCUGUCUGUUAUAGCUUUUUGAGAUGUUUCCAAAGGAAAAGUAUCUCAGUAAAUUCCCAUAAAAUUACCGGAGCCCUCCCAAACCAUAUUAGGUGCUCACCUAAAAUCUCACCUUGAUCCAAGGUGGGUAAGUGCACUUAGAGAGCCCAAAACCCUCUCUGUCCAGAGUGGAGUUGGAACAACUCUACAUUGCAAAGUUUCUCCAAUAGAGCUGAAACUUUGUAGAGGUGUUUAACACCCCAAAUGAGGACUCCACACCAAAAAUGGGAGUUUGUGAGACUACUGUUUGUACCACACUUCCUUUCGUAGGGUAACGAGUACUGGUCGACUUGUAGAACAUUUUCUAAGUUUAGUCAAAGACCGAAACUUACGGUUCUAAUAGGAGGCUCUAUUAAUUUGGGUUGGAACCCCCGAACUUGGUUUUUAACCCCUAAACGAAACAAAACCUACGUUAAGNNNNNNNNNNNNNNNNNNNNNNNNNNNNNNNNNNNNNNNNNNNNNNNNNNNNNNNNNNNNNNNNNNNNNNNNNNNNNNNNNNNNNNNNNNNNNNNNNNNNGAAAAUAAAACAAAUAAAAUCAUGCGUGACCCAACAUGCAACACGUGGCAGCGAUUAGAUGCAUCACUUGAUACACUCUCAACCCAUCAAAAUGACCCUUACCUGGCUUCUGCAAGUAUACCCCUUAAUUAGUUUUCUCUUCGUUCGUUCGGGUUUAGGUGGGCAUUCUUGUCUUGUUGUAUGCUCGCUCGUGCUUUUAUUUAUUUUAUUUUUGUUCAUCUUUUUUUUGUCUUUGGUUUUCUUUAUUCAUAUAACUUUUGUUUUCUUUGUUUUUUUUUCUUUUUUUCUUUUUGUUUCGUUUAUUCUUCGGUUUUCUACUUAUUUUUUAUUAUUUUUCCUUUCUUUUCUAUUGGUUUUCUUUGUUUUAUUUUAUUUUGUUUUUCUAUUUACUAUUUUUUUGGUUUUCUUUUAUUCUAUUCUUUCUUUUUCUACCGGUUUCCUAUUUGGUAUUUCUUUUCUUUUUUAAUUGUUGGUUUUCUUUUAGUUGGGUUUCAUUCUAGUUUUUCUUCGGUAACCUUAGUAUUGUACCUUUUUUGGUUUCUUAUGUGUUGUUCGUAUUCUUUUCCUCGUACUUUCUUGUGUUAGUAUUUUACAUUUACUAUUUAAAAUAUUAUUUUAUGCUAUAGUUAACUAUUCUUAGNNNNNNNNNNNNNNNNNNNNNNNNNNNNNNNNNNNNNNNNNNNNNNNNNNNNNNNNNNNNNNNNNNNNNNNNNNNNNNNNNNNNNNNNNNNNNNNNNNNNCUAACUUUCGUUAGUUCUUGUUGUUAUGCUCGCUCGUGUCUUUUUAUUUUAUUUUAUUUUUGUUUCUAUUCUUUUUUUGUACUUUGGUUUUUCUUUAUUCAUAUAACUUUUGUUUUCUUUGUUUUUUUUUCUUUUUUUCUUUUUUGUUUGUUUAUUCUCGGUUUUCACUAUUUUUUAUAUUUUCCUUUCUUUUCAUUGGUUUUCUUUGUUUAUUUAUUUUGUUUUCAUUCAUUUUUUUGGUUUUCUUUAUUCAUCUUUCUUUUUCACCGGUUUCCAUUGGAUUCUUUCUUUUUUAUGUGGUUUUCUUUAUGGGUUUCAUCAGUUUUCUUCGGAACCUUACGAUUGACCUUUUUUGGUUUUCUAUGUGUUGUUCGUAUCUUUUUCCUCGACUUUCUGUGUAGAUUUUACAUUUACAUUUAAAAUAUAUUUUUAUGCAUGUUAAACAUCUUGAAAAUACACAAUCAUCAUUGUAAAAUAGAUUAUUUUAAUUGUCUAUAUUUUUGUGUACACUGUUAACAUUUUUUAUUACAUUGGUUAACUUYWYUUUAUAGCAGGUUAAUUAAUUUUUUUUAACUAUUNNNNNNNNNNNNNNNNNNNNNNNNNNNNNNNNNNNNNNNNNNNNNNNNNNNNNNNNNNNNNNNNNNNNNNNNNNNNNNNNNNNNNNNNNNNNNNNNNNNNAUGUCUUUUAGAACCAUGGAAUACUUAAAUAGUCUAGUCAAUGGAUGGGAAGAGCCACUUACCUUAACUUGAUGCUUUCAAGGAGUAUGAGUGGUUCAACGUGGACUUUAAGGUGUGCGACCUUAAAAUUAGCUUCCCUGUGCCACAUGUAGUGCACACAAAAUCCAAAUGUUGUUAGGAUUUAGCAUCAUAAUAAUCAUAAAAUAUUGGAAUUUCCAAUAGGUCUGUUUUCAACCCAAUGUCUCGAUGACCAAGGCAAGUAUUCCAAGUUUGUCAUGUACACGACAUAUUGGAAAAACUAUCUUGGAUGCAACAUGUGCUACGUGUUUGUAGUAUGUGUAGUACAAUCGAGAUGAUACAUAGAGAAUGUGCUUGCCAUAUCCAUUGCAUAUGGUAAAGAGAAGGUAUUCCUCUUUGUUGUCAUUAUAAGUUUCACUAUAGAAACUAUUUUGAUGGACAUCUCUAUGGUUUAGUAGGGUACGAGUUAAACCGGGAAGAAAUAAAGCAUCCUCAAGUUACACGAGUACCCACAGGGAUAGUAAGUAUGACUCAAAUUGAUCCAACAAAUACCUCACUAUGUCUAGCAAUUUUAAAAUAUAUCCUUUCUCUUUAACGAUAGUGGAAAGUUUCACUUCCCCGAGUAUAGAGUUUGUGGUGCAUAUGUCCACAAGGCACACAGGGGAUAGGNNNNNNNNNNNNNNNNNNNNNNNNNNNNNNNNNNNNNNNNNNNNNNNNNNNNNNNNNNNNNNNNNNNNNNNNNNNNNNNNNNNNNNNNNNNNNNNNNNNNAUUGCCCAUAGUGUCUUCAUCAAGAAGUCCUCUACAGGAUUUUGCAUCAUUUCUAUGUAUGUUGAUGAUCUCAACAUCAUCGGCAGUGCACCAGACAUUGAUGAAGCAAGCAAUCACCUAAAGAUGGAAUUUGAGAUGAAGGAUUUGGGUAAAMCCAAUUUUUKCUUWGGKAUUCAACUUGAGMACCUUCCCUCARGAAUCAUGGUACACCAAGMUGCCUAUAUCCARAAAMUNUURGAGARAUUCAAUAUGGACAAAGACAAAUCCUAUCCAUCUAAACUCCUAUGGUGGUUCGAUCUCUAGACAUAGAGAAAGAUCCGUUCAGACCAAGGAAUGAUGGACAAGAGGUGUUGGGACCUGAAGUUCCAYAYYUCAGUGCAGUUGGAGCGCUUAUGUAUCUUGCAAAGCACAAGACCUGAUAUUGCAUUUGCAGUGAAUCUACUUGCUAGACACAGCGCAGCUCCCACCAAACGUCAUUGGUCUGGAGUGAAGAAUAUCUUUCGAUAUCUCCAAGGCACACAGGGGAUAGGNNNNNNNNNNNNNNNNNNNNNNNNNNNNNNNNNNNNNNNNNNNNNNNNNNNNNNNNNNNNNNNNNNNNNNNNNNNNNNNNNNNNNNNNNNNNNNNNNNNNGAUCCCGAUCACGAUCACAAUUCAGCAUUCUGGGUCGACGGCCUGGUUGCCUCGAGGCCAGCCCACUCCAGUGUCCGCGGCCACUAAGUAAUGCUUAGUUUUCCCUUUUAAUACUAGGCUUAUAUAUAUAACUUGGGCCCUUCAAAUUUUGGGCCCUGUGCGGGCUGCACAUCUGGCACCACUGUAGGCCCGGCCCUGGUUCAAGAGCAGGUCCUAAAGCCAAAUAAAGGGAUACAUCGAGUAGCGGAAACUCGUAAGGGCUAAGCGGUGCCCAUGCCAUCAAGCCUACACCGACAGGCAUUCUGACUCGGAAGCGUCCUAGAUUGCAGGUCCGUCUCCGACGGCGUACUCAUCGCCAAACUCCGGUCCUUCCAUGUCUGGUCGAAUAACAUAACCUAGUGGCAAGCCAAUGAGUACUUUGAAUAGUACUCGCAAACAAGCCCAAUAGACAUAAAUGACUAAUGCAGGGCAGUAACACGUGCAUCUUUAGUGGAAUGCGAUGAGGUAGGUAUAGNNNNNNNNNNNNNNNNNNNNNNNNNNNNNNNNNNNNNNNNNNNNNNNNNNNNNNNNNNNNNNNNNNNNNNNNNNNNNNNNNNNNNNNNNNNNNNNNNNNNGUAGCAACUUGUUUACUACUUCAUGAUCAGUACCAAGUCCUUGAAGCUCACCUAAGAGGACACAUAGAUGAUCAUAAGUAUCGUGGACCCAUUCAUUUCCGGUUCUAUUGAAAAGAUUGAGGCAGUUUUGGAGAGUCUCAAUGUGAUAGUCUUUCCGUGUGGAUACACCCUUGUUCACUUUCUCAAGUUUAUCCCAGAUUCUGUUUGAAUUUUCCAACCUUUGGUGUCAAAGGAAUUGCGGCUUUAAGAGAUGAUUACUGACACGUCUAUGUUGCAUCAUGAUUUCUUAUUAGUAUUUAUAUGAUUCUUGGUCAUUAUCCCACUUUAUGGUACAAUUCUUAUGUCUUUUCUCUCUGAAUUUGCAAGGCACACAGGGGAUAGGGAAAUUGCCGAAAACUGGAAUUUUGGACCUGAAAACCAAGAAAAAGGCUGAAAAUUCACUCGACUCCGAAUGACCGGAAACUUCACGAGGAAUGUUUGUGGAAUAUAUAUGAAUUUAUGGAGCAAAAUAUACCAAAGGGGGCCACCUGUUGGUGCCAAGCCAAUAGGACGCGCCGUGAUGGCUUGGGGCCAUCUCCGAGGCACUUCAGCCUCCCUCUUCUGCUAUAAGUUGGGUUUNACCUAGAAAAAAUAGGAAGUANNNNNNNNNNNNNNNNNNNNNNNNNNNNNNNNNNNNNNNNNNNNNNNNNNNNNNNNNNNNNNNNNNNNNNNNNNNNNNNNNNNNNNNNNNNNNNNNNNNNGACCCUUUUUAAUUCUUCAUACUGAUUAGGAUAUGUCUCUACCCAUUGUUCCCAUAGAACUUUUACAGAUUCUCCUAAAAAUGUUUCAAGAUAUGUUAACAUAUCUUCUACCUUAGUUCCUAUAUUAUACUGGUUUUGUAUAUAUUUUUGAACUAUUAAACCUUUCCAUAUGCUGAUUAUAUUCGGCCAAUCUAUAGGGUCAUGAGCUGCUAGGUUUAAAAUAGCGCCAUCAUUCUUAUAAUUUUGAAAUUGCACUGGCUUUUCAAAAUCUCUUCUUUUAGCACCCAUAUAUCUAUAUUGUCCAGGGAUAUAUGUAGGUUGAUAAUCAUCCUUUUCUGGAGGCCAUUGUCCAGCUGAUCUGGUAGGUCUCUCUCUCUCUCCUUCUUCUUUUACCGAAGACUCGCCAUAUCCCUUUCUUCUUUAUUACUUACUUUCUACUUCCUAUAGUCUUCCUAUUGYCUAUUGUACUUAAAUUUUGUACGUCCCUACAUAUCCUAUCUAGUGUAGUUAAUAAAAUCUACUAUCUGCCUACCCAAUCUAUUAUUAAUUUCANNNNNNNNNNNNNNNNNNNNNNNNNNNNNNNNNNNNNNNNNNNNNNNNNNNNNNNNNNNNNNNNNNNNNNNNNNNNNNNNNNNNNNNNNNNNNNNNNNNNAUCUACUACUAUUACUCCACACAUCGACCGACUCCUGCCUACAUCUAGAGUAUUAAUUUCAUUAAGAACAGAGUGACGCAUUAAGUAAGGUGACAUGAUCUAGAGGAAUAAACUCAAGCAAUAUGAUUAAAACCCCAUACUUUUAUCCUUGAUGGCAACAAUACAAUGCGUGCCUCGCUACCCCUACUUUGUCACUAGGUGAGGACACCGCAAGAUUGAACCCAAAACUAAGCACUUUUCCCAUUGCAAGAAUUACCAAUCUAGUUGCCCAAACCAAACCAAUAAUUGGAAGACACUUGCAAAGAUAUGAAAUCAUGCAUAUAAGAAUUCAGGAAAGACACAAAUAAUAUUCAUAGAUAAUCUGAACAUAAACUCACAAUUCAUCGGAUCUUGACAAACACACCGCAAAAGAGUAUUACAUCGGAUAGAUCUUCAUGAAGAUCAUGAAGAACAUGGUAUUGAAGAACAAAGAGAGAGAAUAAGCCAUCCAGAUACUAGCUAUGGACCCAUAGAGGUCUGUGGUAAACUACCCACGCAUGAUCAGAGAGGACAAUNNNNNNNNNNNNNNNNNNNNNNNNNNNNNNNNNNNNNNNNNNNNNNNNNNNNNNNNNNNNNNNNNNNNNNNNNNNNNNNNNNNNNNNNNNNNNNNNNNNNCUUUGUGGUUUAUAAUAUUUGUUUUUCCGAUGCCUUUCUUCUCCAUACGUAAGCGGUAUUUGGACAAUGUUAUUGCAGAAAUUGUAAUCUGACUUCUUCAUAGACCUUUGGGCUUGUAUGCCUGUACAUACCUUUCUUAAUUGUUUAAAAACAAAUGUUAUGGCUUGAGAUAUAUUUACCACGUUUCCACCUGUUUCUUUUUUAUAUUCUUCAAAUAUUAUAGAUCCUAGAGGGUCUGGCAACUUAUUAAAAUAUCUUUCUACAACACCUACAUUAAACCCUUGCUUCGCAGUGGUAGCAUUAUAUAAAUAAUGUUGAGAGAAUUCUUUUAUUCCUUUCCAGCUAGUUAAUGUUAGUUUUUCUAUUUCUCUCAACCUUUCGUUUUGUAGUGAGGUAUAUCCUAAUUCCGGGUCUUCUGCGAUGAUCAUAUUUGAAAUAACAUUUGCAAAGUUAUUAGGGUUACUUCCGACCCUUUUUAAUUCUUCAUACUGAUUAGGAUAUGUCUCUACCCAUUGUUCCCAUAGAACUUUUACAGAUUCUCCUAAAAAUGUUUCAAGAUAUGUUAACAUAUCUUCUACCUUAGUUCCUAUAUUAUACUGGUUUUGUAUAUAUUUUUGAACUAUUAAACCUUUCCAUAUGCUGAUUAUAUUCGGCCAAUCUAUAGGGUCAUGAGCUGCUAGGUUUAAAAUAGCGCCAUCAUUCUUAUAAUUUUGAAAUUGCACUGGCUUUUCAAAAUCUCUUCUUUUAGCACCCAUAUAUCUAUAUUGUCCAGGGAUAUAUGUAGGUUGAUAAUCAUCCUUUUCUGGAGGCCAUUGUCCAGCUGAUCUGGUAGGUCUCUCUCUCUCUCCUUCUUCUUUUACCGAAGACUCGCCAUACUCCCUUUCUUCUUUUAUUACUACUUUCUACUUCCAUAGCUUCCAUUGCUAUUGUACUAAAUUUUGUACGUCCCACAUCAUCUAGUGAGUUAAUAAAAUCACUAUCUGCCUACCCAAUCUAUUAUUAAUUUUCAUCUUCUAACCACAUAUNUUUUACUAAUUCCUUCUUCCUCUCUAUAACUUUCUAGUAAUAACUUAUUAUUUAUACUCCUAUGUCUCUUCUUNNNNNNNNNNNNNNNNNNNNNNNNNNNNNNNNNNNNNNNNNNNNNNNNNNNNNNNNNNNNNNNNNNNNNNNNNNNNNNNNNNNNNNNNNNNNNNNNNNNNUAGCCUCCCCACGGCCAAUCAAACAUUUUCCCACAAAUAGUGAGAAGUACUGAAGCACAGGAAAAUGUAUGCUUGCAAUUCUAGCGCGAGACACUCCUCUCUCCUCUCCAACAGCAAUAGAACCAAUGAAAUCUUCCAAGUCCCAUGGACGAGGGUCACGGAUAUCCCCAACAUAAGGUAAUUUGCAUACAUUGUAAAAAUCCUGCAGCGUCAUGCACUGGGGAACAUCGUAUAUCAUGAACUCAACCAUGGGAGGAUUCUUCCUCGGAUAAAAGUUGAAGCUUUGAUCGAAAAUAUUGGUGAGGAGGAGAUAUUGUGGGCACUUAUCUUCAACGAACGCAGUAAGACCUGCGUUCUCCACCAAGUAAUAAAAGUCUUCAUAAAGUCCGGCGGCACGCAAAAUUCAUCACUUGGCCACUCGCACGCUCGAACUUCUGCGACUCGAAGGACUACGUACUUGGGGUGGUUCUUCUCAUCCUCCUUGUGAUUAUGGCUUGAAGAGCCUCUCAAGAACCUCCUCAUAUUUUCCUUUUCCUAGCUCUGAAAAAUUCUAAAAUUUUUGGAGACUUCAAAAGAAAAGUGAACAAGGAUCAACCCAACUUGUAGCAACUACUCCUACUAGUGCCUAGAGACCGUAUCAUGUGCUAAAACUACUUAGGACCAUCUAAAAUCAACUUUUAUAUCUCAAGAACAGGGUAACCAAGGUAGCAAAAAUUCGCGAAGGAUAAAGCACUAGAGCAAAAACUAAUUGGACCAAUCGAGGAGUCACUUACCAAGGAGUAAUUUCCCCAAAACAGUUCGGAGAAUGGUGCUUUGAGCAAAGAGAUAGAAAAUCACAGCCAAAUGAGCAAGAACACGGGUUUGAGAUGCAAAACAAUUUUUUCUGGAGGUGGAAGAAGAGGCUGGGAGCUGGAAUGAGUGGAGGGGGUGCCUGUGGGCCCCACAAGCUUGCACCCCGCCACCAGGGGGUAGGUGGCGGUGGGGGGCUCGUGGCCCACUGGUCAGGCCCCCUAGCCAGCUCUCAGGCCCAGAAAUUUUCAAAAAUUCCAGACAAAAUCAUACUAAAUUUUCAGGACCAUCGAAGAACUUUUAUUUCGAGGUAUUUUUCUCCGGUACGCUAAAACAGAAAACAAGGAAAGCUAAACUAAUUCCAUCAUUUUUCUUCUAAGCAAAAGAAAAUGAAGACCCUCAAACCAGAGGUAUGUGACUCUCUGAUUCAUCUGUUUCAUGGUCAUCGAAAGAAAUUCGUCAAUGGGGUUGAUCAAGUCCUUAUGACAAAACUUUCUUGAAUCGCAAGAGAGAACGGAGAAUUUUCGAAUAGCCACUAAGUCACCUCAAUGGGGAUAUAAAUCUCCCCAACCAGCAAAUCAUACUUCAUCUUGAAGCGAGGAAUAGGGCAUUCAAAGCUCCCAAUGAGAAUCGAUGAAGUCUUUUCAAUAGCAUUGAUGCAAUGUACUGGGUACCGUUUCUUCAGAAAGUGCACUGUGUGCUCAUUACCGUUGACGUGGAAGGUGACAUUGCCUUUGUUGCAAUCUAUAAUAGCCCCUGCAGUGUUUAAAAAGGGUCUUCCGAGGAUGAUAGCCAUGGCAUCGUCCUCGGGAAUAUCAUAUAUAACAAAGUCUGUUAAGAUAGUGGUAUUAGCAACCACAACAGGCACAUCCUCGCAAACACCGAUAGGGAAAGCAGUUGAUUUGUCGGCCAUUUGCAGAGAAAUUUCAGUGGGUGUCAACUUAUCCAACUCAAGUUUAUGAUAAAGAGAAAGCGGCAUAACACUAACACCAGCUCCAAGGUCACAUAAGGCAGUUCUUAUGUAGUUUCCUUUAAUGGAGCAAGGUAUAGUGGGCACUCCGGGAUCACCAAGUUUCUUAGGAGUUCCACCUUUAAAAGUGUAGUUGGCAAGCAUGGUGGAGAUCUCAAGAUCUGGUAUCUUCCGUUUAUUAGUCACGAUAUCUUUCAUGUACUUGGCAUACGGAGACAUCUUGAGCAUAUCAGUUAACCGCAUCUGCAUAAAGACGGGUCUUAUCAUCUCAACGAAGCGCUCAAAAUCCUCAUCAUCCCUUUUCUUGGAUGGCUUAGGAGGAAAGGGCAUAGGUCUCUGAACCCAUGGCUCUCUUUCUUUACCAUGCUUCCUAGCAGUAAAGUCAUUCUUGUCGUAUCUCUUAGGUUGUGGAUUAUCAGGAUUAAUCGUAGGUUCAAUCUCCACAUUCUCAUCAUGGCUAGGUUGAGCAUUAUUAUGAACAUCAUUGUCCAUAUUGUCUCCAGGUUCAUGUUCAUCACCUGAUUGUGUUUCUGCAUCAGACGCAAAAAUAUCAUUAGGUUCUUCAGGUGUGAUAGUAUUUGGUGAACUGGCGUGCAGGUUUCUAUCAUCCUUCUUCUUCUCCUUAGGAUGACUAGGUGUAUUAGCAUUGAUUCCUUGAGAAUCUUGAUCAAUUCUCUUAGGAUGACCUUCAGGAUACAAAGGUUCCUGAGUCAUUUUUCCUCCUCUAGUAAUGACUCUGACAGAGUUGUCAUUUAAUUCAUUGAGCAGGUCAUUCUGAGCUUUAAGUACUUGUUCUACCUGAGUAGUAAUCAUAGAGGCAUGUUUACUCAGAACCUUCAGAGCAUUGAUAUUUCUGUCUACACAAGCACUUAGAUGGCUAAGCAUACGAGCACUUUGUUCCAAAUGUCUGCUAACAUAAUCAUUGAAACUCUGUUGUUUGGCAACAAAGUUGUCAAAUUCAUCAAAGCAUAGGCUAGCAGGUUUAUCAAAAGGAAUAUUACUCUCAUCAAACCUAUGCAGAAAAUUCACUUCUACUACCUGUAUCGGGUUAUCGAGACCAUGGAUCUCUUCGAUAGGUGGUAGAUUUUUGACAUCUUCAGAUCUAAUGCCUUUCUCUUGCAUAGAUUUCUUGGCUUCUUGCAUAUCUUCGGGACUGAGGAAUAGAAUACCUCUUUUCUUAGGAGUUGGUUUAGGAGGUGGUUCGGGAAUAGUCCAAGCAUUAUCGUUGAUCAAGAGGUUAUUCAGUAGGGUCUCAGCUUGUUCUACAGUUCGUUCCCUAAAAACACAACCGACACAACUAUCUAGGUGGUCUCUAGAGGCAUCGGUAAGUCCGUUAUAGAGGAUAUCAAGUAUCUCGUUCUUCUUAAGAGGGUGAUCAGGCAAAGCAUUCUGUAGCUGGACGAGCCUCCCCCAAGCUUGUGGAAGACUCUCUUCUUGGAGUUGAGCAAAGUUGUAUAUUUCCUGCAAGGCAGCUUGCUUCUUAUGGGCAGGGAAAUAUUUCUCAUAGAAGUAAUAGACCAUCUCCUGGGGACUACGCACACAUCCAGGAGCAAGAGAGGUGAACAGGCUUUAGCAUCAUCCUUUAGAGAGAAAGGAAACAGCUUAAGGAUAUAGUAGUGCGGAUCUUCUCCUCAUUAGUGAAAAGGUUGGCUAUUUCGGAUAGUUUGGCAAGAUGGGCUAUGACCGUCUCAGACUCAUAACCGUGAAAAGGAUCAGAUUCAACUAGAGAGAUUAUCUCAGGGUCGACAGAGAAUUCAUAAUCCUUAUCGGUGACAAAGAUAGGCGAAGUGGCAAACUUCGAAUCAUUUCUCAUCCUAACUUCCCGAGAUUUUUCCUUCACUUGAGAAUUAAUUUCUCAGCGUCAUAGGCAUCCUUACACGCAAGAAAAUCCUCAGAUAUCUCUCCCUCCAUAACGUAACCCUCAGGAAUAUCAGGCAAUUCAUAUCUAGGAGAGCUAGAUCUAGCAGGAGCAAAAGCAAGUUCUAUCUCAAUAGCAUCGGCAGUUUUAGAAGCAUCACGAGCAUUGGCAGUAACUCUAGCAAUAUGAGCAUCAAGGAACACUCCUAGUGGAACAGGCAAAGGAGCAUAUCUAGCAGUAUCACGCAUAGCAUCAUCUGGCAAAAUAGCAUCUCUAGCAUCAUCAGGCAAAGAAGUAUCAAUCAUAGCAUCUCUAGCAGUAUCAGGCAUAGUAUCAAGCAUAGUAUCAUCAGGCAUAGUAUCAAGCAUAGCAUCUCUAGCAGUAGUAUCACAAGCAUCAUCAAGCACAGGCGACAUAUCAAGAUAUCUAGCAGGAGGUGAUGUCGCAAACUUACUCAUAACUGAAGGUGAAUCAAGUGCAGAGCUAGAUGACAAUUCCUUACCUCCCCUCAUAGAUGAGGGCAAGACUUUGGUCUUCGGAUCCUUCAGAUUCUUCAUAGUGAUCAGCAAAUAUAAAUCCCAAGUGACUCAGAGAAUAUAGCAAUACCUCCUCGGCAACGGCGCCAGAAAAAUGCUGACGUAAGCUGUGCUUCCCUGGCAGUGGCUCUAGAAAAGUGAUGAUCCUGCAAUCUCUAGUGUUAGCUAGACGAAUGCUUAUAACAACUAACCUUCUCCUGCAACGGCACCAGAAGAAUGUUGAUAGCACUCCCGAGUAAUGAGACUAGAAGAAUGUUGUUGAUGGCCCACCAGCGCAUGGGUUUGCAGCAGUUUUCGAGUGUAGAGUAUUCGACCCAAUUUGUAGAUAAGCCAGUCAGGAGGUGAGAGUAUACUCUCGAGUAUUAGCAGCUGAAUUUGUCAGAUUCAACCACACCUGAAAGAUUAGUAUCUGCAAGCAUAGUAGUAACAGCAAAGUAACGAGUAACGGCAGUGUAACAAGCAAUAGAAGUGGCAAGGAACAACAGUAGUGACAGCAGUAGCAAGUAGCAACAGUAGCAAGCGAUAGUAGUAGCAACAGUAGCAGCAUAGCAAGACAAGUAACAGCAGUAGCAACAGUAGUAGCAGCAGCAGAGCAAGACAAGUAACAGCAGUAGCAAUAGUCGUAGCAGCAGAGCAAGACAAGUAACAGCAGUAGCAACAGUAGUAGCAGCAGGAGGACAAACUCGUAGGCAAUGGGUCGGUGAUUUGUUUGGAAGCAACAGUAGUACAAACUCAUAGGCAAUGGGUCGGUGAUUUGCUUGGAUGGUAUUCAUCAUGCAACAGCUAUAACACGGAGAGAUAUGUGGCUAGCUCCCGUUCAUCAAUGUGAUGUAGGCAUGCAUUCCGUGUGUCGUCAUACGUGCUUAGGGAAAAGAACUUGCAUGACAUCUAUUGUCCAUCCCUCCCGUGGCAGCGGGGUCCAAAAGGAAACUACAGGAUAUUAAGGUUCUCCUUUUAAUAAAGAACCGGACCAACGCAUUAGCACUUGGUGAACACAUGAACUCCUUAAACUAUGGUCAUCACCGGGAGUGGUUCCGGUUAUUGUCACUCCGGGGGUGCCGGAUCAUAACACAUAGUAGGUAACUACAACUUGCAAGAUCGGAUCUAAAACACACAUAAAUUGGUGGCAACAUGAUAAUUUCAGAGCUGAAAUCAUGGUACUCGGGCCUUAGUGACAAGCAUUAAGCAUGGCAAAGUAGUAGCAACAUCAAAUCUCAGAACAUAGUGGAUACUAGGGAUCAAUCACCAUCAAAACUAACUCGAUUACAUGAUAGAUCUCAUCCUACUCAUCACCGCCCAGCGACCCUACGAAUAGAUUACUCAGGAACGACGAAGAGCUUCAUGGAAUUGGAGAGGGAAGAAGGUUGAUGAUGACGAUGGCGAAGAUUUCCCCUCUCCGGAGCCCAAGACAGACUCCAGAUCUGCCCUCCAGAUGAAGAGCAGGUGGUGGCGGCGCCUCCGUAUCGAAAACGCGACGAAAACUUCUCUUUUUAUUUUUUCUGGGACGAAAGACAACUUAUAGAGCUGGAGUUGGGGGCGGCAGGUGCCUGUGGGCCCCACAAGCCUGCCCACCACCACCAGGGGGUGGUGGCGGGGCAGGGGCGUGUGUCCCACUGGCCCACCCCCUGAGGUGAAUCCUGGCGCAGGUAAUUUUGAUAUUUUCCAAAACUGCUCCCCGUAAAUUUUCAGGAUGUUUGGAGAACUUUGAUUUCUGCACAAAAAUAACACCAAGGCAAUUUUGCUGAAAAUAGCGUCUGUCCAGGUUAGUUCCAUUCAAACCAUGCAAAUUAUAGUCCAAAACAAGGGCAAAAGAGUUUGGAAAAGUAGAUACGUUGGAGACGUAUCUCCCGGCAACCCUGGAGUGACAAUAGCCAGAACCACUCCCGGAGAUGAGCACAGUAUGAGGAAUUCAUGUAUUCACCGCAUGUUAAUGCGUUGGUCUGGUUCUUUAUUAAAAGGAGAACCUUAAUAUCCUGUAGUUUCCAUUAGGACCCCGCUGCCACGGGAGGGAUGGACAAUAGAUGUCAUGCAAGUUCUUUUCCCUAAGCACGUAUGACUAUAUACGGAAUACAUGCCUACAUUAGAUUGACGAACGGGAGCUAGUUACAUAUCUCUCCGUGUUAUAGUUGUUACAUGAUGAAUCACACCCGUCAUACUCAUUCAUCACCAAUCCACUGCCUACGAGUCUUCUACUACUGGUCCUUGCUACGUUACUUUGUCUAGGCUUGUCGCUUGCUACAAAGGGAUUGGGCCACUUUGCUACUACCGUUACUCUGCUGCUGCUGCUACUGCUAUUCCUUGCUACUUCGCUGUUACUUGUUGCAAGAUCCUUUUUCGUCACCGUUGUCGUGGAAGAGUAGUUCCCCGUCCACGUGCAACUUACUCGCGCCAUUGAUACAACAGUUAGGAAUAGUCUGCCGUCAACAGAUCGUUUCUGACACCGUUGCUAUCAUACUACUUUGCUACUGAUACUUUACUUGCAGACACUAAUCUUUCUGGUGUGGUUGAAUCUGACAAACUCAGUUGCUAAUACUUGAGAAUAUUCUUUAGCCUCCCCUUGUGAGCGAAUCAAUAAAUUUGGGUUGAAUACUCUACCCUCGAAAACUGUUGCGAUCCCCUACACUUGUGGGUUAUCAUUGAACCUUUGGGAAUUUUAUCAAAACCAAAAGAAGACCCGGUGUUUGAUCUCAAACCUCUUCCGAGUAUUCUCAAGUAUGCUUAUUUCGAUGAAAAGAAAGUAUAUCCUGUUAUUAUCAAUUCUAACCUUUCAGGAUAUGAAGAAGAGCGAUUAUUGGAAGUCCUUCGUAAACACCGAGGUGCUAUUGGGUAUACCCUUGAUGAUCUUAAGGGGAUUAGUGCAUCUAUUUGUCAGCAUACUAUCAAUCUUGAGCCUGAUGCUAAACCGGUUGUUGAUCAUCAACGACGGUUAAACUGGAAGACCGAAAUCCUCAAGCUUCUAGCCGCAGGUAUUAUCUACCCUAUAUAUCAUAGUCAGUGGGUAAGUCCAGUACAUUGUGUUCCCAAGAAAGGAGGUACGACUGUGGUUCCUAAUGAUAAGAAUGAACUAAUACCUCAAAGAAUUAUUAUUGGAUAUAGAAUGUGUAUUGAUUACAAGAAGGUGAACAAGGCAACCAGGAAGGACCACUACCCGUUGCCGUUCAUCGACCCAAUGCUUGAAAGGGUAUCCAAAAACACUCACUUUUGCUAUCUUGAUGGGAACUCUGGCUUCUCUCAAAUUCAUGUUAAUACUGCCGAUCAAGAGAAGACCACGUUUACUCGUCCCUUUGGUACUUAUGCUUAUACACGUAUGCCUUUUGGUUUAUGCAAUGCUCCUGUUACUUUUCAAAGGUGUAUGUCCGCUAUCUUUCAUGGUUUUUGUGAGGAAAUUGUGGAGGUCUUCAUGGACGAUUUCUCCGUCUAUGGAACCUCUUUUGACCAUUGUCUCCGCAACCUUAAUAAAGUUUUGCAAAGAUGUGAGGAGACGAAUUUGGUACUCAACUGGGAGAAGUGUCACUUCAUGGUCAAUGAGGGAAUUGUUCUUGGCCACAAGAUUUCAGAAAAAGGAAUCGAGGUGGACAGGGCAAAGGUUGAAGCAAUGUAGAGAAUGCCUUAUCCAAAAGACAUCAGAGGUAUUCGUAGUUUCCUCGGUCAUGAUGUUAUCUAUAGGAGAUUUAUUAGAGACUUUUCUAAAACUUCGAAACCCCUUACUAAUCUUCUCCAGAAAGAUAUUCCUUUUGUGUUUGAUGAAGAUUGUAAGGAAGCCUUCGAAUUUCUUAAGAAAACCUUGAUAACCGCCCCUAUAGUCCAACCACCUGAUUGGAAUUUGCCAUUUGAAAUCAUGUAUGAUGCUAGUGAUUUUGAUGUUGGAGUUGUGUUAGGACAAAGGGCUGAUAAGAAACUGAAUGUUAUUCAUUAUGCUAGCAAAACCCUUGACACUGCUCAAAAGAAUUACGCUACUACUGAGAAAGAAUUUUUAGCGGUAGUGUUUGCUUGUGAUAAGUUUAGGCCUUACAUUGUUGAUUCUAAAGUCAUCAUUCAUACUGAUCAUGCUGCUAUUAAGUAUCUUAUGGAAAAGAAGGAUGCCAAACCAAGGCUUAUCAGAUGGGUCCUUCUUCUUCAAGAAUUUGAUUUGCAAAUUGUUGAUAGGAAAGGACCAGACAACCAUGCAGAAGACAACCUUUCCAGGAUGGAGGACAUACCACACGAUCCCAUUCCAGUCAACGAUAGUUUUCCUGACGAACAGUUAGUUGUUUUACAGGUGAAAUCUAAUUCGGAUCCAUGGUAUGCAUAUUAUGAUAACUUUAUUGUUGCAAAGUUUUUGCCUCUAGGUUUAACAUUCCAGUAGCGGAAGAAGUUCUUCCACGACUUGAGGUAUUACUUUUGGGAUGACCCGCAUCUUUUUAGAGAAGGUGCGGAUGGAAUUGUGAGGACAUGCAUACCGGAGCAUGAGCAGAAGAAUAUCUUGAGACAAUGCCAUAGCAGUCCUUAUGGAGGACAUAAUGCCGGUGAGAGGACCGCACACAAGGUUCUCCAAUCAGGUUUUUAUUGGCCUACUCUCUUUAAAGAUGCUAGAAAUUACGUUUUAUCCUGUGAUAAGUGCCAGAGAGUUGGUAAUAUUACUAGGAGGAAUGAGAUGCAUAUGAAUUAUUCACUAGUCAUUGAGCCUUUUGAUUGCUGGGGUUUUGAUUUUAUGGGUCCUUUCCCUCCUUCACACAAGUACACUCACAUCUUAGUAGCUGUAGAUUAUGUGACCAAGUGGGUUGAAGCAAUCCCCACCGAAAGUGUUGAUCACAAGACAUCUUUGGAAAUGCUCAAGGAUGUAAUCUUCCCUAGGUUUGGUGUACCUAGGUACCUCAUGACCGACGGAGGAUCACAUUUUACACACGGUGCUUUUAGAAAAUCUCUAGCCAAAUAUGAUGUUAAUCAUAGAAUUGCUUCACCUUACCACCCUCAAACAAGUGGGCAAGUUGAGCUCACAAAUAGAGAGAUCAAGUUGAUCUUGCAAAAGACAGUGAACAGUUCUAGAAAGGACUAUUCCAAUAAGCUAGAAGAUGUCUUGUGGGCAUAUAGAACUUCUUACAAAAAUCCCAUGGGGAUGUCUCCGUAUAAGAUGGUUUAUGGCAAGGCAUGCCAUCUAGCUCUAGAGUUAGAACAGAAAGCUUUCUGGGCUGUUAGAGAGCUUAAUGUUGAUCCAAAGCUUGCUAGUGAAAAGCGUCUCAUGAACCUGACUUCUCUAGAUGAGUGGAGAAGUGAAGCUUAUGAGAGCGCAAAAAUGUUCAAACAAAAGGUAAAGAAGUGUCAUGACAAGAUAAUUUUGAAACGUGAAUUUAAUGUUGGUGACAAAGUUUUGUUGUAUAGAUCUUAUAUCAGGCUUUCUCCAGGUAAAUUACUUUCCAAGUGGGAAGGACCGUACCAUAUCAAAGAAGUCCACCGCUCCGGUGCAAUCAAUAUUAAUAAUUUUGAAGGUACAAAACCACAUGUUGUGAAUGGGCCAAGACUCAAGCAUUACAUGGCUGGAUACCCCAUCAAUGUAGAGGUGGAUGUGAUACAGGUAGCCUCUCACGAAGAACAUAUUGCAACACUGUAUCAGACACCUGCAGAAGCAGAAUAAGAAAAGGUAUGAGAUACGGUAAGGAAACUUUGCGAACAUCAAUAAAAGUUCUGUAUUAUGUGUUUUUGCAAAAUUAGAAAAAAUAUGAGCCGGAGCAGAGUCGGAGAGGAGCUCUAGGUUACCCAGGCGACCUGCUAGCACGGGCUAGCCCCUAGCCGCGCCAGGAGGCCCCCUGGACCACCCGGAGUUCGUCUCCGACCCUACUUUGGGUUGUUACCUUCCUUUUGGUGUAGAAAUUUUUCUUAUAUACUUUCCCGGAUCGUCCCAGCUUUGUAUCUUGCGAUUCCGUGUGUUUUCUCUUUCGACCUUUUUCUGCCAGGCUAAGAAGCUAUUGUUCGAGAUGUCUUCUUGCGACUCGAGCGGGGAAGAGUACACAGGUCGUCGUCUCUGCCGCGUCGAGCAGGAUAUCAACCAAGGGAAUGUCACCGGAUGGGCUACCAAUGAAGAGAUAGCCGCAAGACAAGCGGAGAUGGAGUGCUUCGUGAGAGAGGAAGUCAAGAUGGUCACCACCCAGCAAGAAGGAGAUCCUUCAUCACGAGGAUCCAGCUCCAACAACCCCAUCCUUGUGGGGUUUAUUAACCCUCAACAUGAUCUUUCUCUGAACCUUCCAGAAACUGCCCCUCCACUAGGAGCUCCACCUGUGUCAUCUACUAUAUCUGAAGCUUACAGAAUCACUAACCAAUUCUCUGAAGACCUUCGUGUGCUUAAAGUAUAGGUGGCCAUGUUGGAAGCUGAAAGCAAAACCCUUCGGUGCAUAAUAGCGGACUUGAAGAACAACAAGUAGGAUGAAAAGUGAAAUUUUCAUGGGUAAUGGCAUUUUCUUAGCUUGUCCCAAGCUUGGGGGAGUGCCCGGUAUCUUUAUUUUUUAUCCUUUACUUUUUAUGGUCAAGUUUAGUGUCGUAUCAUGUCUAGGGAAGUUAUCUUAUGAAAUAGGUGUUUGCAUUAAGGUCUAUCACUCCUUUGUGGAGAGCUUGUAUCCGUGAGCGUGCAGUGUCUAUGAUGGAAUAUUAAUGAGAAAGCUAUUGGUUUCUUUGUUGCACUUGGUAUCCUCUUCAUGCAAUCGAUCUUAUAUGGUGAUUCUUAUGCGAGUAUUUAUCUUACACAUCAGGUAUGGCUUUGAAAACUUUAUUUAAUCUUUGCAAACAUAGCAUUGGUCAUAACAACAAGCAAGAGUUUUUCUAGUAGCGACUUAGCCAAAACCUUAUGUUCUUAUGCUUGAAGUGUUAUGCUGACAAGGAAGACAACUUGAUGUUUUAUGCCAAUUCUUUAUGUAAAACUUUAUAUUGUUUUGCAUCCAAGUCAACAUUAUUUGUCUGCUCUUAAAAGCCUUUGCUAGCUAACCCUUGCACUAAGCGGGAAUACUGCUUGUGCAUCCAUACCCUGAAACCUCAACCUUCUCAAGAGUCCACCAUAUCUUCCGUAUACGUGGUAUUUCACCGCUACUCCUAAAGUAUAUUACUCAUGUGCUAUCUUUAAACCUUCAAAUAUUACUCCCUAUUUUGUGCCCCUGCUUUAGCUCACGAGGAAGUAGUAGGAAUUCUUGAUCUUCUCAUACUUGACAAGUUUUAUCCUGGGUUUGCAUGUUUAAUCUGCAAACCCCUAAUACCACAAGGGACUGGCAUGAGCGCGCCCAGCUCGUAAAAGAUAAUAACAACAAACAAAACCUCCUUCAUGCUUUGUUGAUGAGAAAACAGAAAACUUUGGUAGUGAUAAACAAAGGAGACUAAGGGGAUGUGAUCGUCCCCACUUUGGGAGCCGUUCCUCAAAACUUGUCCAGCAUGAGAAGUAUUGGGCUAUCUACUAGCAUUGGUUGACAAAUCAUGCACCUCUCAAAAGCUUGUUCUACAAUCUUGUUGAUUUCAAAAUCUCUAAAAAUCUCUAGCACAUGAGUUUUCCCUACUUCCCUAUGCGAAGGGCCAAUCUUUUACUUUUAUGUUGAGUCAGUAAACCUACUUCUUUCUAUCCUGAAAAGAGCAGACACGUUAUGUUGACAAAGAUGCAUGCAUUUAUAUUGAGAAUUGAGAAUUCCCAUAUCAAACCUUUGUUGACAUUAUCAUUAAAAUAAGUGAGAUGUUUGUUAGGACUAGCUAAAGCAAACAUCUUCUUUUGUGUUAGCAUUUUCACUUCUUGACUAAUAACAUGUUCUUUCAAAAAGAUUCAAUUGAUCUCAUCAAAAUAUAACAGGUAGAGCAAAAGUUAUUAGUUAUUAGUUGUUCUUUGACCAAGGACAUGUUUGCUAUGGUUUGAUGAGUUUUCUUAGCUCUACUUUUGAUUGUGAUUGAUACUACUCUUUCAUAAGGGCCUUAUGAGUUGAGAUUGUUGUUAAGGAUGGUUGAGUUUAGUAGAGAAAUUAUGAUGCUUCUUGUCCGUAUUUCUAUUUAUCGACACUUCACUCUCUAAACUUGUGGACAGGUUUAGCGAGCUCAGUAUUCGCUUGGGGACAAGCGAGGUCUAAUCUUGGGGGAGUUGAUACGUCCAAAAUGCAUCACUAUUUUGUAUCAUAAUUUGUCUCUAUUCAUUGAUAUAUUUCACUUUAUGAUGGUGUACUUAUAGUGUUUUGGCUUAUUUUACACAGCUUGCAACUUUCCAGUGCCGAAACAGCAGACGCGGGAUUCAACGGAGAAAAUAGCACGAAGAGCUGCAAUAUCAGAACAUCUCCAAUUGUGAUGAAUUUUGAGGGAAGAAGUUUCCGAACAGGUCCCGAAGACAAACCAAAGAAGGGCCGGAGGGGGGCACACGUCACCCAGGCGACCUGCUGCCCCCCCCCCUAGGCCGCACCAAGAGACCGCUUGGGUGAUGGGCCCCGCCUCCGGUGCUCUCCUUUGGCUUAUAUGUUCCUCUUGACCUAGAAGUUCCGGGGACAGAAGAGUUUUCGCGAUUCCGCCGCCACUCCGUGGCGGAAACCUACACAGAAGAAAAGACCUUUCCGGCGGGCAGAUUCCGUCGGGGAGAACUCCUCCCGGAAGGGGAGAUCGUCCUCAUCGUCAUCACCAUCGUCACGGGCAUCAUCGAGAUCAUCAUCACCAUCAUCACCAAAAUCAGCACCAUCUCCACCUUCAUCCCAUCUACUUCACCAUUGCAAUCAGAGUUGUACCUUGCACUAUUCAUCCCCUCUACUCUACCGGUGUUGAUUACUCUUUUGUGGUGAAUGCUAUUGAGUUUUGUUGGAGGAUUAUUGUUAUGACCAGAUUGUUAAUCAUAUUUUCAUCACCUCUGAUCAUGAUCUCUUUUAUGUCUUGUGAGUAGUUCCGUUAGUUCUUGAGGUCAUGGGAAAAGUCUAGAUGGUAGUAGUCAUAUGAUGUUGAACUAAUAUGUGUUGAUUAAUAUUUAAGUUAUGGUGUUAUUCUUCUAGUGGUGUUAUGCGAACGUCGACUACAUAACACUUCAUCUUUUUAAGGACCUAGGGGAAUGCAUCGUGUAUAAAGAAUGCUUAUGGUGGGUUGCCGGAGUGACAGAAACCUGAACCCCAGUUCGCAUACUUUUGCAUGAGUAUUGGAUCCUAAAGCUUAUUGCUAUGGUUAGGCUUAGCCUUAAUUUCUCUCUUGUAUUUGUGGAUGCUUGCAAGAGAAAUUAAUCAUAAGAGUGUACUUGUCUUAGCCUAGAAGGUGCACUAGUUAAGAUCCACCCACAUAACACUUAUCAAUACAAAACAUAGUACUAGACAGAGUAUGGCGAAAGCACUUGACUAGCUCUCCCGUGUGUCCUCAGGAACGCCUUAGUCUUUAUAAGUUUAGUCCCUCGACUUAUCCUUUGUGUUUAAAAGGAUUGAGCCACUUUCUGCACCUCAACACGAUUUACUUUACUUGCAUUUAUUUCCUUGUUGCUUGUACUAGAAAACCCAUAAAAAGUUACCUUUCAGUACUUAUAGUUAUUCCUUGCUCAAGAUCACUUGUCAAUACCUUCUGCUCCUCGUUGGGUUCGACACUCUUACUUAUCGGAAAGGCUAUGAUAGAUCCCCUACACUUGUGGGUCAUCAAGAGGCUGGACACUUCGCCCGACAAUGCCCAAAGGCCAGGAAUGGUGCAACUAAAGCUAACCCUUCCAGAUUUGACCCAGCACCAAAGCGCAACAACUUCAACCCCAACAACAAUCACGGGAAGGGUCAUGUAAAUCUUGUCGCCAAAGAAGAUGCUAUGAACGUGCCUGAAAUAGUGCUCGGUAAGUUUCCUAUCAACAAAAUUCCUGCCAUGGUUUUGUUUGAUUCUGGAGCUUCCCAUUCGUUCAUUUCGGAAAAAUUGUUUCAAAACACAACUUUUCAACCCUCCCCUUGGAAAAUUCGAUGACUAUCAAGACCCGGAAAAUUCAAUGACUAUCAAGAUUACACAAAAAUAUUGCUAGGACGUUGCUAUUGAGAUCGAAGACUCGACGUUUUGGGCAAAUCUCAUUGUGAUCAAAAGCAACAAUGUGGAUAUUAUUCUGGGAAUGGACUAGCUAAAUACCAACAAGGGAUUUAUUGACUACUUCAACCGAAUAGUCACACUCACCCACUAUAAGGGUAAAAGAGUGAAAGUUGCAGCUUAAAGAAGGGGAAAUCGGACAAAGCACAACUAAAUCAGAUGGAAGCUACUGAGUUGAAGGACAUCCCAGUGGUAUGUGAAUUUCCGGAUGUAUGUCUUGACGAACUACGAGGCUUGCCACCAGACCAGGAAAUAGAAUUUGUCAUUGAACUUGCACCUUGCACCGCCCCAAUAUACAAAAGUCGUACUGCAUGGCACCUACCGAGUUAGUCAAACUCAAGAAGCAAAUAAAAGAACUGUUGGACAAAGGAUACAUCAGACCAAGCUCUUCACGUUCGGGAUCACCAAUAUUAUUUGCCAAAAAGAGAGAUGGGACGCUAAGACUUUGCAUCGAUUAUCGAGCCCUCAAAAUGGCCACCAUCAAGAACAAAUAUCCACUACCCAGGAUAAAUGAUUUGUUUGAUCAAUUAGCACAAGAAAGGGUAUUUUUGAAGAUCAAUUUGCGGUCAGGGUAUUAUCAGCUUAAGAUACGUUCAGAAGACAUUCCAAAGACAACAUUUAUGUCACGAUAUGGAUUGUAAGAGUUUACGGUAAUGCCUUUCGGACUAACAAACGCACCAGCUUACUUCGUGCAUUUAAAUAAUAAGGUAUUCAUGAAGUACAUGGAUAAGUUUGUCGUAGUCUUCAUCGACGACAUACUUGUCUACUCCAAGAACCCCGAAGAACAUGCGGAACACCUAAGAAUUGUGUUGGAAGAACUGCGUAAACAUCAAUUGUAUGCCAAGUUCAGCAAAUAUGAGUUUUGGCUGAAGCAAGUUGGAUUUUUGGGACAUGUAAUGACCAAAGAAGGCAUAGAUGUGGAUCAUGAGAAGGUCAAGGCUGUAAGUGAAUGGCCGCAACCAGCCAACGUGAUAGACAUCCGAAGUUUCCUUGGAAUGGCGGGAUACUACCAGAGAUUUAUUGGAAAAAAAAUCCGUGAUUGCCAAGCCCAUGACCCAGCUACUCAAAAAGGAAAAGAAGUUUGAAUGGACUGAAGCAUGUGAGAAUAGUUUCCAAGAGCUGAAGAAGAGACUGAUCACGGCUCCCGUGUUGAUUGUGCCAGACUUAAACAAAAAAUUUGAAGUAUAUUGUGACGCCUCAAGGAAAGGCCUCAGAUGCGUACUUAUGCAGCAAGGGAAGGUCGUGGCUUAUGCAUCACGACAACUACGCCGACACUAAGAAAAAUACCUCACUCAUGAUUUGGAGUUGGAUGUCAUGAUACACGCUCUCAAGGAAUGGAGGGGGUUUUUGCUUGGAAAUCGCUGUGAAAUAUACACUGAUCAUAAGAGUCUCAAAUAUAUUUUCAAGCAGCCUGAUCUCAACCUACGACAACGGCGUUGGUUGGAGUUAAUUAAAGAUUAUGAUGUGGGCAUUCAUUACCAUCCUGGUAAGGCUAACAUGGUAGCCGAUGCACUUAGCCGGAAACCCACCUCAGACAAGGGCCCUGUACAGAAGCUAAGACCUGAGAUUGCGAAAGAGUUCGCUCUGCUAAACCUGCUUCUCGUUCCAGAAGGCACAGUGGCACAACUAGAAGUACAACCCACUGUGGAAGAGAAUAUCAAGAAGGCUCAGAAGGAACACCCCAGCAUAGAGGCAUAAAGAAAAAGGUGAACCUUGGGAAAGCCCCUGAAUUUAUUAUUGACGAACAGGGAAUUUUAUGGUAGGGAGACCGACUGUGUGUACCAGACUAAGAGGUCCUCAAAGAUCAAAUUUUGGAAGAAGCUCACAAUGUGCCAUACUCUAUCCACCCCUGAGGUACAAAAAUGUUCAAAGAUCUCCAGACAAAAUAUUGGUGGCACAAAAUGAAAAGAGAUAUUACCUCUUUCAUUGCCCGUUGUGAUUCAUGCCAACGAAUCAAGGCGAAACACCAGAAGCCAGCAGGACUGUUGCAACCUAUGAAUGUACCCGAGUGGAAGUGGGAUGAGGUAGGCAUGGACUUCAUUGUCGGACUACCCCAGUCACGACACGGACACGAUGCUAUAUGGGUUAUCACAGAUCGACUCACAAAGAUGGCUCACUUCAUUCUAGUAAAGACUACGUACUCCACUCAGAAGCUAGCAAGGUUAUACCUCGCCCGUAAUGUGUUCUUGCAUGGGAUACCUAAAACUAUUGUAUCCGAUGGAGGCACCCAGUUUACAUCAAGACUUUGGGAGUAUUUGCAACAAGCUUUGGGAACUCAGUUAGUGUUAAGCACAACAUAUCACCCUCAAACUGGAGGACAGACCGAACAUGUAAAUCAGAUUCUCGAAGACAUGCUCAGGGCUUGUGUGCCCACAUAUGGAAACAGUUGGGAAGACAGUUUGCCUUACACCGAAUUCUCGUACAACAACAGUUAUCAAGCAAUCUUACAAAUGUCACCUUUUGAAGCCUUAUAUGGAAGAAGAUCUCGUACGCCUCUAAAUUGGUCAGAAUCCAGAGAUAGUUGUAUCUUCGGCCUGCAACUACUUCAAGACGCAGAGGACAAGGUAAGACUCAAAAGGGGCUGACUCAAGACAGCCCAAAGCCGUCAGAAAAUGUAUUACGAUCAGAAACACCAUGACAUCGGCUUCAACCCAAAUGAUUAUGUAUAACUAAAGGUAUCACCCAUGAGAGGACUACAAAGGUUCAAGGUCGAGGGCAAGCUUGCGCCCCGUUUCAUUGGACCAUUUCGCAUAAUUGCUCGAAGAGGCCAAGUUGCCUACCAACUGGAUCUACCCGUAGAACUGUCAUACAUGCACGACGUGUUCCACAUUUCUCAACUAAGGAAGUGUGUAAGGAACCGUGAUCAACAGGUAGCCAAUGACAGUAUAGAAGUGCAACCAUACCUAUCCUAUCAUGAACAACCCAUGAAAAUAUUAGAGGAAGCAGAAAGGAGGACACAACAGAAGGUCACCAAACUAUUCACGGUACAGUGGAGCAACCAUUGAGAGGAUGAGGGCACUUGGGAAAGAGAGGACUUCCUGCAGAAAGAGCAACCGCAACUUCCUGAGGACUGGCUAAAAUCUCGGGGAUGAGAUUUUUCAUAAGGGGGUAGGUGUUGUAACAACCAAAUUUUUAAUUGGAUUUCUUGAUUUUAAAAAAUUAGAUUUUAAAUUUUGGCUUUCAUAAAAAGCUUUGAAGCUCUUUGACAACCUCUUUGAGAAAACUUUUAGAGCUUUCUUUUCUCAACCUGCCUGGUUUAAAAAGUAUUCUUUUAGUCUGUUCUCAAAAUGAACUGGUUUGGGGGAAUAUUCUAUUCUUUUGCAAAACCUUGGAAAUUAUUCCUAUAGGUUCAAUUAUUUCUUUAAAAGAUUUUCUUUUUCCUCCAUCCUGUUUUAGACCAUUUUGCACUUCUACAUCAUCUAGGUCUUCAUUCUUAUGUAUUUACCAAAACUUUAGAAAGGUUGGACCACCCUUCAUAAUUUAUUUUUAAUAAAAGAAAUUUAUGUAAUCAGUUUUGACCCUAGCAAAUUUACAAAGGAACUCAGUGAUUCCUUUGAAAUUUUGGACCCCAAACUCUUACCCUUAGAAGACCUUACUACCCUCAACCUAUUUCACCAAAAACCUUGGGUUCACAAGUUUGAAAUUUUCAAAUUUGAUUUGAAUCAAGUUUCACCAAAGGAUUCUGUUUUUAUUAAAAACCUGCCUUAAACAUUUUCAAAAAUUCCGAAAAUUUGCAGACAGCCUCUGCACUCAAUGAGAGGCCAUCUCAUAAAUUUUCAGCUCCAAAGACCUUUUCCACGUGCUAGUUUCAUUUGAUCAAACAUCUGGUGGGCACUGUAGCCAUCUAUCUCUGAAAUUGAUUCAGUCAAUUCUUCACACUACAGUGCUUCAUUGAUUCAGUCCAUGUUGCCGCUUCAUCAAUCUCAGCAGUGCCAACAAAGACCGUUCGUCCCUGUUCUCGUGCCUAUCCUCCUGCCGCAUGUUCCCUUGGAUGUUUGCUGGCAUCGGUGGUGAGCUGACCUAGGCUAGCCAGCUCUGAACGCAUCACCAGCACCGGCUGUCGCGGCCACCAGAGCCACCUCUAUUGCAGCCUCUCGCUGUUCGGCACCGCCCAAUGCCCCUCUGAUCUCCGCGUGUCCUUGCUCUCCAGUACGCGCCGCAUUUGCCGUCGCCACGUCCCGGGGAGCGUAGAGCACGACCUCUCCUGCCGCCGUGCACAAGGAAGACCGCAUUGUCGAGCCGCGUCUUGUGCCGAUGGUCGACCGAGCUUAGGCCAAAAAUGGAACCUCUGCAUCAAGUAGAUACUAACCCAACCCCUAACCCUUCUGAUUAAGCCCCGAGAUCGCCGGAAUUUGUCGCCGGAGAUAAGCUCCGCGGCACCCCCUCUAGGGACUCUAUAAGUAGAGCUCCUCCCCUGUUACCGAACCCCUCAUCCACUCAACCACCUUCCCUCCUCUCUCCGAAGCCUUUCCCAAGCCAGAGAAGGGCCUCGGAGAGGUCUUCUUCUCCGACUCCGGCCACUUCGAUCCUCCCCUGGUCUCGACGGCAUUCGAGCAAGGUAGGCGCAGAGCUGAGCCCUAGAACCUUCGAGUAGCUCCUUGGUGAGCUCCUCCUCAUAAGCCCAUCGUCAAUUUGGUCGCAGGUGAGCUCCUCUGUGAGUUCCGGAAUUGCCCGAAGCUGUCGUCCACCGGAGCAAGGUCACCGUCUACGUGAAGCCUCUCCUUCGCCCAAAUCUUCCUCUCAUCAACGUGCGGGUCCUUGGUGAGUGCGUCGACAUCCUCAGCCAUCCCUCUCCUUUCUUCUAUCUCCGCUGGCGACCAUCGCAAGCCUGUUGCGCCAGUGAAGAUUCAAACCUUACACGGGGGACCCCCUCGUCAGUGUCAGCUCUCUCUCUGAAUCGUUUUCAGCGAAAGCGCCUUUGCUAGAAGCCGCCUUCACUGCGGGUUGGCGUAUUUCUAAUUCGAGCGCUCUAAGUUUCUCACACUAGCCCCUAUUCUAAUUAUGUUUAAUUACAAAAUAGCCCCUAGUUUUAUUUUGCUUAUAACUUUUUAUCUACAAAACUUUUUCAUUGAUUCUUUUUGCAAAAUCUUUCUACGAGGGUCUAGUUUAUUUUCGGAUUUAUUUAAAAAUUAAUUGGAUCUAGUAGCUAGGCCUCAACUCGUACGAUGUUACAUGUUAUAUAAUGUAGAUUCCGAGGAAGGAAACACCGACGUUAACUUCACCAAGAUUGGUCCCGACUACGUGGAACCAGGCAAGCAUGUUUGAACUUUUGAUGUGUCAUUUGCUCACUAACAAGAAUUUAAUAUUCAUCCAUUUGCAUUAUUGAAGCAUGUUGCAUAUCUUAUAAAUAAUGUUAAAAACCUGACUAUGGCAAAUGAUGGUUAUGAGAGGUCGUGGAUAACCUAGUCACGCGGAACAUUAUAGGUUAUGGCAUGGUCAUGACAAGUGCAUAAUGGUAUUGGUAAGAAAUAGAUAACUCCAGUAUCGACCUAGAUCGAGUCUUGUCCGUGUCUUACUUUCUUUAUCGUGCUACCGCAGUUUCCUGAAUAAGGGUUCGGUAUAGUCGGUCGUAGGCCUAUUAUUAGUCACACACCAAGUAGAGGGGCCGUGAUGAAGGUAUACAUGGCCCUGGACUAAAUCUAGUCAUCCGGUCAGGGGCAUGGGUGUUUCCGGUCUGGGACCGAGAGGGGGGGCACUCCCUUGUAGCGCGCGGUAUAAAUUUGAUCCCAUGCUAGUCGAGGUCGGAGCCUUCCCGUCUUAUGGUUUUGCCCUAACAGCGCAGUCCGGGUGAAGUCAGGCUUCGCGGGGGUAAAGUGGGUGUGUGCUGGUUCUGAGUGUAUGCUUCUAAAAUACCGUGCAAGGGAUUAGUCGUAUUGACUAUCGGAACCCGUGAGCUAUGGGUAAAGGGUACACCCUCUGCAGAGCUAAAAAUAUUCGAGUAGUCGUGUCCAUGGUUAAGGGCGGUCAUUUGACAAGUCAAGUGUCGGUCUUAGAGUCGUCCUUGGAGUACGAGUGGUGGAACAAUAAUAGUUAUGGAUAUCUAACAAUAAUGUGGAAUAUUUUAAGAUUAUCUCCUUGGUUCAAGAAUUAUCUUGAAGGUUGGUUGUACCACCCGGAUACUUCUUAUUUAUUUAUAUGCCCUUUCUGUGGUGUCGCUAUGACACCCGACUGUGCCUUGUUAUUUAUUUAUAUGCCAUUUCUGUAGUGUCGCUAAGAUGCCCGAUUGCGGCUGUUAUUUAUUUUUAUGCCCUUUCUGUGGUGUCGCUAAGACGCCCGACUGUGACUUGUUAUUUAUUUAUAUGCCCUUUCUGCGGUGUCGCUAAGAUGCCCGACUGCGGUGGCUAUUUAUUUUUAUGCCCUUUCUGUGGUGUCACUAAGACGCCCGUUUGUGGCUUGCUAUUUAUUUUAUGCCCUGUAUGUGGUGUCACUCAGACGCCCGACGGUGGUUUACUAACCCUUGUUAACCUUUCGAGGCGUCGCUCUAGACACCUGAUCGGUGCAUUUUACCUUUCUAUUAGGAUAUCUCGGGAGGAUUACCGCACGAUUUAUCCACUAUCUUAAUUUAUUUCUAACACAUUCAUUUUGAUAAAUUAUGAUCUGAACCAUGCAUAUUAAUAACUGACUGCAUGCAUCUCAUCUUUUGUGCAAACUGUUUGCGAGUACUUUUCGAAGUACUCACUGGCUUGUUGAUGUGGCCAGAUAUGGAUGAAGGAGACCUCAUGGAUGAAGAGUUUGAUAGCGAGUCCGAUGUCUAGAGGAGUCCUAGACAGUCUUGCGGUCCUGGAGUGUGCCGCUAUAUUAUUUCACCGCUUCCGCCACCGCGAAUAAACCAUCAAGCCUCACUCUGAUGCUUGGCGCAUAGUAGUACUUGUCAUAUCACAUUACUCUGAUGUGACGUGCCGCUUUUAUUGCGAGCAGUAGAGUAUCCUAUUACCACUGUAACAUAUCCAUUUGUGUGAGACUUGGACAUGUUGUAAUAAAUUGUAGAGCAACCUCUGCUCUACCUGUUUAAUAUUAAGUACUACUGGUUUUCUCUAUCAAGAUGAGUCUAUCAGUGGGAAAUAAUUUUCUACACUGGAGACGCACAUGGCUGAUUUCCAAUUAUUUUAUGUGGAAACCAGUCGUGACAAUAUGUGGAUGACAUAUUGUUGAUGGUAAAUGAUAUAGAACUUUUGGAAAACAUAAAGGCAUAUUUGAAUAAGUGUUUUUCAAUGAAGGACCUUGGAGAAGGUGCUUACAUAUUAGGCAUCAAGAUCUAUAGAGAUAGAUCGAGACGCCUCAUUGGUCUUUCACAAAGCACAUACCUUGACAAGAUAUUGAAGAAGUUCAAUAUGGGUAAGUCCAAGAAGGGGUUCUUGCCUGUAUUGCAAGGUGUGAGAUUGAGCACAGCUCAACGCCCGACCACGGCAGAAGAUAGAAAAAAUAUGAGUAUCGCCCCCUAUGCUUCAGCCAUAGGAUAUAUUAUGUAUGCCAUGUUGUGUACCAGACCUGAUGUGAACCUUGCCAUAAGUUUGGUAGGGAGGUACCAAACUGAUCCCGGAGUGGAUCACUGGACAGCGGUUAAGAAUAUCCUUAAGUACCUGAAAAGGACUAAAGAUAUUUUCUCGUUUAUGAGGUGCCGAAGAGCUCGUCGUAAAGGGUAACAUCGAUGCUAGCUUCGAUACGGACCCGGAUGACUCCAAGUCACAAACCGGAUACGUGUAUAUUUUGAAUGGUGGGGCACUCAGCCGGUGAAGUUGCAAGCAAAGCGUCAUUGCGGCUUCUACAUGUGAAGCGGAGUACAUAACUGCUUCGGAAGCAGCACAGGAAGGAGUCUGGAUGAAGGAGUUCAUCACUGACCUAGGAGUGAUUCCCAGUGCGUCGGGCCCGAUGACUCUCUUCUGUGAAAACACUAGAGCUAUUGCCAUUGCCAAGGACCCCAGGUUUCACAAGAAGACCAAGCACAUCAAGAGUCGCUUCAGCUCCAUUCGUGGAUACAUUCAGGAUGGAUACAUAGAUAUUUGUAAAGUACAUACAGAUCUAAAUGUCGCACAUGUGUUGACUAAACCUCUUCCACGAGCGAAACAUGAUCAGCACCAGAACUUUAUGGGUGUUCAAAUCAUCACAAUGUAACUAGAUUAUUGACUCUAGUGCAAGUGGGAGACUGUUGGAAAUAUGCCCUAGAGGCAAUAAUAAAAUGGUUAUUAUUAUAUUUCCUUGUUCAUGAUAAUUGUCUAUUAUUCAUGCUAUAAUUGUAUUAACCGGAAACCGUAAUACAUGUGUGAAUACAUAGACCACAACAUGUCCCUAGUGAGCCUCUAGUUGACUAGCUCGUUGAUCAAUAGAUGGUCAUGGUUUCCUGGCCAUGGACAUUGGAUGUCUUUCAUAAUGGGAUCGCAUCAUUAGGAUAAUGAUGUGAUGGACAAGACCCAAUCCUAAGCAUAGCACAAGAUCGUGUAGUUCGUCUGCUAGAGCUUUUCUAAUGUCCAGUAUCAUUUCAUUAGACCAUGAGAUUGUGCAACUCACGGAUACCGUAGGAAUGCUUUGGGUGUGUCAAAUGUCACAACAUAACUAGGUGAUUAUAAAGGUGCACUACAGGUAUCUCCGAAAGUGUCUCUUGGGUUGGUACGAAUCGAGACUGGGAUUUUUUGUCACUCCGUGUGACGUAGAGGUAUCUCUGGGCCCACUCAGUAAUACAUCAUCAUAAUGAGAUCAAUGUGACUAAGGAGUUAGCCACGGGAUCAUGUGUUACGGAACGAGUAAAGAGACUUGCCGGUAACGAGAUUGAACAAGGUAUAGGGAUAUUGACGAUCGAAUCUUGGGCAAGUAUCAUACCGAGAGACAAAGGGAAUUGCAUACGGGAUUGAGUGAAUCCUUGAAAUCAUGGUUCAUCCGAUGAUAUCAUCAUGGAAUAUGUGGGAGCCAAUAUGGGUAUCCAUAUCCCGCUACUGGUUAUUGGCCGAAGAGGUGUCUCGGUCAUGUCUGCAUGGUUCCCGAACCCGUAGGCUCUAUACACUUAAGGUUCGGUGACGCUAGAGUUAUAAUGGGAAUUGUAUAUGUGGUUACUGAAAGUUGUUCGGAGUCCCGGAUGAUAUCUCGGACAUCAUGAGGAGUUCCGCAAUAGUCCGGAGGUGUAGAUUUAUAUAUGGGAAGUCCAGUUUCGGUCAUCGGAAAGGUUUCGGGGUUUAUCGGUACUGUACCGGGACCACCAAAAGGGUACCGGGUGUCCACCGGGAGGGUACACCUGUCCUGAAGGGCCACAUGGUCUGAAAGUGGGAGGGAACCAGCUCCCUGGUGGGCUGGUGCGAGCCACCAGAGGCCCAAGGAGCAUAGGGCAAAAACCCUAGGGCGUGGGGCUGCCUCCCUCCAACUUGGGAGGCAAGCCACCCCUAGGACUGUCGCCGCCCCCUCCUAGGUUUUCCUAGGGUGGCCGGCCCCCUCUCCCCUUCCUCCUAUAAAUAGAGGAGGGUUGAGAGGGUUGCGCACACCCCUGAACCUCUCCCCUUGGCGCAGCCCUACCUCUCCACUUCUCCUCCUCCGCGGCGCUUGGCGAAGCCCUGCCGGAGAACCACAAGCUCCACCACUACCACGCCAUCAUGCUGCCAGAGCUCUCCCUCAACUUCUCCUUCCCCCUUGCGGGAUCAAGAAGGAGGAGACGUCCCACGUGUGUUGAACGUGGAGGCAUCGUUCGUUCGGUGCUUGGAUCGGAUCGCCGUGAGUACGACUCCAUCGACCGCAUUCAUAGUAACGCUUCCGCUUAGCGAUCUUCAACCGUAUGAAGAUGAUCUCCCUCUCUCGUUGCUAGCAUCUCCUAGAUUGAUCUUGGUGACACGUAGUUAUUUUUUUGAAUUAUUACUACGUUACCCAACAGUAGUAACAUCCAAAUCGGUAAUGUCAGAUUUAGUGGCAAGUAAACAACCACUCUUUAGUUUUAUUUCAAAUGCAACACUAGAUGAUGGUUUAUUAGGAUUAUGGUGUUUCUCAAUUUCCUUUGCUACAAUCUGAUUUUCACUCUUAUGUAGGUCCUAUUUUGCUUUACUAUCUCUAACAAUGUCAUCUUUCAUAAUAUGUUGAGUAGACAUAGGAAGCAAAGUUAUAUUUUGAUCCUUAUAAACAAGAGUAUACUAAUUUGUCCUACCAUGGUGUACACUUUUUUUAAUCAAAUUGUCAUGGUCUACCAAGUAAAAGGGAGCAUGAUUGCAUGGGUACCACAUCACAAUCAACAAAAUCAGAAUAUGUAGCAAUGCUAAAAUGCACAUGAACAGUACGUGUAACCUUAACCUUGCCACUGUUGUUGAACCACUAGAUGUAAUAAGGAUGAGGAUGUGGUCUGGUGGUGAGAGACAGCUUCUCCACGAACUCCAUGCUAGCUAAGUUGUUACAACUCUCUCCAUCGAUGAUUACGCGAACAGAACGUUCAUUCACAACUCCCUUUGUAUUGAACAAGAUGUGCCUCUAAUUUUCCUCAGCCUAUGUUACCUGCAUACUUAAAACAUGUUGAGCAACUAAGCUUUCAUAAAUGUCAGCGUAGUCAGUACCAUGUAGUGUGUCUCUUGUUCAGUAUCAUCUACACCCUGUUCUUCACUUGCAAUAAGAGCCAGAGUCUCCUUGUCAUAAUCACUAGCGGAGUCAUAUCCACCAUCCUCAGUAACAAUCAUCACACGCUUGGAUGGGCACUCUCUCGCAUAAUGACCUCCACCCUUGCAACAACGAGAGAUAACCUCAUGUGUUUUCCCUGUGGAUGCCAUGGAUGAAGAAGAGAUAUGUGCUAGCCCGAAAGGUGUGCUCUUGGCGGGGGGUGGGGCAGGGGCCUGUUUCCUGGUAUCUCCGUUGGAGUUGGUGGUUGAAGUAGGCGAUGCUGAUGCGGGAGGACGUGCGGAAGUAGAUGAGGUCUGUGGCGUCCAUGAGGAAGUGCGACCUGCGGAAAAGUUAGUUCUCGCCAAUGCCUGACGAUCCUGCACUUCACGUUCAGCUUUGCAAGCAAGAUGGAAUAAACGAGUGAUAGUGUUAUAAUCCUUAUAUUCUAGAAUAGUCUGAAUAUCUCAAUUCAAUCCACCCAUAAAACAUGCAAGCAUAGCUUCAUUGUCCUCAACAAUACCACAUCUAAUCAUGCCAGUUUGUAAUUCCUCAUAAUAUUGUUCUAUAGAAUUUUUUCCUUGUCGUAAACGCUGCAAUUUUUGAAGUAAUUCACAUUGAUAAUAUGGUGGAACCCAACAAGUACGCAUAGCAGUUUUCAAAGCAGCCCAAGUAGUUGGAAUAUUAGCAUGAUGUAUUCUACAAUAUUCAGACCACCAAACACAAGCAAAACUAGUGAAUGAACAAACAGCAGCAGCAAGACAUUAUCCUCAGGAAAUUGUAAGCAUGUAAAACGUUUCUCUGUUUCAACUCCCAAGUAAGAUAUAUAUAUAUAUCAGGAAAUCCAUCAAGAAAAUCUCAAAUUCUUACCAGUUCUUACCCAGCAGCAGGUGGUGAUCGGCAACUAGUGUAGUCAAAACUCUCAAAGCUUGGAUAGAGCGAUUGCGAGGUGGUGUCAAACACAUGAUGUAGAUGUAUGUGGAGGUGGGAAGGCUUAUAAUAUAGUAGCAAAAAAGGUCAGCAAUAAUCAGUUCAGAGAUGCAAAGUUGAAAAGACGCUCAACGACGGUACCGUGUUGGUCCUAGGCUAGAUCGUACUAGAGACGCGAGCCUAGAACACCAACAAAAUCAUGACGCUACACGUAAUCAAGGGAAGAGCUACUCUGGUUUUAUUUUCUAUUUUUUUGCUUUUUUUGUAUUUUUUUCUCCAGAAAAUCACUAUAAUGGCUAGUGUCUCAAAACUCUUCCAAAGGACUAAAAAUAGGAUAGACACGGAAAAAAUUGACUAGUUUUUUUAGAGCAAUUCGGGGCUGCAACGACCAAAAAUUGCGACAAAAAUCGCUAUGGUGGUGAGUGUCUAGAAACUCUCUAAAAAGCGUAACAACACGAUGGGGGAAAAUCACCUUUCAAUUUUUUUCUGAAACCUACAAGGAUCUUUGCACUUAUCCCAAGAAUCUAUGCUAUUCCUAGGCAAAGAUUAAAGCCACACUUUAGCUCCUCCUCUCAAGGAGAAAGGAAAAAAGCUUAAGUUUAACAAUAUCACCAUCUACUUCUUUAUAUUUUUGCAUAUCACAAAGCUCAACAAAAUUGUUCAAGUGCAAAGGAGCAGCAUCUCCAGCACCGGAGAAUUGAUCUUUCAUAACAAGGUUCAGUAAAGCAGGUUUAAUCUCAUAGGACGUAGCCCCACUCGCGGGAGCAGCAAUAGGAGUGCAGAUAAAGUCAUUGUUGUUGUGACUAGUGAAGUCACACAACUUGGUGUUCUCAGUGGAACCCAUAGCAGCAACAACAAGCAAGAACAAAGCAACUAAUUUUUUUGUGGUUUUUGGUAUAAACUAAAAGGCAAACUAACAAGACUAAAAAUCGAAGGUAAAGGAUAGCGUACAACUCCCCUAUCUUGAAGACUGGAGUCCCCGGCAACGGUGCUAGAAAACUUGCUUGAUGACGAGUUGAUGAAUAUACUUCUCGACCCUCGUUGGUUACCCCAAGAGGAAGGUGGAGAUGUAGUCAGCAGCAAGUUUUCCAUUACACAGAGAAUGUAAGGUUAAUCGAACCAGGAGGACUCCAAGGAUCAACAAGUAGGUGUCCUCUGCCCUCGCGCAAGCAAAAGACGUGAACCUGCACACACACACAAAUAACUUUGCUCCCAACGAGUACGGAGAGGUUGUGAAUCUCGUCGGCCUUCUAGUUUGCAAAGGAUCAAAACACAAGCGGGAAUAGUGAUAGUGAUUGCAACGGAAAAAUAAAUGAAAGCAGUAAAUGAUGGAGGUGUAAGCAAUGGUGGUGAUAUGGACCGGAGUCACAUGAUGUUCACUAAUGAUGUCUCUCUCCCAAAAGACGAUAAACAACUAUGCUUGGGUAAACAAAUUACAGCCGGGCAAUUGACAGAAUUAUAAACGCACCGCAAUGCUAAUUAUGCUACUUGAAAGUUAGAGGCUCAAUAGUAAUGGGCAGUACGCCCAGACAAGUAGACCAUUUAUUCAUCAACAUCUACUCACUAAUCAUCCACCUUGAGAUAUUUAUCCAGAACAUCUCGCUGGUAUUAAGUUGCGAGCCCCAACCAAAGUGUAAACUCAAAGCAACGGACAACUGCAUUAAUGAACUAUGUGUAAGGUAAGCAAUCCUUCCAACCGUGGUCACAAGCACCGUUGUUUUCUUCCUAGUGGCAACAACACAUCCCCUAGUCUCAUGUUUACAUCACUCAAGCUAGACAUCAGGGGGCAUGAACCCACAAUCAUGCAUAACGCUCCCUCUUGGAGUUACAAUCUACUACUCGGCCAAAGCAAUACAAAGCAACGAAGAACAUGCAUGAAUCACUAAAGAACAUAAUAUAAAAGGAUAAUCAAAUAUAUAACUCAUAAAAAUUUGAACAUAAGCUCAUAAUCCAUUGGAUCCCAACAAACCGAGCAUAGAUAUAGCAGGAAAAAAUACAAAGAUGCCUUGAUCAUGUAGGGCAGCUCACAAGGGUUAAUCAUGGGAGCACAAGAUUGGAGAGAAGACAUCACCUAGCUACUAGUCAUGGACUCCUGGUCCAAGGAGGACUACUCACGGCACGUCCGGAAAGCGUCCAUGGCAGUGGAGAAGCUCCCGGAGGUCAAUCCUCCCUCCGGCAGGGUGCCGGGAAGAGGUCUCUUGACGCUCCCGAUCUCAGGAGCGCUGUGGCGGAGCAACAAUGGAGAAAUUCGCGAUUCUGGAUGUGUUGGAAGGGUUUCCUCUCGUAGGAGUAAAUAUAGGCCAAAGGAGGGUGUCAGAAGAGGUGGGGCCCACCCAGGCGGUCUAUGGGCGCGGCUAGGGGCCAGGCCGCGUCGGGUGGUCGCCUGGGCAGCCCUUGGCUUCCCUCUGGCCCAUCUUCGGUGAUCUGGUAGCUUCUGUUACGCUAAUUUUUAUAUAUUUUUCUCAGGAUUUUUGGGGCUCCAGAAAAUUGGGUAAAAGCCCGUGCAAAAAAGACAUCAACAGACAGAAACAGGCACUGGGUGCACUGAGUUAGUAGGUUAGUCCAAAUAUGUGUAAAAAUAUAUAAAAGUGUAGCAAAACAUAUAACAAUGUCACCCAAAAGAUCAUGGAACAAGCAGAAAUUAUAGAUACAUUUGAGACGUAUCAGUGAUAUAUGGCAGCAAGGAUGAUGGUGGCGUGGUGGUGGUAUAUGGCAGCAGUGAUGAUGGAAGCGUGGUGGUGGUAUAUGGCAGCGGUGAAAGAUGGCGUGGUGGCGGUGUGACUACCUGUGAACAGAACUCGAAACUCUAAAGGACUGGACACUAAGACCAGUAACUCAACACGAUGAUGUAACCGCAAAUACAACGAAGAAAAAUACUAAAAAGACUAUUCAAAGACUCGGAUUGGUUUGGAUAUGAUGAUCUAAUCCUAAUUUUUUGUGGCUUUUCUGUGGACUAUUGGUAUGAAGAACAGAUGCGAUCUAACUACGAAAAACUGGUAAAAUCUCACCGAGCAACCUGGAAAUUUGAUACCACUUGAUAGAGGCAAAGUUGUCCAUGUCUUUCGAUGAGAUGGUGGUUAUCGUUUUGGUGGAGUAGACUUUGACGAUCCGACUAUGAACGUGUGAGGACAUCGCGCCUUAGCAAUCGCUAAACCAACUCCAAGAGGUUAUUGACCAUGCUGGAGCACGAUCAACUUGACCACGAGGGUCUAUUUCCUGCACGCAAACAAAGACCAAGCAUGAAACUAAGAUUGCAAUCUGGAUAUUGAAAAUAUAAGAGGCGAGCUUUAUUGAUGAAAGUGGGGUUUUGUGACGCCUUUGCCUGGUCAUGGAACACAAACGAAGAACGCGAAGUUGCAACUAUGGAAAACUUGUAAUCUAAACAAAACCCAAUUCUAAACAGCGCUCUAAGGGGUGUAUAUAUGGGGGGAUAGAGGAGGAAUUUCGUGACCCCUUGGAGGAGGGGUAAGAAACCGACGCUAACUUAGUUUCCCCACACAUACGGAAUCUAAAAAUAGCCUAUAAUAUGGUAUUUCGAAAUUACAUGUGCCUGGCCCAAAAAUAAGGUGGCGCAACACCUAUAAUAUCCUAUGGCCGAAAUUUAUAAAGUGGCAUCUUGAAUAUUUUUUCCAAGCCUUCAUGCUCUCCUUAUGGUGGCUUCAAUAUGUGAAAAUCAUGAGUGGAAGCUCCAUUGUUCUUUCCCCGCGUGCACCUUCUUCUCCAUGCUUGAUCCUGCUCCAUCAGAUAUCCUUCUUGUCCAUGCUAGUUCCUUCAUUCAUAAGUACAACAAAAAUAUCUAACUUAGGCAGCAUCACAUGUUCAUCAACAUUAGAAAGAUUUUCAAGAAACGAAAGUACGUGGUAAUUCGAUUGGCGUGAGUGAGCUCUAGUAACUGGUCGAGUAUGUAUAGCAGUUGGGGCUGUGGGUGUAACAAUGGUGUUGAUGUCCUCAUUGGGGGGCGAGCUAGGGUUAGCGGGGGAGGGCUCGUUGUCUCCUCACAGGGCGGGGGUGGCCACUGGAUGGCCCGCGCGUGGUCGAGGGGAGGCAUGACGGGCAUCCCCUCCCCCUGGCCACUAUAGCCGGAGGUUAGGGAUGGGGGAGGGAUACGUGGGCCGGUUGGGGGGCUUGGGCCCAAUGGGGGUGGGCUUUUAUUUUAUAUCAUUUCAAAUUUUAUUUAAAAUCUUAUGUUUUGAUUUAGGUUUAGCACUAAAUUAAUUAUGAGAAAAAUAUGGGAUAUGGUCCAAUAUUUGAAAUGCAAUAUUUGGUAGUGCCACAAAACGUUUGGGGCCCUUUUGGAAACUUUGGAAAUUUACAUAAUUUAAAAGACAUUUAUUUAAAUGUUUUGGCCUCUUUUAUAAUUGUUUUGAGGCACCAAAGUACUUUAUAAAAUGUUGGUUUCAAUUUUAUAAACAUGAGGGGAUUAUUUGCAACCCAAACAUGAUUGUAGUUUUCAGUUUUGAAAAAAUAUUUAAACCACAAAUUAAAAGGAGCUUGAAUUUCAAAAGGAAUUUGAAAUGAGAUAUGAUUCCAAUGUGAUCAAAUAGGGUUUAGCAAAAGCAUUAUCUUAACCACAUGGUUUACUGUAGCUUAAUUGCAUGCAUCAAUGUAGCUGAAAUCCACGAGUGCUACAAAAAGGUAGUCUCCUCAACACUCAAUCACUCUUUCACAAAUUUGGCUUGGGUAGAAGAGAUUGAUUGGGUGGAAAGCAACUUGGGGAGGCUAGAAAACAAGAUUCAUAUGGUAGGAAUGGAAUAUCUUGAUCUAAACACAUGAGUAGGUGGCUCUUUCAGAAAAUUGGAUGGGGUAAGUGUUGGUUCGUUCUGAGUGCUUCCUCUUCAAAUGAGAGGCUGGUGGAUGGGUAUAUAUAGGCAUCUCCAAAAUUCCAAAUGUUACAACAUUAUUGCCCAACUCGGUGAAACCAAAGUAAGAAACUCGGUUGCACCGACUAGUGCAAAAUGUGGCAACUUUAGGCUUUUCGGUGACACCAAUAUAGAAAUCUCGGAGGUUCCGAUGUUGGCUGGCCUCGUCAGUUACCAGACUCGGUGGCACCAAUUUGCAAAACUCAGAAAUUCCGAUUUUAGCGAAUGGCUAUCCAGGGAGUUGGUCACUAUGUUCCGGUUAGACCGAAACCAAACUUGGUGGUACCAAGAUGUUAGGGUUUGGCAUAGAUUCUGUCUCGGGUAAAACUCGGUAGGUCCGAUUUGGAAAUAUUGCUGGCACCGAAUUUGACUUUGGGGUUUGGACAGAAUAUUUGUGGGAGAAUUUCAUGAGUAUUUUUGGUGGCUAAUCUAUAAGCUCUUGAGCAACUAGAUCAUCAUAGACACCUCAUCCCCUUUUAAUAGUAUUGGCUUUCCUAUGGAUGAAAAAGUGAUUUCUCACAAAAUGUAAAAUUUAGAGUCUUGAAGCUUGUUGCCAAUAGAUGUUCCUUGCAUCUAGGGGUUCUCCUCACAAUCCUUAGCGAGUCCAUCAUUGAUCUUUUCGUGAAAUAUACUAGAUAGAAUCAUUAGUCCAAUGACAUAUAUGUUGUUAUUAAUUACCAAAACCACCUAGGGACAAGUUGUGCUUUCACUUGCUUGGGUCCCUAGCCCGUCACUAAUACCUAUUUUGGACCCACCACUGCUAGGCAUUCCUGUAGUAGUCGGGUUGAUACCUCGUAACGCACUCCUGAUGAUAACUCUAUAGUGUAGCUAAUCGGUCAUGGAUUACAGAGGGUGAUUCCUCCUUCACCACUCCCGAUAAUGACUCUGUCAUGCAACACCUCAAGUGUGAGCCCUUGGAGGGUGAUUCCUCCAAGGUCACCUUGACGGUUACAUGGAGUGGGAUCCAAUGAGGGUUAUUCAUCAGAUUCCCGUUGAUGUUAUGGACACACGGUUACUUUGACUUUACCCCAGAACCAUGUUGAAGUCGGGUCUGCCCAAGGGGUACCCGCCAGAAAUGAGAAGUCGGGUUGACCGUGAGAGUAUCCAUGAGUGAAUUGGAGUCGGGUUGACCUGGAGGGUUCCCGCGAGAUAAUUAUGCGACAUGGUCGGGCAAUCUUAGCCCUUGUUGUAAGUCCAGGAGACGGGACCAUAGAUCGUGGAUCAUUGAUCGUCUUUGCGCGCUCCCAAGACACUAACGGUUUGGAUAUGUGAUCCGAGUAGGCCUCUCGCAUUUUUGCACUGACCACCAUGCAGGAAUAAGUAUGGGCACUCUGCGUCGUACAUUUCUUCUGAAAGCUUUUUAGCCCCACAGUUGAGCGGCACGCGCUCGGGUGGUCCGCAUAAGCACAUGCUUUGUACAAAGAGGUAGCCACGACUAAUUCUGCUCGUCCUUGCAACUGAAAGAUUGCAAAGGACGAUUGGCCCAUGACCCAUUCGCAUUUAGGAUGUAGACCGACGUGUUGGUCUUUGUGUUGAGCCUAGGUAGGACUACGAUGUGUCGAUCAGCCGAGGUCGGGCAUGAUCUGGAAAGUGUGUCCAGCCAGAGUUAAUCUGGGGUGUAGGAUAAGUUGGUGCACCCCUGCAUUGAAGUAUUUAUAUUCGAAGAGUCGUGUCCAUGGUAACAGACGCUCGGAGAGUAUCCCAAUCUACUACAACUAGAACUGGAUACUUGUGACACUAAACAGAAAUGAUGGCUUCAAGAUCGCUUUCUCGCAGGGAGUCGAGGAAGGAUCUAUGGGCACUGCUACUACAUACUUAUCACAUAUGUUAUACUAAUAUGUACUCUUCUAAUGCUGCAAGACGCUAGUCUGUGAUAGGCUAGGCCUUCCCUUCUAUUCUGGCAUUUCCGAAGUAUAGUCCAUAGAUAGAGCCCCUUCCCCUUGAAAGUGAUGCAUAUUUAGCAUAGAUGUGAUGUAAGUCUUGCGAGUACUUUGGAUGAGUACUCAUAGUUGCUUUGCUCCUUUUUUCUCCUUGAUAUGAUUGCUGUGAUCAGAUGACGGAGUCGAGGAGCUAGCUGAUCCCGUCGAUGACUACUACUACCCCGAUAGAGCCUACAACUACGUGGAGGCCGCCGACGACCAGGAGUAGACAGGAGGCUCCCAGGCAGGAGGCCUGCACCUUUUUGAUCUAGGUGUCAUUGUUUUGCUCAGCCUUCUUAAGGCAAACUUAUUUAAUUAUGUCUGUAAUCAGAUAUUGCUGCUUCCGUAGACUUAUGUAAUCGAGCCUUCGCGUUGUUUGUAAUAUAAAACUUUAUGUUUGAAUUUGUGUCUAGAGUUGUGUUGUGAUAUCUUCUCGGGAGUCUCCGAUCUUGCCCAUGCGCAUUUGCGUGUAUGAUUAGUGCACAAUUAAGAUGGGGGUGUCACACGACAUUUAGAUAUGUACAACAACGACGUCGGACCAAGAUGGUGAGCAUGAAAGAAAGGGGAAAUACACGCAGAGUGGAAGAAAGGGGGGGUCAUGAGGGGGAUUUCUAUGGGUCAAUGGUGCCGAAGUCCUACAUAACUAGUGUUUGGACACCCGCAAAGCCCUCUCGAGUUUGAAUCCAGUUUGAUGGAAAAAGGAUGAGUGGACUAGCCCGCAGAUGGAUACAUUAUCACGUUGAAUGGCAAAACACAUCCGGACAGCUCGGUCCAUACGGAUGGGGGCGGUUUAAGGGCCAACGUUGAAGAUGCCCUUAUUCUUUUUUUAGGGAGGAGGUGCCCUUAUUUGUGGGUGUAGAUAUACAUCGCUUCACACAAGUUGGAGCAACAACUCACUCACAUAAUGAAAGAAGUCCGUCUUUUCUCUUAUUUUUUUCCUUUCUUUGUUUUUGUUUUUUGUUUUAUUCUUGUUUUGAAAAAUAUUGUAAAUAUAAUUAUAUAUUUAAAAACAUAAAUAAUAAAGGUUAAUUUAUAAAAAGUUUAAUAUAUUAUAAAAACAAUGUUUACAUGUAUAUGGAAAUUAUAUUAUGAAAAUGUUCACAUGUUUCAAAAAAUGUAGUUGAAAUUCUAAAAAUGUCAAUCAUAUAUUCAAACAAAAUGUUAAACAUAUUUCAAAUAAAUGUUUCAAAGGUUUAUAAAAAAUAUUGGUAGCAUACAAAAAUAUAUUGGUGACAUUUUAAAAAUGUUUCACGUCUAAAACAUGUAAGUGGCAUUAUAAAAAAUGUUAAUCAUGUGUUUGCGAAAUGUUACACGUAUAUCAAAUAGAUGUUUUUGACGUAUAUGAAAAAUGUAUAAUGCUUAUGAAAGGAGUAAACAUCAAACAAAUGUUUGAAAGAAAUGUUUAAACAUUGUAUUUGAAAUGCAAAAUUUGUAUUGCGAACCAACCUGUGGUUGGAUGAUUAGAGUGACACUGGUAUCUUUAGCCCACGAUGUUUCAAGUCUUGGUACUCACAUUACUCCUGGAUUUAUUUCAGGAUUUCCGACAAUGCACAUUUAGUGGGAGGAGACGUUCCGUCGACGACGAGGCAUCUAUGAUGACUUCGUAAAUCUUAAGGUGAUAUCUGGCUCAGUAUCUCGAAUGUGCUCAUAAGAACAUAGUUAAUACUUAAUAGUAUAGCCAACUGCUGGCUAUAUGAUGUUGCCAUGUCACGUAUAAUCACCAUUUAUAGCCACACAUAUAAUUAUGUUAGUUAUAAGGUUGGCUAUAAGACUACUACUUUGUCCUUCUCCUUGUCUAUUUUUUUGUAUUUAUUGAAUUUGCCUAGGAGUACGCAUAUAGCUAAGCUCUCGCAUGAGGCCACUUUCAACGCAUUGGUGCUAAGAUGAGGUGCUAAGCACAUUAAAUAGUUUAGCGACUAUAGUCUGCAAUCAUAGUUGCUUAGCUUAUUGUAGCUAAACCUACUUAUUUAAUGCUUUUGCAACUAAAGUUAUACAUGCAUCGGUGCAUUUCUUUCAUUUAAUUCCCCCCCCGUUUUACCUAGGUUUACGCGUUUAGCAUUGUUUCUUUCCGAUGUCAUCACACUAAUCUCUCUCCUAUUAAUUAGUUUGCCACAUCAGAUUUUUUGUCUAUAUGACAGCCUUAGCACAUGUACAAGGUGGAGUUUUGAGAGUAGUCUAAGAGCCCACUCUUCUUAUAUUUUUCAUCUCUCUCUUCUUCACAUAGACAAAACAUCAUGUAAGCAGACUAUAAACCCACUGUUGUACUUGUUAUAAGGGUAGAAUUUAUAUGUAUACGUUUAUAGGGAUGAAUGUAUACACGUAAAUAUGAACGUUUGCGACUGUACUAUGUAAAAAAAAUUAUACCUGCAUAAAGAAGUUAACCAUGUAUAAAAAAUGUUAACAGUGUACACAAAAAUAUAGACAUAAAAUAAUCAUUUUUACAAUGAUGAUUGUGUAUUUUCAAGAUGUUUAACAUGCAUAAAAAUAUAUUUUAAAUGUAAAUGUAAAAUCUACACAGAAAGUCGAGGAAAAAGAUACGAACAACACAUAGAAAACCAAAAAAGGUCAAUCGUAAGGUUCCGAAGAAAAACUGAUGAAACCCAUAAAGAAAACCACAUAAAAAAGAAAGAAUCCAAUGGAAACCGGUGAAAAAGAAAGAUGAAUAAAGAAAACCAAAAAAAUGAAUGAAAACAAAAUAAAAUAAAAAGCACGAGCGAGCAUACAACAAGACAAGAAUGCCCACCUAAACCCGAACGAACGAAGAGAAAAACUAAUUAAGGGGUAUACUUGCAGAAGCCAGGUAAGGGUCAUUUUGAUGGGUUGAGAGUGUAUCAAGUGAUGCAUCUAAUCGCUGCCACGUGUUGCAUGUUGGGUCACGCAUGAUUUUAUUUGUUUUAUUUUCUGUAUGCAUUUUAAGGUUUUAGAUGGAUUUCUUGUUUUCGCCUGUUUUUUUUAGGUUCUGAAGUUUUUAAAUGCAUGAUUUUUGCUUCUGGUGGUAGCACAUAUUUGUUUCUUAAAAAGGAACAUGUUUGCUUUCACGAAAAGCACAACUAUGCAUCUCAAAAAAGAAAAAGACAUGAUUUUUAUUACAUGGGAAACAUAAAUUUUUUCUUUAUGAAGACACAAAUAUGCUUUCGCAAGAAGCACAACUAUGCUUCUGGGAAAUGGUAAAAAUACGUAUUUUCUCAUAAGAAGCAUAAAUUUUCAUCUCGUGUAAGUACAACUAUACCUCUCGGAAAUGGUAAAAACACGUAUUUUCUCAUAACUAUGUGUUUUUCUUUCUGUUUUUAUAUUAAAAAAAUCAUAAAACCUAUUAACAUGAGAUCUAGUUUUGAAAGUCUCGACACAAAAACUAUAAGAAUGAAAAUGGUUCAAGAUUUAGACAGAUGAUAAAAAAUUAAUACAUUUUAAAUAAACGAACUCACAGGUUGCUACAAGUGAUGCACAUGCAACCCUUAUCUAAUGAUUUCAACGAACUAAUGAUUUGGACGAACAAAACAGAAAUCCCUGUUCGGUGCAUUCUGCGGACAUUUGCACAAAGGAGAUCGAGGAGUCAUUUCAUUUGGGUCGACCUAUUUAAGCGUUCAACCUCCUCGAUUGUGGCAACCUUCUAGAGGUUCACAUCUGUCUUUUUUUCUGGUUUUGAAAAACUUCUAGAAGUUUCCUGCACAGUUUUUUCUUUUUCUUUUUUUGUUUCCUUUUUUUCUUAAUCCUUUUUCUCACAUUUUGCCGUUUUUUCUGUUUUUUUCUUCUUUUGAUUCUAUUUCGUUUCUUUCUUUUCUUUUCUGUCCUUUCAUUUUAACUUUAAUUUUCUUUCUUCCAUUUCUUUUCAAUUUUUAUAUAAAUCAUUGUGUUUUAUUGUUUUGCUGUCCAGGAUUUUCAAAAGAUGUUCAGAAUUUCAUAAAACGUUGCCAUUAUAAAGAAUUGUUCACAAAUUUUAAGAAUAGUUAAUGUUUCAAUAAUUGUUCACAAAAUUUCCAUUUCUCAUGUGUUCAAAUUUUUUUCACCUUUCAAAAAUAGUUCACAAUUUCCAAAAAUUUUGAUCGUUUUUCAAAUUUUGAUCGGUAUGUUUUCCAUUAAAACGUGCACAACUUUUAAAAAACUAUUUGAAAUUUCUAAAAAUGUUCCCGCUUUCAAAACUAGUUCAUAAUUUUUGAAAAUGUUCAUGUUUCCCGUUUUGCAGGACAAAAUUUGGUUGUGAUUAUAAAUUUGUUUAUGUUUUAAAAAAAUUGUUCGGAUGGUUAUUCAAAAAUUAUUUGGAACAUCAGAAAAUUUCAAGUUUCAGAAAACGUCCCAACUUCAAAAAUUGUUCACAAAUUUCAAAAUUGUUCUUGUUUUAUAAUUUUCUUCGGUUGGUUCAAAAAAUGUUCGCCUUUUCAAAUAGUGUACAUUAGUUUAAAAAAUGUUCCUGUUUUAAAAUUUUGUUCAUAAAUUAAGAAAAUGUCACACUUUCUUAAUUUUCAGAGUUUCAAAAAAUGUUCACAGAUGCAAAUUUCCGUUUUUUCAAAAAAGAUUCACUAAUCAAAAAAAAAUUGCCGUUUUAGAAUUUGGUCGCACAUUAAAAAAAUGCCUGCAUAUUUUUGAAACUUUUUCAUGUUUGAAAAAAAUUGUUCAAAAUAUAAUAAAUGUUCCUGUUUUCAAAAUUGUUCACAAAUUCAUACAAUCUACCCGUUUUUAAAUUUUGUUUACAAAUCCAAUAACUGGCCAUAAUUUUUCCAAAACUUAUUCGGUUUUUAAUAAUUUGUUCAGAAUUUUAAAAAAGGUAUUAGAAUUUUCACGAAAUAUUUGAGAAAAAAAGUAAAAUACUCGAAAUUGCCGAAAUACUUAGUUAUAAAUACUUCACGCUGCAUAUUCAUCACAUGCACAUGCACUAAGCAGCUCGACUGGCAAGGUACCUAUGUCCACUAGAGGCACAUCGCGUGUUCGAAUCCGUAUUUUUUGUUGUUGUUUAGGUCUCGAACCAAACCCCAAGCAAACUGUAAAAAAAAAACUAUCAAAACAAGUUGAUCCAAUAACAAUGUCAGGUGAGUCAGUCAUCCGUCAUGCUAUAAGCAAGAUAUAGCUGUGACACUUAUUUAUCGAUGAAAGCAAAUGAAAAAUAGAUUCAAAGCUAUGCCAUGCCCAGUUCCGACCGUCACCUCAAAGAAAGAAAAUGAAGCAGUACGAGCAGAUGGGACCCUAAUGAUCCUCGUCUUGUGUUCUCUCCUGCUUCACCCCCAGCCAACAAAUUCGUUGUUCUGGCCUUUUGCGAAAGUUGAGCAAGAUUUGACCUCACAUUCAAAAGAUCGACGGUCUGGAGCAGGUCGAGAGGGGCCAACACAUCAAGUGCCCAUAGGGGAAAACCCCUCUUCCUCUCCCCCGUUUGCUCCAAGACAUACAAGCAUCGAUGCUCGUCAUCGAAGCUAGACUCCCUCACUGCACCCCAGCUGCUCGAUGCAAUGCUAAGGAGAGAAGUGUUACACCGACAAAUGGGGCCAUGUGCGACAUAACCAUACAAGGUAAUCGUGUGAAAAUUUUGUGCCACAUCAGCAGGCCCCAUCUAUCAUAAUCUUACUUAAUAGAGUCAUAUCAGUUGAUAAGUGGUUUUUGCAAAACGAUUACACAACACGUGUUGUCUAAACUAUAUUAAGUUACAAAUUCAGGUUUUAAUGUUGAUAUACGUGAUUACGUAUACGAGUUAUUAAAGUAAAUACAAAGUUAUUUAUUUAUUUUAUAUUAUUUUAAUACGAAGUGUUUUUAAAUUAUUUCGCUUAUAUUGCAGGAUCUUUGAGGGGCUGUCGAGGCCAACAAGACGACUGAGGUGUACGCAGUGGUGUAAUAUCCUACUCAGUACUCACCAUAUUUAUCAUUAUGUUGUUUCAGAUGUAGCUAAGUUUGUUCACUUGAUGUUUUAGUUGCAAAUUUAUGGAAUAAAUUCCUAUCGUCUUCCCAGGCAGUUCCACCCGAAGGGAACACUUCUCUACGGCCAUAAGGUUCUCAUUCAAAUGCCAUAAAAGGCUACACAGAGAACUACCGGCAGAGUUUUCUCCUAUAGGAUCCCUAGCAUAAGAACUCGUUCCAUAAAUUCAAAAAUAAAAUACCAAGUGAAAACACGAAACUACAUCAUUUCCACAACAUAAUUUACAUAUGGUUUUCCCUUUCGGGAACCCCCGAAGGGUUUACACAAGGAUAAAGAAAUUACCUUCUAACUACCUUCGCGAGCUUACAAAUGCUCUAAAUAUUGUAGCUCUUUAUUACACGAUGAGGAAGUACUACUACUACUACUACUACUACUUGAGCAAAGAGCUUGCUAGCUGAGUUGCAACUCUGUGCUCUAUCUGUGGCUGGCUCUUCUCCGUCUGGUGUCUCUCUUCGCAGCAAGGCUCCUCCUUUUAUAGGCAAGAGAGCACCUCUUGGAUGGCUUUCGGGAGAAGGCUCCUCUAUUAUUUCCUCCUUCUUUCUCCUUGUCCAUCAUGCACCUAGUUUUUAGGCCUUCUAGGCUUUAUAGGCUUUGUAGCCAUUAUAGCCCUUCUUUCUAGGGUAUUGAGUGCAUGUUGGAGAGGUUUGCACACCGUGUCUUGGCUGCCAAUGGAGGUGGCAUUGUCUUCUUUUUUGAUUUUCUUCUUCGUCAUGAUUUUGUCUUGGACAUUUGAAGUUGAGUUUUACUCAGGUGGCUGCCCAUGCCCGGCGAUAUCCAUACGAUCCUCAUCUAAGAGAUGGAAAUCAUACUUCGUAUCACAUUCUUUCUUUAUAUCUUCAAAUAUUAUUUUCAUUUCAACCCUUAUUUCUUCUAAUAUCUCUUCCUUUAAUUCUUUCUUCAUUAUUUUUGACAAUUCUUCAAAUCUUUUGUCCAUUUCUUGAUCUAUAUAUUCACUAUCCAAUGGGUCUAGGCCCUUCAGAAGGCAUUCUUUAUAUGUAUAAUUUUUUGGAGAACCUUCUUCCUUUAUAUUCUUUCCUGAUGAUUCUCCCUUGGUUAUUUUAAAUAUUGGCAUAUUAGAUGCAUUGUUAUCUGCAUUCUUUCUCUUCUGGAUAUAAUCUUUAGCCUUGGGGUCAAUAUAAUAGUUUUCCCCUAUCAUUUUUCUUGCCCAAAACAAGGCCUCAUCAAUACCUUCAUAUUUUUUGAAUGUUAAGUCUUGUCCCAUUCGUUUUGCAUCUAGUUUCUCUAUCAUGAUAUCUUCCCAUGUCAAAUAUAUUCCGGGUUUAUUUCCGCCAAAUAAAACAUAUAAUAUUUCUCCUUUUUGCAUUUCAGCCCUUUCUAGUUUUGCCGCCUUCAUAUUCAUUUGGUUAAAAUAUUCUGCCAAGCUAUUUAGAAUUGAUAGCACAUAUCUUUUUCAUCUCUCUUAUUGGUAUAUUGGAACCAGAAAUUGUCCAGUAUGCACCUCUGAAUUUCAUCAAGCUUGAUAUGGGCCUUUGGCUUGAAAUUGAAGGUAUUUGGCUGAAAUAUCUUCAGCCUGUUCUCCUCUCCAAAGAAGAAGCAUUCGUCCCUGGUGGGGAAUAAUCCUUUCUUCAUUUCUGCAAAUUUGAUGCACGAGAAAAUAUGUCAGGUAAAGUAUUAUCUUUUCCCUUAAUAUGCUCAAAAAUAACUUUAUAACCAUUCCCAGCUAUGGUGUCUUCAAAUAAGACCCAUCUUCUGGUUGAACUUUUCUUACUAUUAUUUUUAUUAUAAUAUCGACAUAUGGCUUCACAAUCAGUUCGCACUGUAAAUUCUUUGAAUCCUAGAUAUAACCUAAAAGCAUUUAUUGCAUUUACAACUGCAAGGAUUUCUCUAUCAAUAUUAUUUACCGUUUUUAACUUAUAACUUCCUGAAGCAUAUCUACAUAUUUUUUCAUCUGCUUUCGGCGAAUAUUUAUUAGGUUUUUGUUUUAAUAUAGCACCCCAUCCUACUUUAGAUGCAUCUGUUUCAAUAAUAAAAUAAUUAUCUUCUAGAGGCAAUUCUAGGGGCUUUAAAUUCUUGACUUUUUCUUUGAUGGCCUUUACUAAUUUUAUAUCUUUAGAAUUAAAAUAUCUCUGACCAUUCUUUCUUAAUUUAGCAUAUAAAGGUCCGGCUAGCUUUGCUAGGUUAUCUAUGUAAUUUCUUGCAUAGUUUACAAUUCCUAAGAAUUGUUGUAGAACUUUUUUAUCACUCAUAUUAUCAGGAAACUCUAAAAUUUUCUUUGCAAUGUGUUCUUGCAAAUAUAUUUUUCCUUCUCCUAUUUCAUGACCAAGGAAAUUUAUUCUUUCUUUACAAAUUUCCAUCUUCUUUUUUGAUAAUAUGAGCCCAUUUUGUUCUACCUUGCGAAAGAACACUUCGAGAUGGGCUAUAUGCUCUUUAUAUGUUUUUGAGAAUACUAACAAAUCAUCUACGUAUACUAAUAUAAAGGCUUGGUUCUCAUUAAAUAUAUUUUGCAUUUUCCUUUGAAAUAGUGCAGGUGCAUUCUUUAGACCCAAUGGCAUUACUAGCCAUUCAUAAUGGCCUUGCGGACAAGUAAAGGCAGUCCAUGGAAUGGAUUCUUCGGCCAUUUUCACUUGCCAAAACCCUGCUUUUAAGUCAAAUUUAGAGAAAAAUUUGCUUCCUUGUAUUCUAUUGAUCCAUUCCUGUUUAUUAGGUAUGUUGUAUGCAUCAUCUACCGUAUUAUCAUUAAGCCUUUUAAAGUUAAUUACCAUUCUGGAUUUACCUCUCACCUCUUCAGCAUGAUUUCUCACUAUAAAAGCAGCAGACCUAUGAGGACUUCUACUUUCUCUAAUUGCUUUUAAUUUUAAUAAUUCUUCAAUAUGCAUUUUGAACUCUUCAAUAUCUUUAGGAGUAGCUUCUAUUGGCCCUGACUUAAUGAUAUAGUCUGGAUUUAUAAUAUUUAUUUUGCAAACUAUAGAGUUCCUUUCCCAAUGUUUCAUCGGUAUUUCCCCUAUAAUUUGUAUGUUUUCUAAUCUUUGCACUAUCUUAUCUAUAUCUUUUUUGGAUUUUAUGUCUCUAUACCAAUUUGGUGAAAAUGAUUGUAAUGCUAUGCAUUCUGUACUUGUAUUUUCUAUAUGAUAUUCUUCUAUGGUCUCACUAAGUUCUUCAUCUUUACAGAAUUCAAGGGCUACCUCUGGACUUGUACUAUAUUCUCCAUCCAAAUUAGAUAUCUCUACAUUUUGCAAAGCUUUUCUUUGCUUUCUUACUUCAGAUAUGUAUGGGAGAUUAUCUUGAUAAGGGAUAAAUGUAACCCCUUCUUCAUGUAUAAUUGUAGUUUGUAAAGACUGUUGUAAAAACCUUAACCCUAUUAUCAUGUCAUCAUUUAUUACUGAUAAAUCUCUUAUUGUAAUUUCAUCUAUUAUAUAUUUCGUGCCAUUUAUGUAUGCUUCAAUAUUAUAUGCUAACUGGUUGUGGAUUUUCUUUAUUCCUGACAUAUCGGUAGAUACUUCAGCUUUAUUAUUAUCUAUAGUUUCAACUAUUUCUGGACAUCUCAUGAAAUAUUUAUCAUGUAUGAUGUUCUUUGUGCAACUCGUAUCUAGUAGCGCUAACACUUUAUAAAAAAUGUUUGGCUUUAGAACUAUUCUAACUGGGAUUCUUAUCCCUAACACUUCUUUGAAUGGUAAUCGAACAAUAUAUUUGUUUCCAAAACUAGUUAUUGCAUCUUUUAAUUGUAUUAAUUUAUCUCCUUUUUUAUCCCUUAUUGUUAUCAUUUGUUCUUUCAUCUAUGUGAUUUUUGCAACCUUAUUAUCUUGCUCUUUAUUAUCUUCUAAUUCAUCCUUUAGCUUUUCUAAUUCUGCUUCUAGCUUAUUUAUUCUAUUUUCUAAGUUUCUAACCCUGCUGGAUAAUAUUCUUUCUUCUGGCUCCCAUUCUAUUUCCUGUCUCCAUUUUUGAUUACUGACUUUUAGACAGGAGGUACAUGCUUGCUUUAAGCAUAAACUACAUGUGAAUCUAUUAUCUUGGCUAGGAUAAUAUAUACAGAAAGCACAUUUUAUGUUAUAAUCCCCUUUCCUUUAAUCCAGUCAUGUUCACAAUCUACUUGAUUCAUCAUUUCGAUCUUUAAACCGGCUAAUUCAUCAAUUAGGUCUAUUUCAUCAUCGCUUGAUUCAUAUUCUGGAGUCUCAUUUUCUACUUCAUCUGUCUCUAUGAUUGAAUAUAUUGACUCGCCGUCUUUUAUUUCAUCAUCACAUACCAAAAUAUUCUCAUUAACACUAUCUACUAUUAAUACUCUCUCUUGCUCCUCAUAUUUGCUAGAGUACCUUUUCUGGUCUUUAUUAGGGCAAGUUCUACUUAAGUGAUCGGGAGAGUUACAUAUGAAACACCUGCAUGUUUUAUCAUAUGAUUUCUUAGGAUUAUAUCUUCUUACAUUUCUUUUAUGCAAGAAUGGGGCUCUAUUAUCGGACCUUCUCAAGAAAUAUCUUUUCUUUGUUCUAAAAUUUCUAUUAUCUCUCCUUUGUGGUUUAUAAUAUUUGUUUUUCCGAUGCCUUUCUUCUCCAUACGUAAGCGGUAUUUGGACAAUGUUAUUGCAGAAAUUGUAAUCUGACUUCUUCAUAGACCUUUGGGCUUGUAUGCCUGUACAUACCUUUCUUAAUUGUUUAAAAACAAAUGUUAUGGCUUGAGAUAUAUUUACCACGUUUCCACCUGUUUCUUUUUUAUAUUCUUCAAAUAUUAUAGAUCCUAGAGGGUCUGGCAACUUAUUAAAAUAUCUUUCUACAACACCUACAUUAAACCCUUGCUUCGCAGUGGUAGCAUUAUAUAAAUAAUGUUGAGAGAAUUCUUUUAUUCCUUUCCAGCUAGUUAAUGUUAGUUUUUCUAUUUCUCUCAACCUUUCGUUUUGUAGUGAGGUAUAUCCUAAUUCCGGGUCUUCUGCGAUGAUCAUAUUUGAAAUAACAUUUGCAAAGUUAUUAGGGUUACUUCCGACCCUUUUUAAUUCUUCAUACUGAUUAGGAUAUGUCUCUACCCAUUGUUCCCAUAGAACUUUUACAGAUUCUCCUAAAAAUGUUUCAAGAUAUGUUAACAUAUCUUCUACCUUAGUUCCUAUAUUAUACUGGUUUUGUAUAUAUUUUUGAACUAUUAAACCUUUCCAUAUGCUGAUUAUAUUCGGCCAAUCUAUAGGGUCAUGAGCUGCUAGGUUUAAAAUAGCGCCAUCAUUCUUAUAAUUUUGAAAUUGCACUGGCUUUUCAAAAUCUCUUCUUUUAGCACCCAUAUAUCUAUAUUGUCCAGGGAUAUAUGUAGGUUGAUAAUCAUCCUUUUCUGGAGGCCAUUGUCCAGCUGAUCUGGUAGGUCUCUCUCUCUCUCCUUCUCUUUUUACCGAAGACUCGCCAUAUCCCUUUCUUCUUUUAUUACUACUUUCUACUUCCAUAGCUUCCAUUGCAUUGUCUAAAUUUUGUAGUCCCACAUCAUCUAGUGAGUUAUAAAAAUCACUAUCUGCUCCCAAUCAUUAUAAUUUUCAUCUUCUAACCACAUAUCUUUUACUAAUUCCUCUUCCUCUUCAUAACUUUCUAGUAAUAACUUAUUAUUUAUAUCCCAUUGCUCUUCUUCACUAACAACUUCUUCUUCCUGAGCAAUAUUCUUAUCUCUAUUAGUGAUAGCAUCAUUAUUACUACCAGCAUGUUCUCCCCUUUCAAUUGAUGAUGUAUUUGGCAUAAUUGAACCACUAGUUACCAACUAUUUCUCAUUUUUUAGUUUUUUUAACCUUGCAAUUUCUCUAAUUAUAAACAAUUCUCUUUCUCUUAUCUUAGGCCAAUCUUUUGUCAUAGAAUUUUUAUAUUCCCAAUCUAUAUGCUUUAGCUUAUUUUCCCAGUGAAUUAUUUCAUCAUCUAAAUUAGCUUUUUCCAUGCAUUCGGUCACACCUUUAUUCUUAUCGUCAAUAGAUUCUGUAUCUGACAUAAAGGAUUCUGCGUCUUCUAUUGAUGCCGAUUUAUAGUUCAUAAAUCUAAUGCUACUACUUCCUUCACAAUUUUGAUAACUUAUAUAGUUUUCAGGUUGCUUUAAUUCUUUUUUCUCUAUUAAUUCACCAAUCUUCCACUCUUCUCCCGCUCUUUCUUCAGAACCAAUUUUAAGUGGAUUCAUAAAUUUAAUACCCUUUGAUUGCAUACUAUCAAUUACAUCGCUCACAUUAACUCUAUAUCUAGAGUUACUUCUGUUAGUAAGCCUUCCUAAAAAUUCUAUGCUUACUAACAAAUUUGUUCCUUUAAAAUCUUCAUAUCCCUUAGUUUGGAAACCAAAACUCAUUUUUUCAAUAAAUUCUUUUACAGGCAUCAUUAGGUCUGGAGCUAUAUAGGUUAUUAACCUAUUUUUAUUCAUGUCUCCUUCUAAAAAUCCUAAUGCUGCUUUAUCUACUGAUUCCCACCUUCGGUCUAAUAGAGUUAUAAGCACCUUUGCUCCUAAUUUCUUUCUUGUCAUACCUUUAACUCCUAUAAUAUACAUACCUUGAUGAAUAUAUUUGUAACCACAAUAUUUUAGUUCAUUUUCAAUAUUUUUGCUUACUAUUCUUAAAUCAACUGGGUGUGUUAACACACUUAGUUCUACUUCUCUUGAUAUUCGGUAUAACCCGCUCUUACUCUCAAACAUACCCAUGUGAUAUACCUGUUGCGGUUUUAUUUUUCUUAGGGUAUCCUUUUGAUAUCUUUCGAGGUCUCUCUGAAUAUCUAUAACUUCUUCAAUACUAUCAAUAUCAUCGGCUUUACAUGAUAAUCUAUGCUUCAUUGCGAGUGGUCUUGAGUCUUGCCUUACUAACUGGAGGGUUUUAUCUCUUCUAAGGAAGCCUUUAGAUAUGUCCAUUUUUCUGAAUUAAUAUUUCUUGAUGAUGUUACGAUUCCAGAUGACGAUAGCACAAUUUCUUUGUUGUUUUGGACACUUUUUAGCUUGUCUAAAACUUGAAUUAAUAGCUGAAGAAUUGUAUUAUUUUGUCUUAUUAUAAUUUUAGAGUCUUCUUUUGGUGAGUCGUGAUCAGAAAAUCCUACAGGAGGUGACAAGUAUUUGGCUACUUCGUUUAAUGCUUGGCUAUAUUCAGUCAUAUAAUUAUGAGACAAUCAAAGUUUUAACUUCUUGCAGCAACUUCUUUAUAUCGAGUAUAUCUUGUCUUGCUUCUGUGCGAGGGAGUGAGUCUUUGCCUUUACUUAGGUAACGACCAAUUGACAACACUUCUUCUUUAAUAUAAUCGUUAUUCUUGCAAAGUACGUUCUGCCUGGCCUUUGCUUCUUCUAGCUUAUGUAAGGCGAGAUCGAUUUUAUUGUUCAGACCAGAAUAUUUAUCCGCAAGCUUUUGGUAUUCUUUGGAUAAACUCUCAAAUUUUUGGUCUAAAUUAUCUUGUCUUUUCCCCCAAGAUAUGUAAAAGUUAUAUAUCAAAUCGACAAUUGUAUUUAGCUGGCUAUGAGUUGUAUGCCAGGUAUGCUCUUCAGAAGGAUUUAUUCUGCACCUUAUAUUAAUAUUCUCUUUAGUAUUUAUUACCUUACCUGCGCUAACUUCUAAAUUUAAAUACUUUAACCUAUCAAUGUUUAAAACGCUGGACUUGAUACCAAAUAUACGGAAUAUUUAAAAUAUUAAAAUUAAUCUAAACUAUAUUAAGUUACAAAUUCAGGUUUUAAUGUUGAUAUACGUGAUUAUGUAUACGAGUUAUUAAAGUAAAUACAAAGUUAUUUAUUUAUUUUAUAUUAUUUUAAUACGAAGUGUUUUUAAAUUAUUUCGCUUAUAUUGCAGGAUCUUUGAGGGGCUGUCGAGGCCAACAAGACGACUGAGGUGUACGCAGUGGUGUAAUAUCCUACUCAGUACUCACCAUAUUUAUCAUUAUGUUGUUUCAGAUGUAGCUAAGUUUGUUCACUUGAUGUUUUAGUUGCAAAUUUAUGGAAUAAAUUCCUAUCGUCUUCCCAGGCAGUUCCACCCGAAGGGAACACUUCUCUACGGCCAUAAGGUUCUCAUUCAAAUGCCAUAAAAGGCUACACAGAGAACUACCGGCAGAGUUUUCUCCUAUAGGAUCCCUAGCAUAAGAACUCGUUCCAUAAAUUCAAAAAUAAAAUACCAAGUGAAAACACGAAACUACAUCAUUUCCACAACAUAAUUUACAUAUGGUUUUCCCUUUCGGGAACCCCCGAAGGGUUUACACAAGGAUAAAGAAAUUACCUUCUAACUACCUUCGCGAGCUUACAAAUGCUCUAAAUAUUGUAGCUCUUUAUUACACGAUGAGGAAGUACUACUACUACUACUACUACUACUUGAGCAAAGAGCUUGCUAGCUGAGUUGCAACUCUGUGCUCUAUCUGUGGCUGGCUCUUCUCCGUCUGGUGUCUCUCUUCGCAGCAAGGCUCCUCCUUUUAUAGGCAAGAGAGCACCUCUUGGAUGGCUUUCGGGAGAAGGCUCCUCUAUUAUUUCCUCCUUCUUUCUCCUUGUCCAUCAUGCACCUAGUUUUUAGGCCUUCUAGGCUUUAUAGGCUUUGUAGCCAUUAUAGCCCUUCUUUCUAGGGUAUUGAGUGCAUGUUGGAGAGGUUUGCACACCGUGUCUUGGCUGCCAAUGGAGGUGGCAUUGUCUUCUUUUUUGAUUUUCUUCUUCGUCAUGAUUUUGUCUUGGACUUUAAUCUUCAGGAAUAUUACAAUCUUUGAAUAUGCAUGUGCCCGUACACUGCCUGCUGAUAUGUGUAUGCGGGCAUACUUGGCUCGAAACAUGCACAUGUGUGUGCAUUGGCUAUUGAUAUGCGUACGCAUACAUGCUGCAAUUUUUAUUUUUUUAUUUUUUGCUGCAAUUUACACCUCGGCGCCCGUAUUGCAGCAAGUGUAGCAGACUUUAGCCCUUGAGUGGUUCUGACGGCUAAACGCAUAAUUAAGCAUCUGAUGCAUGGCUGAUAACGAUAGCAAUUACCCGGAAAAAAACAAUCGUAAUAAAUAACAUGAAAAAAAAAGAACGCUUAAGCACGUGGGUACGCAUAUGUGAGAAUCCUUGCGAGUGGCAACUUGGACGGCCACCAAGAAAAUUAACAUGUUGGAAUAAGUCAAAUUCGUUCAGACAUCUCUUGUGUGAACUUUGCCGCCCUCUGGUCACGGUCAAGGCCAUGUUGCCAAAAAUUCACAAGUCGCAAAGCUCGGCUCUAUACCUAAUCAUUCGAGACUUUUGUUGGACUUGGACACACCUAAUGAGUGGGACAUUGAUGGACAAGUUUGCUGCUAAUUGUUUAGAAUGAACUGUCUCUUUCAUUGAUGAUCUGUGAAGAUUAAAUACACACAGAACCGUUGCCACGAACGGAUGCGUUCGCUCGUGGGGGUCGUGGGAAAAACCGCCGCGUCGGUUGGCUAGGAACCGCACGAAGCGUUUCUGUACAAGGGAGGAUUAUUCCCUAAUUAACAUAAUUAGUUUAAAUCCUAACACUCCCCCUAAUCCUCGCUUGUCCUUGAGACCGAUCAUCUUUGAAAUAUUCUCCUCCAAAACCCUGUGGGAAAAAUUAAGAAGAAAACAUACAAUAUGCGAUGAAAAACUCCUUCUAAAACCCAGUGGGAAAAAUAAAGAGAAAAUGAUAUAUAUCGUCCAUGCUUGCAUUGAUAUUGCCUCACUAAAAACCUUUCAUGAGAAACCAUGUGAAAAACUCAGAAAGGAAAAUAGUGCAAUACAAAAGAUCUCAUGAUCUUAACAGGUUAUAUCCUAGGAGAUUUCUCCCCCUGAAUUUUGCAAGUCUCGAAGUCGUCUCAUACCAAUUCCAUUUACAUACUUAUGGAAUAAAGAACUUGGUAAAGACUUAGUAAAUAGAUCAGCGAGAUUAUCGCAUGACUUCGUUUGCAAAAUACUUAUCUCCCCCUUCUCUUGCAGAUCAUGGGGAUAAAAUAAUUUAGGAGAAAUAUGCUUUGUAAUAUUGCUCUUAAUAUAACCCGUUUGCAUUUGUGCAAUGCAAGCACCAUUAUCUUCGUAGAUAACAGUGGGUGAUUUUACCGAACCAAUCCCACUUGAACUUUGGACAAAGUUCAUCAUUCUACGAAGCCAUACACAUUCACGUGAUGCUUCGAACAAAGCAAUUAUCUUAGAAUGAUUAGUGGACGUUGCCACUAAGGUUUGCUUUGUUGACUUCCAAGAGAAGGUCGUACCUCCAUGUAAGAAGACAAAACCAGUCUACGAUAUGGCAUCAUGGGGAUCUGACAAGUAUCCAGCAUCGCAAUACCCCACCAUGGUUCUCUCUUGAUUUUUCUGAUAGAAUAAACCAAGAUCUUUGGUGCCUUGAAGAUAUCUGAAAAUAUUCUUCACACCAAUCCAAUGCCUUUUUGUUGGUGAUGCGAUGUAUCUAGCCAGUAAAUUAACUUCAAAUGAUAUAUCAGGUCUAGUGCAGUUUGCUAGAUACAUUAGUGCACCAAUGGCACUGAGAUAGGGAAACUCUGGUCCCAAUAUCUCUUCAUCAUCACCCUUAGGUCUAAAUGGGUCCUUGUCUCUGUCAAGCGACCCGACGACCAUAGGUGUUUUUGAUGGGUAUGCUUUAUCCAUAUUGAACUUUUCCAGUAUCUUUUGGAUGUAAGCAGACUGAUGAAUAAGUAUUCCUGAAGAAAAAUGUUCAAGUUGCAAACCAAGACAAAAUUUGGUUUUACCCAAAUCUUUCAUCUCAAAAUCCGUCUUGAGAUGAUUACUUGCCUCAUGUAUUUCACGUGUAGUUCCAAUGAUGUUCAAGUCAUCAACAUACACAGGAAUUAUACAAAAUCCAUCAGUGGAUUUCUUGAUGAACACACAUGGGCAAUCAUUGUUGUUUGAGUAACCCUUCUCGAAAAGGAACUCACUUAGUCGGUUAUACCACAUUCUACCUGACUGUUUCAAGUCGUAUAACGACUUCAGUAGCUUUACGCAAUACAUGUUGCGGUUAGCUUUUGGAUCCGGAAUCUUCAAUCCCUCAGUAACUUUCAUAUAGAUAUCCGUCUUAAGUGACCCAUAUAAAUAUGCAGUCACAACAUCCAUCAAUUGGAUAUACAAAUUCAUUUGCACUGCCAGUGAUAUCAAGUAUCGGUACGUGAUUCCACUCAUCACAGGAGAAUAUGUUUCAUCAUAAUCGAUGCCGGGUCUCUGUGUAAACCCUUGUGCUACAAGCCUCGCUUUAUAUCUCACCACUUCAUUGUUUUCGUUCCUUUUACGAACAAAAACCCAUUUUGCCCCCACGGGGAAAACAUUAGGAGGAGUAGGUAUUACUGCAGUAAAUACCCCUCUCUUAGCAAGCGAGCGCAAUUCGUUCUCUAUUGCAACCUUCCAAUUGGACCAGUCUGAGCGUUUCAUACACUCUGCCAUGGACUUAGGUUCACGAUCCAAUGCCAGGUCAUCUGCAAUCUUUGAGGCGAAAAAUAUGUCGACAAUUGUAGUCUUUCUGUUGAAUGAUUCUCUUGAUUCAACAUAGUUGAUGGAAAUCUCAUCAAUACCUUCUGACUCAUUGUGAUUUUCCACAACAAUCGAGUCAAGGUGUACCGAUGUCCCAGUACCAAUAUUUUGUGUGCACAGUUGUGCUGGGUUCUGGAUGCGUAACAUCCUUUAGGUGUCUUUCGACACUAGAUUGAAUAUCAACACGCGGUUGACCUGCAUUUACUAUUUGAGGGAUCCUCACUUCCCACGGACGCUUCUGAGAAGCCUUGUCCUUUUUGUCCAGUUUUCUCCCCCUCUUGGGCGGUUGAGUGGUCUUAUGAGAUAUCUCAACUCUCUCUGGAACAUUCAUAGCGGGAACAUGGGAUUUAGUUACACCUUUAUAGUCAGUAAAUGCAUCUGGCAGAUUAUUUGCAAUAUUUUGCAAAUUAAUAAUCUUCUGAACUUCCAGUUCAGAUUCAUUCGUACGUGGAUCUAAGGACUGAACGCCUUUGACAUUCCAAUCUAUUUUCCGGCAUUCUCUGUGGUUCUUUUCUCCCCCUAAUGCCGGAAAAUUGUCCUCAUCGAAGAUGCAAUCAGCGUAUCGGGCUGUAAAUAAAUCCCCUGUUAGAGGCUCCAGGUACUUUAUGAUCGACGGAGAAUUGUACCCCACAUAGAUCCCCAUUUUUCUACGUGGACCCAUCGAUGUACGCUGAGGUGGUGAUAUCGGUACGUACAUAGCGCAACCGAAUCUUCGAAGAUGGGAAAUACUUGGUUGAUUUCCACGUACUAACUGCAACGGGGAGGCCGUAUGAUAUGCAGUUGGUCGAAUUUGUAUGAACUCUGCGGCAUGCAAUACCGCAUGUCCCCAACAAGAAGUUGGAAGAUUACAAUUCUGUAGGAGUGGUCUUGCUAUCAACUUGACCCUCUUGAUAAGUGAUUCGCAAGACCAUUUUGUGUGUGUACAUAUGGUACAGAAUGCUCCACAGUUAUGCCCAAGGCUAGGCAGUAAUCAUUGAAUGCUCGUGAACUAAAUUCAGCAGCAUUAUCCAUUCUGAUGGAUUUUAUCCCGUGUUCAGGAUGAUUUGCCCUCAGUUUAAUGAUUUGAGCAAUCAGCUUUGCAAAAGCAUGGUUCCUUGUUGAUAAUAGACACACAUUAGACCAUCUUGUUGAUGCAUCAAUGAGCAUCAUAAAAUAUCUAAAUGGUCCCGAUAACGGUUGAAUUGGACCACAUAUAUCUCCUUGAAUGCGUUCAAGAAAAUUAAGUGGUUCAUUCUUGAUCUUCAUAUAUGAAGGUCUUGUGAUUAAUUUCCCAGUUGCACAUGCGGUGCAUACGAAAUCCGAGGAUUUAGGGAAAUUAGCAACCGUUAUGUUGUGUCCAAUUGAACCGUCAAUAAUUUUUCUCAUCAUCCCCACACCAGGAUGACCCAGGCGAUCAUGCCAUAUCUUGAACUUGUCAAGAUUCUGAAAAAUUAUUUUGUAUGCCAAAUAUUGCUCUGGCUUGAUGUAUGUGUAAUACAGUCCAGAAGAUAGAGCAGGCAGUCUCUCAAGGGUUUCCUUGUCGGAUCCCUUCUGCUGAGUUAUGAGUAGGCUUUCAACUGUAUUGUCUUCAUGAGUUUCAAUGUGGUAGCCAUUCAUACGGAUAUCCUUAAAACUCAACAGGGUACGAGUUGAAUCCGGAUACAAUAAAGCCUCCUGGAUUUCAAGUUUUGUACCAUUCGGGAGGGUAAAUGUGGCUUGACCAGAACCAACAAUUACCGUGUCAUGACCACCAAUUGUCAUAACACUUCCCUUACUCUUUUUGAGACUUUGGAAGUAUUUAACCUCCCGUAGAAUUGUGUUAGAGGCACCACUGUCCACUAAACAAAUUUCCUCCUUCAUUGGAUUGUUUCUCGAAGUUUUCUUCUUCUUUCCUCCCUUCUUUCUUCUUUUCCGACGACUCUCGCCGGAGUUGUUUUGCCUUUUUUCUGCUCUCGGUAGAGUUACGGGCUGAUAACGUGUUUAGAAUGAACUGUCUCUUUCAUUGAUGAUCUGUGAAGAUUAAAUACACACGGAACCGUCGCCACGAACGGAUGCGUCCGCUCGUGGGGGUCGUGGGAAAAACCGCCGCGUCGGUUGGCUAGGAACCGCACGAAGCGUUUCUGUACCAGGGAGGAUUAUUCCCUAAUUAACAUAAUUAGUUUAAAUCCUAACACUAAUUAGCUGGUUUGCAGGCUGGACGCUGUAACUCGUCGCCAAGUCUCCUUAACAGACUUGAUCAUUGCGACCUGAAGAUGGCAGUCGGGGACCAACGCCAUCCGCUAGCAACCGCGUGCAGCGUCGCCUCGUGCGUUCACCUCGCAUGGCACCGCACAUAGUAAAAUAGUAUCCCGUUAUCGCAGCAGCUUCGUCUUCUUUCUAGUCCGCACGCACGAGGCCACCAACCCCACCUUCGUGCUCACCCGGCCAAUUCCAGCGGUCAACACCACCAUUCGAAUCACGGUCCACUCCAAUUCCCAGUUCCUCACCCACCGUGGUUGCGCUACCUAUUUAAAUCCUUCCCUCUCCUCCAUUUCCAUCCAAGAAGAGCAUCCCUCACUUCUCCUGCUCCAACGAGCUCUUCUCUCUUACGGCUGCUCCACACAUUCAUCAGCCAAUAGCCACAUCAAAAAUCCAGCUAACACAGUAAACAUCACCAGUCUCUAGUCUCUAGUCUGUACUCCAGCUCCCCUCUCUCACAACUGCUCCAAGGAGACUUCAAGACAAAGUGUCGAUCGAACCAAUGGCAACCAAUGGCAACGACGGUUUGUGCUUGGCGAAGCCGCGGAGUGCUGACCCGCUCAACUGGGGGAAGGCGGCGGAGGAGCUGUCAGGGAGCCAUCUGGAUGCCGUCAAGCAGAUGGUGGAGGAGUACCGCAAGCCGGUGGUGGUCAUGGAGGGCGCAAGCUUGACCAUAGCCCAGGUCGCAGCUGUGGCCGCGGCUGGCGAGACAAGGGUGGAGCUCGACGAGUCCGCUCGCGGCCGCGUCAAGGAGAGCAGCGACUGGGUUAUGACCAGCAUGGCAAACGGCACCGACAGCUACGGUGUCACCACCGGUUUCGGCGCCACCUCCCAUCGGAGGACCAAGGAGGGCGGCGCUCUGCAGAGGGAGCUCAUCCGGUUCCUUAACGCCGGUGCGUUCGGCACUGGCAGCGACGGCCAUGUGCUGCCCGCGGCCACCACGCGUGCGGCGAUGCUUGUCCGCGUUAACACCCUUCUUCAAGGCUACUCUGGCAUCCGCUUUGAGAUCCUCGAGACCAUCGCCACGCUGCUCAAUGCCAACGUGACACCGUGUCUGCCGCUCCGGGGCACCAUCACGGCUUCCGGUGAUCUCGUCCCGCUCUCCUACAUCGCGGGACUUGUCACCGGCCGCCCAAAUGCCGUGGCUGUUGCUCCCGAUGGCACAAAAGUUAAUGCUGCCGAGGCAUUUAAGAUUGCCGGUAUCCAACACGGCUUCUUUGAGUUACAGCCCAAGGAAGGCCUUGCUAUGGUUAAUGGCACGGCGGUGGGCUCCGGGCUCGCGUCCAUUGUUCUCUUUGAAGCCAACAUCCUUGGUGUCCUUGCUGAAGUUUUGUCAGCCGUGUUCUGCGAGGUGAUGAAUGGCAAGCCAGAGUACACCGACCACCUGACACACAAGUUGAAGCACCAUCCUGGACAGAUCGAGGCUGCGGCCAUCAUGGAGCACAUCCUGGAGGGCAGCUCCUACAUGAUGCUCGCGAAGAAACUUGGUGAGCUCGACCCAUUGAUGAAGCCAAAGCAAGACAGAUAUGCUCUUCGCACAUCGCCGCAAUGGCUUGGGCCACAAAUUGAGGUCAUCCGUGCAGCGACGAAGUCGAUCGAGCGCGAGAUCAACUCUGUCAAUGACAACCCACUCAUUGACGUGUCUCGUGGGAAGGCAAUCCAUGGUGGCAACUUUCAGGGCACGCCCAUCGGUGUGUCCAUGGACAACACGAGGCUUGCCAUUGCUGCAAUUGGCAAGCUCAUGUUUGCCCAAUUCUCGGAGCUAGUGAACGACUUCUACAACAAUGGCUUGCCCUCCAACCUCUCUGGUGGUCGCAACCCAAGCCUGGACUAUGGCUUCAAGGGUGCCGAGAUCGCCAUGGCAUCAUACUGCUCGGAGCUUCAAUUCUUGGGCAACCCUGUGACCAACCACGUCCAGAGUGCGGAGCAACACAACCAAGACGUUAACUCCCUUGGAUUAAUCUCGGCCCGGAAGACCGCUGAGGCCAUCGACAUUCUGAAGCUCAUGUCCUCUACGUUUUUGGUUGCGCUCUGCCAAGCCAUCGACCUGCGCCACCUCGAGGAGAAUGUCAAGAACGCAGUCAAAAGUUGUGUCACAAGAGUGGCUAGGAAGACCCUAAUCACAAAUGACAUGGGUGGCCUCCACAACGCUCGUUUUUGUGAGAAGGACCUGCUCCAGACAAUCGACCGCGAGGCAGUGUUUGCGUAUGCAGACGACCCUUGCAGCGCCAACUACCCUCUCAUGAAGAAGAUGCGUGCGGUGCUGGUGGAGCACGCCCUGGCCAAUGGUGAGGCUGAGCGCAACGUGGAAACCUCGGUGUUUGGCAAGGUUGCCAAAUUCGAGCAGGAGCUCUGUGCUACACUACCUCAGGAGGUUGAGGCUGCUAGAGGUGCAGUGGAGAAUGGCACCGCCGCAGAACCAAACCGUAUCGUAGACUGCCGGUCAUACCCUCUGUACCGGUUUGUGCGCGAGGAGCUGGGCACGGUGUACUUGACCGGAGAGAAGACUCGGUCACCCGGCGAGGAGGUGGACAAAGUGUUCGUUGCCAUGAACCAGGGUAAGCACAUCGAUGCGCUGCUGGAGUGCCUCAAGGAGUGGAACGGCGAGCCCCUCCCUAUCAGCUAAUCAAUGAGAUGAAGAGAAGAUGCCGUGCUUCACUAAUUCUGAAAACUGAUAAUACUGUUCUUUUAUUUUAUUUUAUUUUUCCUCUUCUAAAGAGCUGAUGCAUUAACGUUCUUCCGGAGCUAGAGCUUCUGCUUAUGUAAGUGAAAGGGUAUAAAUUUUCAUGACAAAUGUUCAAGUUGUUGAAAUGAAUCCAAAGAAGCCAGAGCUGUAUCAACAAGUACAUUGAUGUACCACAUUGCAUUGCAAGUCAUCGAACAAUUAGAUUAUCAUACAUGUUCAGGCACAAGCAAUAUUGCCAGAAGUAGUAGAAAGAACCAGAACGAAACAACAAUAGACACAAGAAACUUACCAGAUCAAUGUUUUCUUAUCCUUAUAAGGCAACUGAUCAAUCCAUUGGUACCAGCAGUAUGUGCCAACAGAGUAAACAAUCUAGUACACGCCUAGCUGCUUCAAUCAUUGCAUAACCUAGCAAAAAAUCUGUUAAAUUUCUGGAAGACAAAAAUCUGUUAAAUUUCUGCAUGGGAGAUCUAUGGGUAGAUUAUGUCAUAUUGGUUGCCCGUGAACAGCAAGGUCAUACUAACAUGGAGAACUCCAAAACUAAAGUAGAUAUGUUGAGGAGGUCCUUCAUUCAGCUGCUCAACACGAGGGCCAUCAUCUGAACUUCGGCCGCCACCAUCUGAACAGGGUAGCGUGCUGAAAGCACCACUGUGACAUCUCCAGAUAGCUGCUAGUAAUCUGAGGAAAAUUAAAACUGACCAAAAAAUAUGUCAGAAACAUGAAUUAGGAUGAACUGUGGGAAAGAUAAGUUGACGACUGAAGGAUAAGUCGAAAAGUGUUUUCUCACUAUUUUCUAGAUGUGUUUUCUGUUCUAUAAUAAGUGCUGAAGAACUUGAGAAGUUUCUGAUUACAGUAACUGACAAAAGUGGCACAUCAAGCCAGUGAGGUGGAAGCAUUCGGCCACAACACUUCACCGGAAUUGCAAAAAAACAAACAUAUCAAAAACCUUUUAGUUGAUGCUACGGGGAUCAAUCUGCCUUGUGUCUUCCAGUUCAUUACUUUCUUUAUCAACUUCUUAAAUGCCUGAAGGAAUCCGUGGUGAUAAAUCAUAUUCGGUAAUCAUUCCAUACAUCUCCGUAAGGAUUCCUUUUCAGAGGUCUCGGCAGUAGUACUAGGCUUCACCUGACCUGGCAUGUUGGCUCGCCAGCGGUGAAGCUCCACGAAGGUAGCCAGCGAGAGCGCGUCAAGCUGCGGAAGCUGCCAACCAACUUGGCUGGCAGGUAGGAGAAACCUCCAUGAGCAUGUCAUCUGAGCAAUGGAUUUGUGCCCCCUUUCGGCUGAACAAUGUUUGCCAUGUGUAGUUGUGGUACGAGUCCCCCACGUGCUGUUCCAACUUAUAAGAGGCCAAGACACGGUGUGCGACGACCUGAGACAGAAACGGACUCUAAGCCUACGCCAAGUUGGACAGCUCCUCGAGGUGACGGUGGUCGUCGCCAAGCAGCCUGAGCUGCUGAUCGAGCCCUCUGACGACGGUUUUGAUGCCCGGAUCAAGGAAGCGGUCACCAGCAACAAACUCGCAGGCGACGCCAUCGACCUCGACCAUGCUGCACCCGGGCACUUUGGUCAACUUCUUCUCCUCCAUCACCGACCUGAUCCUUACCACGUCCUCCCACUUGCUGGAGCAGGCGUACAUGUUGGACAGCUGCACCUGCACACCGCUGUGGUCGAGCCCAAGCUCCGCCAGCCACUCCACAACCUGCUUUCCGAGCUCCACACCGUCACCACCGUGCACCCGGCAUGCGUUCAGCAGCGCACCUAACACAUACGAGUCGGGCCGCAUCGGCAUUGCCCGCGCUACAGCCGCGGCCUCCGCUAGCAUCCCAGCACGGCCGAGCACGUCGACCAGGCUCCCAUAGUGCUCCACGCCGGGCUCAAUGCCGUGGACGGCAGACAUACUCUGGAAGAUCUCCCUAGCGACGCUGACAAGCCUGCCACCAGCACGGGCACAAGCGCUGAGGACACAGAUGAAGGUGACCUCGUUGGGGCGCACACCCUGGUCCCGCAUCUGGCCGAACAGCUCGAUGGCCUCCUGGCAGUGGCCGUGGUCCGAGAGCCCCGAGAUCAUCGCCGUGUAAGCAAACACGUCGCGCUCGGGCUCCGGCAUGGCCGCGAACACCUGUCCUGCAGAGUCCAGGCUCCCGCACUUGGCAUACAUGUCCACCAACGCGGUAGCCACCACCCCGUCCAUCCUACUGGCGGCAGCGGCGACAAGUGCGUGCACCCAUCUGCCCUGCUCCAGCGCCCCGAGCGCACCACAUGCGGCCAGUGCACCGACGAUGGCCGCCCUGUUGGGUCGGACGCGGGCCCUGAGCAUCCUGUCGAACACCUCGAGUGCGUCCGCGAAAGCGCCCGCGCCGACGUGGGCGCUGAGCAUGGCGCUCCAGGCGAUCGGCGUCUUCUGUGGCAUUCCGUCGAACAGGGCGCGGGCGUCGUCCAUGUGCCCAGCCUUGGCGUAGGCUGUGAGAAGCGAGGUCCAGGAGCAGAUAUCGUCCGUGCGGGCGAGGACGGCGCCGUCGAAGACGCGGCGCGCGGCAUCGAGGAAGCCGCGGGAGGCGUAGGCGUGGAUGAAGCCGUUGGAGACGUAGGCGUGCGCGUCCCAGCCGAGCGCCACGGCGAGCGCGUGCAACGCGCACACGAGCUGCGUGUGGGCCGAGGAGGGCGACGACGGCGACGGAAUGGGGAUGGCUGUGGCGGUAGCGGCGGUGAGGAGGAAAGAGAAGGUGUAGUUGUUGGGGAGGAAUGCGGGGAGGAUGCGGCGGAGGCGGGGGAAGAGGGCGAGGGUGCGAAGAGGGGCGUCCGGGAGGAGGCCGCGGAGGAGGAUAUUUGGGAGGUAGCGGUCGCCGAGGAGGGAGGAAGUGAGGAGGUGGCCGUGGAGCUGCCGGAGCUGCGCCGCCGUGAGCGACGGGUGGGACAGCAGCCGCAGCGCCAUGGCGGCGACCGAAGGGUACGUGGGCCUGGGCCCCUAAUAGGAGGAUGUAUUGCAGCAGAUUGACGACCGGCCCACGAACCCAGCCCAACCGAAGCGUAGAGUGGAAGGUAAACCAAGGACAACAGCAGCGACUUCUUCUCCAUAGUGGGUGGGGAGGGGAGCGUCCGGCGAGCGAGAGGUAGACGAAGGAGAAGCAAUGGCUCGCGCGGGGCAAGGAGGUGGGAUGGGGAGCGCGGUGAACGUGGGGAUCGCGGUGCAGGCCGACUGGGAGAACCGCGAGUUCAUCUCCAACAUCUCCCUCAACGUCCGCCGCCUCUUCGACUUCCUCCUCCGAUUCGGUGCGCCCCUAGAUCCCCAUUUUCCUCCCUGCAUUUCCUUCCUCUUUCCCCGGCCGUCUGCUCUCUUGCUUGCUUUAGUACGAUUGGAUUGGAUUGGAUUGGAUCUUAUCCCCUACUGCGUCCGUCCGCCUCUAGUAUGAUUUAUUCCAUGCAUCGGUGAAUUAGAACUCUUGCUACCUACCUGCUCGCGCCCAGGACAAGAUCUCCCUCAUGGAUGAUAUGCCUGCUGCAUCCGCUUCCAUGACGGCGUAUUUGCCAUAGCCGACUCCCAUUACCGACUUCCUCACGCAUGUUGCCGAUGAGGUUGGUUCAGUCAGCCGUGAAUUGCUCGUUACUGCAACGGCGCUUUGCCCCUCUUACUAAUAAUAAUAAUCAUCAGAAAUGCUAGUUACUGUGACUUCACUUUUUUUUUGUUGAAAGAUCCAGCAAUUGCUGGCCUUGCAUGAUCAUUAGCCGAAAGCAACGGGAGUACAAAAGUGGUAUGGAUCCUAGGAUCAAAGAGAAAAAAUGAAGUCGAAAAAAAACUGCUAGAGGGGUCGACCACAACCCGGUCCGCCCCUCCCUAUGCAUGCCCUUAUCUCUCACGAUGGAUCCCCGAACGGGCUCUCAAUGCACUUAGCUCCUGCUAGCCAACAUAGCUCAAUGGAGUCCUUGAUCCGUUGCAUGAUCGUGGCGGUCAACGGGGUUUUAUUCCGGAACAUGCACUUGUUCCUCUCUUGCCAAAUCUCCUAGCAAGUGAGGAGCAACAAUGUCUUUGCCCCUUUCCUCCUGUUGGCAUGAGUGUGCUCGUAGAUGUGGUGAACGAUCGAUAGCUCCGGUGCUUGGUGCCACUCCUUGGAUGAGAACGAUGAGCAGCCCCUCCACAGGCUGAUCGCUGUCCACACCUCGUGUGAUCGUGGGCAUUCCCAGAAGAGGUGAUGGGCAGACUUGAGGCUCUGUAGGCAUAGCUGGCAGAAGUAUUCAUUCGGCCACCCUCUUCGCUGCAGCCGAUCGUUGCACUAUAGCCUAUUCUGAAAGAGCAGCAAUGCAAACAUCUUUAUCUUGCAUGGCACCCAGACCUUCGAGAUAUCUUGGUCGAAGGUGGAAGCCCAUCGUCCCAUGAACUGCAUCAGGUAGGCGGACUUGGUGGAGGGAGCUCUCCCAGUUCCACCUGAUCAUGUCAGGCGCGCCGUCCUCUAAAACUAUCUCUGCUUCUCUAAUGGCCAUAUGCAUCUGAAGAAAUUGAUGCAGCAAGCCCUCGGCGCUGCCAUGGGCGAUGUCUCUGAUCCAUGUAUUCUCCGUCAGAGCCUGUUACACCGUCUGGUUCUUCCUCCUAGAAUGCUUGAAGACGGAGGGGAAACGCUGGGCUAGUGUGGCCUUGCCACACCAAGAAGAGUGCCAGAAGGGCGCCGUCGCCCCAUCGCCCACUGUGACGGUGGUCGCUGCGGCGAAGAGAGCUCAUUCUCCAACUCCGCAAUGGACUUCCGAGCCCACCCAUGGCCGGUCAGGGUGCUGCCAGGUGAUCCACAACCAUUGUAAGCGCAGGGCCGUGCUGAAACACUGCAGGCCAUGGACGCCAAGACCACAUGCAGUUGGCAAGCACAUGGACUGCCAGUUGACCUUGCAACUACCACCCGAGGUUUCUUCGUCGUGCCGCCAGAGGAAACGUCGCCUACACUUGUCUACUUCCUUGAACAGUUUCUUUGGGGCCUGUAGCACUUUCAGAGCAAAGGUGGGCAUGGCACUAAGGACACAUCACACCAUCACCCUGCGACCCGAGAACGGCAUGAGCAUGCCUUCCAUCCUGCUAAGCGAGCCUUGAUCGUAUCUAUGAUGAACUAAGGGUGUACCAACUGGAGGCGACCAGGGGUGACGGGGAAACCCAAAUAUUUUGCCAGGAAAGAAGCAACCGCCCCAGCAAAGCUGGCCAGUACCUCCUAGAUGUCAACCUCCUCACAAUUGAUCGAGGCAACCGAAGAUUUUGCCGGGUUUAUGCAUAGUCCCGUCACGCUGCCGAAGUCUAGUAGGAUUGUUAUCAGGUUGUCUACCUCCUGUCUAGUGGGGUUGACGAAUAUCAUGGCGUCAUCGGCGUAAAUACUGACUUGGAGCUUGAGCUCCCGUCCUGGGAUUGGACCCAAAAUCUGUUGUUCUACUGCCGCCUUGAUGAGAUGAUGCAACGGGUCUAUCGCUAGGAUGAAAACGAAAGGAGACAGAGGGUCACCUUGGCGUAGGCCCCGUCAAUGGGCAAUGGGCGCGCUGGCCACACCGUUGAGCAUGAAUCUGGAUGAGGAGGUAGACAACAGUAGGGUGAUCCAAUCUCGCCAUCACGCACUAAAGCCGGGCCGUUGUAGGAGCUCCAGGAGAUAUUCCCAGGAGACGGUAUCGAAGGCCUUCAGUAUGUCUAGUUUCUUAAGGAGCGUCGGGUUUUUUCGUGGGUGGAGGCCUCGGACAGCAUUUUGAACGAACAAGUAGCUGUCGUGAAUGCACUUGUUCUUGAGGAAGGCCGUUUGAGCCGGGGAGAUGAUGGUGUGUAUGACUGCCGCUAGUCUAAUGGAGAGGACCUUGGAGAUAAGCUUCGCUAAUGAGUGUAUUAGGCUGAUAGGUCUGAAGUCGUUGAUCGUUGUGGCUCCAUCCUUCUUGGGUAGCAAAACCACCAUGAUAGUGUUAAGUGAAGCAAUGCCCCCUCCCACCAGGUGGUAGAAUUGGUGGAACACCUCCAUGAUGUUGUGUUUGAUGAUUGGCCAGCAACAUCUAAAGAAGGUCCCGUUGGAACCGUCGGGGCCGGGUGACUUCUCUUGCGGCAAUGAAGCAAUCGCGUUCCACACCUCCUCUUCGACGAAAGGGUUGUCCAGCCCACCGUGUUGCAGCUACGGCAGGUUAAUGGCUGCCCAAUCGAUCGUGGUUUUCCUGGCGGAGUGUUGACCUACGGAUGCACUAAAAUGAUCAUGGAUCAACGUGGCCUUGUCCUUGUGUGUCGUGGCUAUCGUGGCUGGACCUUGAAUGGAGUGAUGAAAUUCUUCUACCUCCGGGAGUUUGCUUUCGCUUGGAAGAAGGCCGUUUGUGCGUCGCUGGCCCGGAGCCAGGUGACCCUAGAGGCCUGACGUUUCCUAGCACGCUCGAUCGCCGCAAGUCCCAGGAUGCGUAGUUUGAGCAGCUUACGCAGUUGGAACUCCUCGAAGGCAAGUGGACGGCUCUCCUGAGCUACGUCGAAGCGUAGCACUAGCUCGGUUGCCUAAUGAAGUUGCAGUUUAAUCUCACUAAAGAAGCCCUUGGCCCAAAUUUUUAGGUCCGUUGCUACCCUUUGAAAUUUGAUGUUGAUUCUACGAAAUGCACACUGGGCCGCCAUCGGUCGUUGCCAUGCCCUCUGCACCGUGAUGUGGAAGCGCAGGAAGCGCGGCCAGAAGGAUUCAAACCUGAAUCUGGCUGGGCGACGAGGGGCUGCCGCCUCGGCCAGCAGCAGGGGACAGUGAUCGGAACAGGAGGUCGACGUCGACGUCGACGUCGCGUGGAGGAUGAGGGAGUGAAACAUCGCGUCCCAGGAACUGUUGCAGAAGAGUUUAUCUAUGCUACCUAAGGUUGGGUUCUCUCGCUCAUUGCUCCAAGUGAAGCGACGAUUCUUGCACUCGAUCCCUCAGAGGCCUGCUGCAUCUAUUGCCGGCUUAAACUUGCGCAUAAUUCCACGGAUGAUGUUGGAGUUCUUCUUUUCCCUGGCCUCGUAAAUUAGGUUGAAAUCACCGUUUAUAAGCCAUGGCUGCCAAGCCGGCGGUGCCACCCUAGCUAAUUCAGCCAAGAACUCCUCCUUGUUGUCAUCCGUUGGACCGUAGACUGUAGUGAACCAAAAGCUAGUUGUGGAUGAGACUACUGUCACGUUGGCUGUUAAGGAGUAAACUCCCACAACGUGUGUGUGUGCAGAUUGACGCGGUUCCUGUCCCAGAAGAUCGCCGCCCCUCCCCUCGUUCCUACAACAGGAAGACCAUAUAGUCUGCUAGUCGGCUGCCGCCUACUUCGCACGCCAGGGUACGAUCCCAGGAUUCAAUCUUAGUUUCCUGGAGGCAUAGGAUCGACAACAUGUGAAGUUCUGCCGUUUCUCUAACCACAACGCGCCUUGCUAGUGUGUUCAAGCCUCUAAUAUUCCAGCUCAAGAUCGGUGUUGGUGUACUACUCCUGGCUGAACCAAUGCAUACUCCGAAGACUACUAAUUUGGUUGAAAAUGGACAGGUACACCUCCAUCUUCCCGAGGGGUUGCCGGCGGCCACCAAUAGGCCCCAAACAGCUACGCCUUUGAAACUGCUACAUAUAUAAUACAUGCUAAAUCCUAACUCGAACCAGCCGAGAGUUGGUCGCCUUCGGAGCCUACUACACGACAGGAGAACUAACAUGGGGAAGGUGCAGCCCCGGGGGCCUCCAUCGGGGCCAUUCAUGCCAGCGGCGAUCUUGAGUGCUGACACAUCCAGGCGGGUGAGCAUGGCGAUGGCAGCUAAGUCUUCAUCGGAGAGGGGCUCGUCGAAAUGACGGGUGAGCGCCUUCGCUGCCUUGGUCGUCAUCUUCUCCUUUGGCCCGAGGAUGCCAGAGCGUGUGCACAAGGCGCAAGGUGGCCCUCUGGCUCACCAGCACCGUCGAUGGAUUGCUCACCUGCCAAGCGCUUUGUCUGGUCGGGGUCAUCAUCUUCCUUGACCUGAGGGGAGUCUGAGCGCGUGCCUUGCCUUGUCCUAGCAGCGACAUAGGAACCCCGGUGAAGAGCUGCCUCGGGGCCCUGCUGCAGCUGCCCUCCUCAAGUUGCAAAUGAUAGACCUGGUUCGUGACCGCACCCAGCUGCAGGGAGGGGGUCACUGCAGCCUCCGGAGUGUGGCGAUUCAGUGAUAGGGCCGGCCCCAUGUCCAGCGGGUCGUCGCUCCCCGUGCUCUCCCCGGUGGCAAAGUCCUGGGGCUUGUCCAACUUGGUAGCCAUCACAGUGUCGAUCGCCGAAGGUCAUGACGCGGUGGAGGUGGCAGGGCCUUGUUCGCGCCCUCGAAGAACUCCGCCAUUGGGUCCGUCCCAUCGGAUACCGCCCUGGCAGCGGAGAGGGGCCUUGGAGGACCUAGGAGUGGGUUUCCUUGCGUGGUCUUGCGCAUUGCUGGCGCCCGCUCCGGUCCCUUGGUGCGCGUGUCUUCCAGCCCCACCCGAGUCUUGCCGUUGUCAGCUGAGGAGCAGCGCCCGCGUGGUGCCCCCUGGCGGUGACAUGAGGCAUGGGUGCGGCUCCGCUGCCAGUUGGAGGAGGAGCUCGUAGUCGCCGCCUCCUUGUCGCGCCCACGCCCUGAGCAACGUGUCCUUCCAAGAGCUGUUGUCACCCUCGUGGCCACGCCUGAGCCUCGUAGAGGGCAUGCCACGACAGCUCGUAGAGGCCACACGCGUCGGGGCGCGCGCGCUGAUCCGAGCUCUGCCCCAGCAUCGGUCUGCCAUCCUCAUUCCCAUGCAGCCAGCCUCCCGCGGGUGGGCGCCGCGGGAACGGGCGGUCGUCGUCAUCGGCGAAGGGCAACCCACUCUGCCAGUGGCGGAUCCAGGAUCUGUAAACACACUGACUUACUUCUCCAUCUAGCAUCAUCGUGUCACCUUUUAUUUUUUAGUAGAGCGUGAAUUGUGAACGUUUAGACUCAAAGUCCUAUAAAGAAUAACAGGUGCUUAUGUAAUUGGGCCUUUACUACCGAUUUCUUAAUUUACAGCCACUUUAUAACUGGCCCAUCUCUAAGUAUAACAAAACGUUUUCUUCUCUUUCUCAUCAUCCUCCUCGAGUCAGAUCUCACAUGCUAUGGCCGAAACAGAUCUUGCGUUUAGUUCCCAUGGCGUUGCACCGGUCAAGUAGUAGGACGUACCCUGGGUAUGAAAUUUUUAGCCGGGGCGGCUGCCCCUACACGACCCCACGCUGCCGCCGCCCCUGCACUCUGCCUAGAGUGGGAGGAGCGCGGGGACAGGGGCGUCCAGUCCUCGAUGCAGUCCAGGUGCAGAAGGACAUCCCAUCUCUUGAAGCGCUGCGGCGGCGCCACUGCCGGCUCGGAGGAGAGAAGCCGAAGAUCUCCUCGACGCGGCCCGCUCCCCUGGCGUGCUUCCAAAGCAUGUGCCGCAUUGGGAUGUGGCCAAGGUCAAGCACCCAAGCCCACACCAUGAAGGUCUUUGUGUCGGCGUGCUCGAAUCUGUCUAGUCGGUCGAUGAUCACCUUGUCCCCGAGCGCAUCGGUGAUGCCCUCCAUCGUCCAGAGCAUCAUGGGCAGCUUCUUGAUGAUGAGGCGCAUGUGUGUCCUCCCGCUAAGGCUCCAACGGGAAGGUGACGCUGUCCACCUCCAGCGUGCUGCGGCGCACGAGAAGCUCCUUGUGCGCCGGCAGGUUGAAGUGGAUGAAGAAAUCCUCGGGGUCGUGGUUGGUGAUGCGAAGGUGGUGCGCAUGAUCUAGAACUCCCUCUCGACGGCCUUGCCGAUGGAGUAGGGGUUGGUCGCGUGGUUCUUGCUGGCCGCAGUCACCACUAUGGCGUGCUGCUGCAGGAGGAAGAGUUGCUGCUCCAUCGCCGAUGUGGAGGCGAUGACCUUAUGGCUGUGGAGCGGCCGGCGCCCGUGGUCGAUGCAGGGGGCGUCCGCCGCGGCCAUGGCCUCCUGGCUGGGGAACACGAGCUGGUCUGUCACCGGACGACGCGCGCCCAACCUCUCCUUCACGUCCCUCCCCCACGACGAUUUCUUGGGUUUUUUGGGUACUCCCUACCAAAAUGCCCUGACUGCUUGCAGAUGAUGCAGUGCAGCGGGUCUCUACAGUCCUUUCGGCGGUGGCGAGGGCUAAGGCACCGAAAACAGAGACCUCUGAACUAGCUUAAAAAGGCCUCGCGACCAUGGACGGAGGUGCUUCUGCCGUUGGAUCCCCGUGCUGGACAUCGGAUCUUUACUUGGCCGCCGCUUCUUGCGGGAUUGGUAGGUAGUCCAUCCGUCCUCAUCAAUAGCGUCGGGGGACUGAUUUGGUGAUAGAGGAGGGGCAACUACGAUGGAUCGAAGGCAGGGCUGCUCGAAAGGGGGGGGGUACCUAGAUCCGCCUGUCCGUGUGGAGAGCCAUCCUCAAGAACCUCGACCCAAGGCAGGAUCCGCGGCGUCGCCACACCAGAGCGAUCCAUGGAGGGGAGCGCGGGGCUGGGUGCCUCGGAUGGAUCGGCGGACAGGUUGAGGCCUGGCGACGCAGGGCAUUGAAUGCCGACCGGUGGAGAGGCGGGAUCUUGGGGGUCUCAGCAGGGCGGCAUGGGCCGGCGCGGGUGCCCGGGUGGGCGGCGCAUGGGUAGUGGUGGUCGCCGCGGCCGGAGUGGCCAGCGGCACGAGAGGAAGAGGUGAGCUAGCUCAGCCGCCACACCAUAUUGUUGCUUUUGACUUUUCUCCCUGGUGGUGGAGAGGGGCCUUGGGGGAGCCAGGAACUGUGACUUUGCUGCUGGCCAUGUAGCAACUCUCUUACCUAAAAAGGAAAAAUACAAUGGAACCAUUGCUAGAAAUAAGGAAUACCAUCAGCAAAGUUGUGCUGUAGUAUGUGCUCCAUCUUUUAUCUCUUCUUGGCACACGCAUCGAUAAUGUAUUUCUAGGGACGGGUUUGCAGCAAACCUAUGAGAUGCCGGAUGGUUGCGCUUCCAGUCUCAAGAAAAAAGAAUGUGUUAUUUAAUUUUGAUGUUGGCCAAGUAGCAACUCUCUUGCCCCUCAAAACAAGACAAUGAAACCAUCGCUGAAAAUAGCCAAUAACAUCAACACAGAGGUGUAACUAGUUUCACCCCUUAGCCCUGGGUAAUCGAUUUCAACUAGUUCUGCACAGUUCAACUAGAAUGUGACUGGUUUUGCGCGGUAUGCUAUUACCGGUCUGGAAUUUUGAUUAGGCUCUCGAACUUAUGGGAAGAAUUGAGUCAGUAGAUUGGAAACCGUUUCUGUUUGUUUCUUUCUUAUUCAUCCUCGGCAUUCUUUUCUGACGAUCAAAACAGGAGUUAUGCCAAUUUUAUUAUGAUAGAAAAGGGAAAUAGAGAGUGACCCGGUUUAUAAGGGAAACUGGGCCGAAAACCCCAAUGCCUGACUGAGCGAAAACCAAUGAACAAAAGGAAAACUCAAAAAACAGAAGGAAAAAAAAACACUAGAGCUUGGGGAUGUGGACUACAAGAAUGCAAAAGCAAAAGGAAGGCUGGAGCAGAUAAUUCAGGACCUUGCUAAUCUGAUGCGCUCAUUUUGCAGAGGCCACGACGAAGAGCAAGCUGGCGUCGCUGAACGAGAAACUAGACGGCCUGGAGCGGAAGCUGGAGGUGCUGGAAGUCCAAGUGAGCAGCGCCACCACCAACCCCUCCGUUUUCAACAACUAGCUAAGCCUAAUUAGCUAGAAGAAGUGUUAGCACGCGGAAUUGCAGCUGCAGAGCUUACUCACGUUUCGAGGAGCAUUCUGGCUUUGUGUUGUGUGUUUCCUGUGUAUGUGCAGUCAAUCAGUCUAUGUGUGUAUGUAUGUAUGAACAUGCCAUGUACUCCAAUUAAUCGAUUGAGAUGUUAAUUACUUAUCUUUAUGUAUGUUUAUUGCGCACAAUUACUAAAAAAAGAAAGUCGCCUCAUUACCGAGGCUUGCUGGUGAACGUGUAACAUUCUAAUUUUCCAAAAUUGGAUGUUAACAUGUCAUUCAUAUACAUCACAUAAUUUAUGAUCAACGUGUGUUUGUAAGGUGGCUUCGGAUGAGUUUAGGGUGACUAGGAAAGUAAAAGCAAAGGUAAAGAUAUCUGAUGAUGGAACGAUAAUGCCCAGAAUGCCUACAUCUAAAUAUGAGUGCGGACAACAUAGAUAAGUACAAUGUGGUAAAGAACACUGUAAAGCAAGCUGUGAGUGGAUCAAGGGAUCGGACUGUGAAAACCUCUACCAGCGUUUAAAUAGGAAGUAAGGCGAAGGGGACAUCUAUAAGAUUACCAAGAUUGGAGAGAGGGAGAUGAUGGAAGUAAGGCGAAAGGGGCAUCUACCGUGGCGAAUGCAUAAAAUAGAGAUGAUGACCAAGAUCGGAAAGAGGGAGAUGAUGGAUGUCAACCUAGUUAAAUGCAUAAAAAAAGAGCAGACCAGCUUCUGAUGAAGGACGAGGACCCUCAGUACCGUGGCGAAUGCGGUUGGAAGUCCCAGAUAGGAGGUUGCAUAAGGGGGUUACUCAGGUUCGGACCCUUGUAGUGAUGUAAGAACAUCUCCAACAGACAUGCGCUAGCGCCGGGCGUUAAAAAUUUUAUUCAGCACCGAAAUAGUGUUUUCAGCGUGCUGGAGAAUGUUUGCUCCAACAGGCGCUGCAAAAUAUGGCGCUCAAUCCGACGGCCCCACAUGCAGCGGCCAGCGCGCGUAAUCCGACGCCUCAAUAACGAAGCCCAAAAGCCAGCGUGCUCAAAAUUUGCAGCAUGGGCGCUCACGUUUUUUAUGCGCGCUCUAUUUCAGAGCUUUUGUUGGAGCUCUUUUUUCUGUCUUCGGCGUUUAAAAAGGAUAUCUUUUAGGGGGCGGAAGAGUUUUUGGGUGUGUGUUGGAGAUGCUAUAAUAUCCUACAUCCUACUUCAAAUUUGCAUCAUGUUGCAUCACCUCGUGCGAUGGGGUUAUAGAUGUGUAUGGCUAUCGACAAUAUAAUUUAUGUUGUGGAUGCGUAUGGCUACACCUACCCGCGCCUUAUAUGGGUGGCAAGGGCUAGGAUUUACACAGGAUCUAACCGAACUCAUGUUGCCGCCAUCUUGGCAUGCACGCCAAGAUGGUCCUUUUAUCUCUAUCGGGGCCUCCGGGAACCUCCCUGGUCCUUCACUGGGUCAUCUGGAUCCUGAGGCAGGCCUGUUGUCGGGCUUCCACCGAGAGGAAUUUCUCUUGCACAAUCAACAAUAAAAUGAGCAUUUCUCUUGCGCUUGAAGCGAGAAUUGUCUCAAAAAGAAUUUGAGCUUGAGGAAGGUUGGGAGCAACUCUUGGAGUCUUCUUCAAGAAAUGAUUCUUCUUCUUGAAAUGCUUGAAAUGCUUGAAAUGUUUCAUUAUCAAGGUGAGGUAUUUUCCAAAGCUGUCGGGAUCAUCAAAUUCUUCAUCAACAUUUUCCUCGUCUUUUUCCGUGGAAGAAUUCGAAGAAUCUUUGUGAGCAUGACUUUUGUGAUAGUUGGAACCAUACAAAUACCUUUUUCAUCUUCUUGUAACUCAUGAGGAGGGUUGAGACUUUUGUAGUGGGACGUUCCUUGUUCAUCAGAACUAGAGUGUUAAUAGAAUUGUCCAUAGAAUGUAGCAACUUGUUUACUACUUCAUGAUCAGUACCAAGUCCUUGAAGCUCACCUAAGAGGACACAUAGAUGAUCAUAAGUAUCGUGGACCCAUUCAUUUCCGGUUCUAUUGAAAAGAUUGAGGCAGUUUUGGAGAGUCUCAAUGUGAUAGUCUUUCCGUGUGGAUACACCCUUGUUCACUUUCUCAAGUUUAUCCCAGAUUCUGUUUGAAUUUUCCAACCUUUGGUGUCAAAGGAAUUGCGGCUUUAAGAGAUGAUUACUGACACGUCUAUGUUGCAUCAUGAUUUCUUAUUAGUAUUUAUAUGAUUCUUGGUCAUUAUCCCACUUUAUGGUACAAUUCUUAUGUCUUUUCUCUCUGAAUUUGCAAGGUACACCACAAAGAGGGAAAUUGCCGAAAACUGGAAUUUUGGACCUGAAAACCAAGAAAAAGGCUGAAAAUUCACUCGACUCCGAAUGACCGGAAACUUCACGAGGAAUGUUUGUGGAAUAUAUAUGAAUUUAUGGAGCAAAAAUAUACCAAAGGGGGGCCACCUGUUGGUGCCAAGCCAAUAGGACGCGCCGUGAUGGCUUGGGGCCAUCUCCGAGGCACUUCAGCCUCCCUCUUCUGCUAUAAGUUGGGUUUUGACCUAGAAAAAAAUAGGAAGAUACGUUCGUGAGGAAGCACCGCCGUCCCGAGGUGGAAACCUGGGCAGAGGCCCUUUUGCUCUUCGGUAGAGCGAUUCUCUCGGGGAAACUUCCCUUCGGGAGGGGGAAAUCGAAGCCAUCAUCAUCACCAACGCUUCCUCCUUCGUGGGAGGAUCAAUAUUAAUCAACAUCUUCACCAGAACCAUCGCAUCUCAAACCCUAGUUCAUCUCUUGUAUUCAAUCUUUGUCUCAAAACCUCAGAUUGGUACGUGUGGGUUACUAGUAGUGUUGAUUAUGUCUUGUAGUUGAUGCUAGUUGGUUUACUUGGUGGAAGGUAAUAUGUUCAGAUCCUUAUUCAUAAUUAUUACGCUUAUGAUCUUGAACAUGGUGAUGAUUUUUGAGUAGUUACUUUUGUUCUUGAGGACAUGGGAAAAGUCUUGUUACAAGUAAUCAUGUGAAGUUGGUAUUCGUUCGAUAUUUUGAUGAUAUGUAUGUUGUUGCUUCCUUUAGUGGUGUCAUGUGAACUUCGACUACAUGCCACUUCACCAUACUUGGGACUAAGGCAACACAUUAUGGAGUAAUAAGUAGAUGAUUGGUUGCUAGAGUGACAUAAGCUUAAACCCUAGUUUAUGCGUUAAUUCAUAAGGGGCUGAUUUGGCUCCACAGGUUUCAUGCUAUGGUUAGAUUUCUCUUAAUUCUUCUUUUGUAGUUGCGGAUGCUUGCGAGAGGAGGGAAUCAUAAGUGGGUUGCUUGUUCAAGUAAGAACAACACCUUAGCACCAGUCCACCCACAUAUCAAAUUAUCAAAGUGACGAACGCGAAUCAACUGAACAUGAUGAACAUAACUCGACAGAAAGUCCCAUGUGUCAUCAGGAGCACUUUGCUUCAUAUAAGAGAACCUUCAGGCUUGUCCUUUGCUGCAAAAAGGAUUGGGCUAUCUUGAUGCACACUUGCUACUUGUCACUUGUUCCGAAUUAUCUUUCUACAAAACUAUCUACCACUGUUACUCACAACACUUGCAAAGAAUGCCUUGCUGGAAAGUGCUUAUUAUUUCGUUAUCCUCCGCGUUCGGUUCAACACUCUUACUUAUCGAAAGAUACUCUCCGAUGCUCUCUUGAGAACUUGUUCUCAUCGCUUUUGCGAUUUUCCCUUCCUCCUUCAACCCCUAUGGAUGACUACUGCAAAUGUCGUUCACAUUUUCUUUAUAGCUACUCUUGUUAUUACAAGGUACAUCAAAUUAUCUUACCGUGGAUUCGGUUGUCCUCAGUUGUCAUGGGUUUCAUAAGUUCUUCAAAUUACUAUUCGAUCUUCUGAAAUCCUCAAUAGCCUAUUGUUCAUGACCCUUCUCACCUGCUUGUGUUAUGGUUAAAUCCAUAUGCCUAGUAACGUCCAUUAAAAUCCUUUGCAAUUGUCCUUUGAGCUUGUUGAUUCUACCUAUGUGUGAUUGCACACAAUCAUUAGUUGAUCCUUAUAAAUUAUCUUUCUAGCUCAAAUGUUUUUCCAAACAUGAGCUAGUUCUCACCAAAUCAACCUUGAUUUAUUGUCCAUCUAAGUCCAUUCACCUUACUUGUAUUUGAUCGGAGCAUCUGAAUAGGAUACACCAACCUGGGAAUCAUAAAUUCCUUUGGUAUUUAAGUAUCGAUAUUUUUCGGAUGUUCUAUAAUCCGAUGACUUGCAUUCUAUCCCCCUCUGUUUGAGUACCGAUACUCACAUGAGGUCCUUUAUGGACCGUCAGACCCAUUGUUGGGUUAUUAUCCGACGACAUCCGUCACAUUCAAAAAAUUCUUGUGAUAUUCCUCCCCUGAUACAUGAUGCCAUUGGUAAAUUGUGUCUUCUCCCUCUGAUAAGUUGUAUCCUAUGAUUUUGUCAGCCAUGCUCUUCAAGCAUGUGUUAAUUACUCUUGAAGUUUGUGGUAUAUAUUCCUAAGAUGCCUCGAUGGGUUGAACCUAUGCCUUCCUAAAUCAAUGUGAUCCCAAGGGUUUUCACGAUUCUUACUCUUCUGAUGUUUUGCCAGAUAAUCUUUCCAAGUUACAACUUCAUCAAAGGCGAGGAGUAAAUGGCAGGUGAUGCAUUUAUGAAGUGGGAGUCGACCUUGAACUUUGUGUUCAUGCCCAUGGAAACGACGUUAAUCCUAUCAUAGUAGCUUCUCUUAUCAAUAAUCAUCCAAUCUAUGUUUUAAUCUCGUACCUAUGAUUUGGUACUUUGCAACCGUGGUUCCGACCAUGUAGUUCUACUUUGGUUUCAUUCUUAGACAAGUUAAAGUGCUUGUCUUCUUCAGAUCAAUACAUCGGUCCAAGCUCUAAUGUUGAUCUACCUCCGAGUAUUAUCCCUCGUAUCCCGAGAAUAUCGCAGAGCUACAUAACUUCUUCUGAGCUCCUCAUCAACUAUGAUAUUUCGUUGAUUCCAGUUUCCUCGUGUUCUGAGUUGUUGGACACUCAAGGACAUCGAUAACUAAAUCGAGUAUGCAUUACGAUUCCACAACGCAUAGUAAUCUUCUUUGCUUAUGAGUUUGUACUCGAUCAUGGCAUUCCAAGCUGUAGGCUAGAUCAUCAUCGUCAUGCUAGAGCUUGACCAUGAUAUAUCUGCGUUUAUCCUCAGAACACAUUUCCAACGGUGCAUUAAGCUUACGUAGAGAUUUCAACAUCAUGUUGGUUGUCUUGAAAGGCCAUUUCGAUUCUGAGCUAGCAAUCUUACCUGUGUUUCUGACAACCUUUCGCUUCACCAUUCUUUUGCUAGACGUUGUCGCUGAAUGAUUACAUCUUCAUGUAACUUAUCAACAAAUGUGUCGUGAUCAUCAUCAGCAUUCUGAGCUCUUCGAGGAUGUCAAUCGAAUUCUUGAUGAGGAAUACCAUCCUUGCCCCUCGAUGAUUUAUGUUAUCAUCGACAACCCUAUUGCCUUCCCUCCAAUCUAAACUUGUUCGUGUUUCGUGUUGCCCCUGUAAUUCCUUGCUAUCCAUCUUAUGUUAUCUUCUACCUGGGAGUAUUACCAUCUUUUAUGUCGAGAAUGUUGUGAGAAUUGUUGCACCUCUUAAGAAUUCUUGAUAUAGUGGUACUUCUCGCCAUCACCAUUCAUUUCUUGGUCCCCGUGUUGUCUCUAAUCGGAAUACCGACAAGUGAACUCUGAUGUGUGGUUCCAAUACUUCUAGCAAUCCUAUCACUUUGAAGUUAAUGACUGAUAGUUCCAUUCUGGGUGUGUUGGUUGUUGACUCACCAUUGCAGCAUUAGUCCUGCUACUCAGACCGUAUCUACGAGUGCACGGUUCAAUCAAUGUUUAAUUGUUGAUGUUUCCUCGAGCAUACGUCAUUAUAUCAUUUGAUUUGACAAAUGCUAUCUCCUUGAUCUUAUAAUUCUGGAAAUUCAUCCCUAUCGAAAUCUUGAGGGAUUGUUGCUGAGCCCAUCGGCCACACCCUCAACUUAUUCAUGGUUCACGACGAAGCUUUUGAAGGCAUUAUCCUUGUGCCUGGCUCAUGAAGAAUGUGUUUGAUAGAAGAUGUGUUUUCCCAAGGUUCACGUGCAUUCUUGUUGCUGUGAAUAUGAGAAAGUUUUGUUUUGGUUCCUCAAGGAUCAUCCCAAAUCAUUCACGCAUGUGCGAAGUGUUAUAUGUUUUGAAGAAUUUCUAUCUUCACUUCAUAUAACUUCUCUUAGCACUCCAAGCCACUGACUGAUUUGAUCGAGGAAAAUAAGUUCCUUCAUAAGAGCUAAUCCAGACUUACACAAGGAUUUUUAUAUCCUCGAUGAUGGUUCCGAAAUCAGAACUCGGAUGCAUUUCGUUGUAAGAAUUCCAUGUGGGCACGAAUGUCUUGACAUUGUGUUCGUGAGUCUUACAACCCGACUUACGGUUCAAGAAUUGCUCCUGUAGUUCAUAUACUGAGAAUCUUGCAUCAUCAUCUUUUCUUCUCACACAUCUUGAGUCUGAGGUGCCCUGACACCAAUCAGAUCUGAAUCUUGGGCAGAUAUGAUGGUUGGAACUUUUCCCAAUAAUCAUAACUUUGGUCUUUAUGUAAACCGGUACGGUGCUGUCUUGUCUAGCACACCGGGCCGAAGGACCUAUUGUUAUAAUAACUUGUUCAACAAGAUUCUCCAUUAUUUUGUGAGAAAAUUGUAAGACUUGUGUUAUAAGUUGUUCCUCAUGUAUCCCUUGUGUAGCCAAAGUCCGACCUUUAUUUGACGACCAUGUCGAUGCUACCUCAAAGCACGGAUGCGGUACUUCGAAUUUCAACAUGAACAUUGGAAGCGCAAUGCUAAAUUGUUCUUGAUCAAUUAUCUAAACCGUAUGGUAUGGAUAAACAUCAUGAUUCUCCUUGCUCCUUUAUCAAAAUGGUUAUGUACUUGAUGACCUAUCAUGUAUACCAUACUCUAUUUUCCUCGGGAAUGGUAUACUCUAAUACUUGUGUGUGUGAACACAUUUUCCUUUCUAUUGGUUUGUUUAAACCUUCUUAUAAGCUAAUUUAUCUGAGCAUCGACAAUUCCUUGCUUAGGUAAAAACCUUGGUGAACAACUCUGUCAGUAAGACCCUGUUACUAUUGUGGAUAACAUUACGGUAGCCAUUGGUGGACGAGAACCUUGCCUAUUGGUUCGCCUCGUUUCAGCGGGCAGGAACAUGGUUCUAUUCGUCCCCUACCCUUGGUACCGAUCUUGUUGCCAACAUAACAGACAUGUUAUCCUCCAACAUGUCUUGCUAUCAAUACCGUAUAGAAUGUCACCGCUUUGCCUACUCUUAACCCACAUGGUGGACCCAUAACCCAAAUUCCACAGGAUAUAAACCUGACUCUCCUGUACAUCUUUGACUUCAGAGUAUCCUUUGAACUUGGCUUCGUAUGAAAUUCCCGAGCCACCGUCCAAUGGGACGAUCUAUUCAGUAUCAUAAGCAAUAUUUAUAUUCGUUGCUCUAAACCCCCUCCCAUCUCUAUUUAGGCAUUAAACGAUUGCCUAGCCGUUUGAAACCUUGGUACCCUCGCAUGUUACUCUCAACGAAUUUCGCGACUUACAACUUGAGUAAUAGUUGAUGUCCUUUUCCUUGAGUUCGUCGGCACAUGCCCAACUUUGUGUAGCUACGUUCUUCCAAAGUUUUCCCUAUUAUCGCAUUCGUAGGAUGAUGAAGACCCCGAAGGAAGGAUGACAAAUUCAUCAGGAUGACCUAAGUAAGAUAAUUAAAGACUUCAACGAAACGCAUAAAAUUCUUUGGAAAGGACAAAAAAGACCGAGAAGACCCGUUAGAAAUUCGUAACCAAACGUUUCCCCCUUACCUCUACCUCUUAAUUCUCGAGACGAGAAUUUCUUUUACUGGUGGAGAGUUGUGACAUCCCCGGGCUAUGCUACACUAACCCCUGUAAUCAAGCUACAGUAAUCACACGCUAAUGGUGCCAUGUCAUCAAGAUUAACUAAGCCAAAUUGCCCCUUGAUAAAAAAACCAAAACUAAAUUCAAAUUUAAAAUAAAGUAAAAUAAAUUAUUUCUUCCAACUAUAAAAUAAAAAUCAUGAAUAGGUUGUAAAUAAUCCCUUGGUAAAUAUAAAUUGUAACCAACUUUUUGUAAGUAAUUAAAGGCUUUGAAACCAUUAAAACAGAGGCCAAACAAUAAUUUGAAUGCCCUAUUUAAAUCCUAUAAAUUUCCAAACCACUUUAAAUAAAUGUCAAACUUUUUGUGACAGUUUCUAAAAAUGUAAUAUAGAUAAUGGACCGAGUGCCAUUUUUUUACAAAAGAUUGUUGUUACAAGAAUAAUUAGAACUGAAACAGAUAAAAGAAAAAGCAAAAUGAAAAGAAAAAGAAAUAAUAAAACCCCCUUCCCCCCGGGCCACGGCCCAUGUGCCCCAUCCAGCGAGCCGAGCCUGGCCUCCCCGCCGUCGGCCCAACCAGUGGUAUAACCCCCCCCCCNNNNNNNNNNNNNNNNNNNNNNNNNNNNNNNNNNNNNNNNNNNNNNNNNNNNNNNNNNNNNNNNNNNNNNNNNNNNNNNNNNNNNNNNNNNNNNNNNNNNNNNNNNNNNNNNNNNNNNNNNNNNNNNNNNNNNNNNNNNNNNNNNNNNNNNNNNNNNNNNNNNNNNNNNNNNNNNNNNNNNNNNNNNNNNNNNNNNNNNNNNNNNNNNNNNNNNNNNNNNNNNNNNNNNNNNNNNNNNNNNNNNNNNNNNNNNNNNNNNNNNNNNNNNNNNNNNNNNNNNNNNNNNNNNNNNNNNNNNNNNNNNNNNNNNNNNNNNNNNNNNNNNNNNNNNNNNNNNNNNNNNNNNNNNNNNNNNNNNNNNNNNNNNNNNNNNNNNNNNNNNNNNNNNNNNNNNNNNNNNNNNNNNNNNNNNNNNNNNNNNNNNNNNNNNNNNNNNNNNNNNNNNNNNNNNNNNNNCACGCGCGCGCGUGCCUGCGUGAGCCACGCCUUGGCCGCGCGCCUGCUGAUGCUACUCCACGGCCAACCUCGCUGCAUGCUCCUGCGCCUCACAUGUCGCCGGCGCCAACCCCGCUGGCCUCUCCCCAUUGGUCACAACCGCGUCGCCCCCAACCCCAAUUUGGUCAGGCGAAUUAACCCCCCCUUUGUUAGCAAUUUCCCACUAGAUGACAUGUGGGGCCUCCCCCUAAAACGUGUCUAAAAAAGGAAAAUAAAUAAAUUAAAUGUGUAAAUAAAAAUAUAACAAAUUAAUAAAUUUAUUUAACCAAGUUAAUUAAUUAGGUAAUUAAUUAAUAAGCUAAUUAAGUAGCCUAAUUAACCUCUAAUUAACCUAUCAAAUUAAUUAGAGCAAUUAAUUGGAUUAAUUAAACCUAAUCUAAUUAAUUAAUUCUGUUAAUUUAAUAGAGGGUAGGACAUGUGGAUCCCAUACACCUAAUCAAACCUGUUUAUUAAUUAGUUAAGCCUAGAUUUGAAGUGUGACUAUGACAGGUGGAGCCCAUUGGUCAAAUUGACCACUCAACCCCACUAUUGAUUACUGAUGACAGCAUGCCAUCAUGCUGUUGUCACAUUUAAAAUAUUAAAACAAAGUUAAAUCUGUUUAUUUAUAAAAUAAUUAUUAAAACAUUAAAAAUUAAUAUAAUAAUUCGGAUGAAAAUAAUUUAUACAUGAAAGUUGAUCACAAAAACGAGACGAACCCGGAUACGCUAUCCGUUCGUCUAUCACGUGUACCUAGCAUAGCGAACAUGGAACUUUUCCAUCCAUUUCGCCUGAUAAGUAAUAGACAGAGACCCGGAAAAUAUCGUCGGAUAUUAUUCCGAUCCGUCGAUGACGUAUAGUACCACGUUAGCUCAUGCCUAGCUCUGCCUUUAGCCAUGCCAUUCUUUGUGAUGCAUUUGAUUGCUCUGUUAUUUAUCGUGUUUCCCCUACGUUACUUCCUUUCUGGUAGACCCCGAGACCGAUGAUGAUCCGGUGAUUGAC
rnacentral:lncRNA from 1 species